GACACUUUCCCUGUAUUAGAAAAACUAACACUGAAGACGAAUGAUAUGGUGAAGGGGAUAUGUGAUGGACAACUCUCAUUGCAGUGUUUCCAAAACCUUAAGCAUCUUAACCUCCAGUUCUUUCCUGAGACAUCCACUACUCUUCCGUAUUCCUUCAUUCGUUUGCUACCAAAGCUUCAGAAGCUUGUUAUAAAUAAUGCUUCCAUUUUUGAAAUAGUCCGGUCUGAAGGACUUAGCGAAGAGGAAAGGCACACAUCGGUAUUCUAUCAGUUAAAGGACUUAAGGUUGUCUCAACUUCCAGAGUUGACGUUAAAGACUUUUAACCCGUCUUUGCUAUCUUUCAAAAAUCUAACAACACUGAAAGUUUCAAGAUGCCAUGGGUUCAUCAAUUUAAUUGCAUGCUCAACAGCUAAGUGCCUGACGCUACUAGAAAGAUUGAGCAUAGAUGAUUGUGAGAUGAUAGAGGAAAUCAUAGCGUGUGAGGCUGAAGAAAUACAAGGCAGCAUUGUAUUUCCCAAACUGAAGUAUUUGCAACUAAGCUGUCUGCCAUGUCUAGCAAGCUUUUCCUUGGCCCAUCACUCGUUGGAAUUCCCAGUCUUGCUAAUGGUGAAGGUGACAAAGUGUCCCAAAAUGAGGAAUUUCUGCCAAGGAGAUUUAAGCACACCAAGGCUGGAACAAAUACACUUGACAAGAGAUGAGGAAGGUGAACUGCAGUGGGAAGGCGACCUUAACACUACCAUAAAACAUUUGUUCGAUGAAAUGGUACAAAUCAUUUAAAGGAUUUAAAUUCAUGUGUUUUACAUACAUACAUACAUACAUACAUACAUACAUAGUUAAUUGAACAAUUCUUGGUUUGUUAUGAUCAUGCACAGAAUGUGCAAAAUUCUGAGGUGACGGAGGUUACUGAUCAGUUGCCCAAGCUGGAAUAAGGAAAUAUUUUUGGGUGCUUAUGCGAAAAGCUCAAUUUCGUUUGAAUUCAAAACAAUUGGUAAUUGACUCUUCUAUUUUCAUCAUGGCUUAACCAAUGCUUUAUAAAGUGACCAUAGCGAUGCCCUUUUCAUUGUAGGUUGAGUUGCUCUACUGAAGUACGAGGCUGCAACUUUUGGUAAAAUGUGAAAGGUUAUUUCAGUUUUUGUAAAACUACUAUUUGAACUGUUACAUUUCACAUUAUACCUUCAAAAUUGAAGUUCAAGUGCAUCAUGCAUGGCAUUGGGCUACAAACAUGUAAACUUUUACUAGUAAGUUUGACCCCUGUUUGAAGGAUUUUCCAACUUUUGAUGGUUACCAUAUCAAUGUCAGCUUAAAGCUAUCAAGUAUCUUUAAUGAGGGAUAAAAGUAGGCAGCUAUCUAUUAAUGAUACGGCUGAUUCUGAAAAGACGGCUGAAAUUGAAUCAAUGGUUUUUUGGUAUUUGCCUGAUGGAAGAACAGGACCUAAUGUUACGUGGAUUGUAACACCCUUAACCCGUAUCCGUCGCCGAAGUAGGGUUACGAGGCAUUACUGAACAAACACAACCAUUUUUAAAAUCAAACUGAUCACAAAUAUGAAAAUUAAAUUACUUUUGCAUAGCUAUUUAUAAUUUACAAUCAAAAUAUAAUCAACAUCGUACUCAAACCUAUACAUGCCAUAAGAUUGAGUUCAAAUAUUUAACAAAAUACCAAAAGUAGUCGAUAGUGUGAUAAACUAUGCUGAUAAUCCCCGAGCUCGUAACGCGUCUCUAAAAUCUAUAAAAACAAAUGGGCAAAAACAAACAAAGUAAGCUUUUAUAGCUUAGUAAGUCUAUAGCAUACCUAAAAUACAUAUAAAAGAAUCAUAUAAUUCCUUAAGAAAAUUCAUUGAAAUCACAAUUAACAAUUAUAAUUACUAAUCAAACAUUUGUUUAAAUUUUAAAAGGAUGUAUAUUUAUCUAAUACACCCAAACAGACAAAUGUAUAUACAUUUUAUGCAUAUAAUCUACAACCAUGAAUCGCCGAAUGCAUAUAUACAUAUAUGCAUGACAAAUAUUAGAACCAAAUGUAUAUACACUUUAAACAUAUUAGCCGAGUGCACAUAUACAUAAGCUUAACAAAUAUUAUAACCAAAUGUGUACAUGUAUUUACCACAUACAUUUAUCCAAAGUCAUAUAUGUACUUAUCAUGCACAUACAAUCGAAUAUAUAUAUAACUUUAUCAAUCACAUUUCAUAUCUCAUUAUACAUGUAUAUAUAUAUAUCGAUCAUAAACUUUUAACCUAACUCAUAUUUAUGCCUAUAACCGAAUACAUUCGCAUUCAACUUUUACUUAUAAACAAAUAUUUACACAUAUAUGUAUUAGCAAUUGCACAUAAGAUUACUCAUCAGUUUCUUAUACCAAAUGCACCCAUAAAAAUAUAUAUAUAUCAACCACCUAUGUCGAGUUUAUGCACAACAUCUUCAAACACAUAAAUCUGAACAAUUCACACAAUUUUAACAGAUUCACCGGCACUUAGUCUGCUAGGCUUAAAACCUGAUUCAAUACACUGGCAAUUAGCCUGCUAGACGUAAAGUCUGAAAUAUUUCACCGGCGUCAAGCCUGCUAGACGUAUAGUCUGAAACAUUUCACCAGCAUCAAGCCUGCUAGACGUAAAGUCUGAAUUAUCUCAUUGACAAUAAUCAUUUUAGGCCCCCAAGCUCAAACACUCAAUUCACCCAAAUAUUACUCAUUUUCGAACUAUAUAGGUAUAUAAAUUCCAUGCUUAAAUAUUCAGCUCGAAACUCAAAAUUUAUAUCAUAGAAACACAUGAAUAUAUAUAUAAAACUCAACCACCAAAUCCAUUUUGACAAUUCAAUAAAUCAACUGAACAUAUUUAUGCAUAACCUUGCAUAACCUUACACUUCAAAUCCUACUACAAAUAUAAUACUAUUUAACUAAAAAUAUUCUUGAAUAAUAUACGCUUUACAUUCCAACAUAUUAAAAUUUUACACACAUAUAUAUACAUGAUCAAAACUAACAUAUGCAAAUAUCAUCUAAUAACAAAUUUCAAAACUAAAUCUUAUACAUGCAUACAUAUACACUCAAACCGCUUAUACUUUUAUAAUGACACAUCUUAAUUCGAUUCAAAAGUCUAUAUAUACAUGUAUAUUUACAUGUUUAAUAAUAAAACUCUUAUAUCUAUGUAUAUUUACGAAUCUCUAAGUACAGAUAUACAUAUACAUAUCUUUGAUUAAAUCAAUAAUUUAUACAUGUAUAUACGUGUAUGAAUUCGAACCCUGUAUAUAUAUAAAACUCUUAUACUUCAACUAGAUUCAUUAACAUUUAUGUAUAUACUUAUUUACCUUUGCACUUUAGCUAAAUUCAAUUACCUAUAUAAGUAUAAACCUCUAGGUUCGAAUAUAAAAGAAAAUACAUAUAAGCCAAUCAUACUUUUAAUUUAUUCAACCGAUAUACUUUAAAUUAUAAUUCAUCAAAAAUAAAUACAUAUACAUACUUAUAUAUUGUUUUUAUGACAUUAAAUAGCUAAUAGACUUACCUCGGAAGAUGGAAAAUCGAAGUCGGACGAUUAUUCGACUAAUUUGGCUUUUCCCCGAUCUAACUCCGUUUUCUUUGGUUCUCGAUCUAAAUAUAUUCAAAAUAAGAUAAUUUAUUUAUUAACACAUUAAAUUUAAUCCAAAAACACUUAAUUUGGCAAAUUACUAUUUUGCCCCUAAUAUUUAUACUUUUUGCUAUUUAGUCCUUUUUGCACAAAACACAAAAUACACAAAAUUUUCCCUCACUAAGCUAGGGCCGAAUGUUCCUUGUCUUCAUACUAGUCCACACAUUUCAUUUAUUUCACAUUUUAGUCCCCCAAAAAUUUAAUUUCACAAUUUAGCCCUAUUUACUCAAUUUCACUAAAAAUCCCAAUACAAAACAUAUUAAUCUAUCACAUAUCUUUCAUUUUUCAUCAUCAGCUAUCACAAAGUCCAACCAUUCAUCAAUGGCACAUUUCAAAAUCAUCAACAAUUCACAAAAUUAAAACAUGGGUUUUGAAGAACACAAAGCAACGAUCUCAAAAACGUAAAAAUUAUUAAAAAUUAAAACCUAAACAUACCUUAAUCAAGCCAAAAUAAGUGCCGAACCUAGCUUGCUAUUUUUUUCUUCUUUUUCUUUUGUAUAUUCGGCAAUGAGAAAGAUAACAUGCAUGGCUUUGUUUAUUUUAAGUUUUAUUAUUUUCAAUAUAUUAUACCAUUAUUAUUUUACUUUUAUAUUUAAUAUAUAUAUAAUAUAUAAUAGCCAUCAUUGCCGUCCACUACCAUUAAUAUUGGCUAAAUUUCAACAUGAAACCUCCAAAUUAUAAAGACAAAAAUAAUUAAGCACUUUCAUAUUUAGCCAUCAAAUUUUUAUUUUAUGCGAUUUAGCCAUUUUCUCAAAUUAAGCACACAACACUAAAAUUAAUUCAUGAAACUUUCACACAAGUAAAUUCACACAUAAUAAACACGUAAAAUAAUAUUAAAAUAUUUUUUAGACUCGAAUUUGUGGUCCCGAAACCACUGUUCCGAUUAGGGUCAAAACCGGGUUGUUACAUGGAUUUUGAUCAAGUUUUAAAAUUUCAGUUGUAGGCAUUACUGAUUGUUGCCAUUUGGUUAUUAAUACUCUGAUUUUACGGUUGACUGUCUUGCUUAUACAUUGCAAGGUUGGCGGGUUUCAAGUAUGAAUUUCCAAGUCGGCUUUCAUCCAUUAUUAACUAAGUGUUUCAAUCCAUGGAGUUUAUGGUUUAUGGAGUUUAUGGACAAUUUGUAACACCCCAAACCCGUAUUCGACGCCAAAAUAGGGUAUGAGGCAUUACCAAAACACAUACAUUUAUAAACGUAUUAAACUGAGUUAUAAAAUUUCAUACAGAUUAAAACUUUUAAAUUAUUAUCUUCGAAUCGCUAAUUGGGGCUUACAAGCCCAAUAUAUAUACUCAUUUGAUCCAAGCCUUAUAGCUAUCUCCAUUUGUUCAUUUCAUAGCCAUAUAUGAACUUAUAAUCCUUCACUUUCUCGUCAUAUGAAUUUAUCAAUUAUUACUUGCUUCUUGCGAGUACCUGAAUUGAUCCAUAUCAUUUCAUAUUCUCAUAUCGUCAUAUUUUUCCUAUUAAACCAUUGUAAUAUAUUAAAUAUUCAAUAUCUUGUAAAGAUUCACUAAUCUAUCCCAUAUACUUUCACACAGAUUAAUUUACAAUUCACAAGUCUUAUCAUUUCAAAGCUUAUAAGACACAUGUACAUGUCUACUAAUUCGUAUGAGUCUCAUACUCAUUCAUAUGCUCAAUAAAUUCGUUAAAUCAUUUCAACAUCAAAGAAUCCACAUUAUGUCAGAAACAAUACUAAUAACAAUCAUAAAUCUUUUCAUAUUAAUUUCAUAUAUCGCUUACUGAACUUCAAAUAUCAUUUCAUAAAUAUGUAAUUCACUAACACAUCUUGCCAUAUAUAGUAUCCAAUUGGUGAAAUCACUUAAUUGAAUUCAACUUCAACAAUCACAAUAAAUCUAUCACUUGAAUAUGAGUCCAUGUAACACUUACCAACUUUGUCAAAUUAGUGACCGUCUUACGGAAUUGAGUACUUAUUUUCUCGAUGUCAUAGUCCAACUAUGGUCUUACACAUAAUCACAUAACAUAUACCGAUGUCAUAGCCCAGCUAUGGUCUUACACAGAAUUACAUAUCACUUAUUGUCAUGGUCCAUCCAUGGUAUUUCCCAUCAAUUCGUCUUCAUCACUGAACGAAAGUACUCAACCCUGCAUUCUACUCAAUUUGAACUUAUAAUUCAAUUUUCGUUCUUUUACAAUUUUCACAAUUCAAUAGCAAACAUAUGAAUUAACAUAUUAUAUCAUUCCUAAAAUUAUCAAAUAAUCAUUAAAAUUUAACCAUAAAACACACCUUUAACAUAAACUAACAUCAAGAUCAAAUUUGCAUUAUGCCAUUUAUAACUCUUUUCCUGAAUCACAUAACAAAAUAUCACAAAUAUAUAUAUGAAUUCUGUAACUAUGUAUCAAACUUACCAACAUGAGUUAAUUCAUAAACCAUUCAUGACAUUACUUCAUGCCAAAUCAUAUUCCAAAUAUACCACACAUAUAAGCUAUGAAACUUUAUUUCCUCACAUGAGCUUAAACCAUAACCAAUUAUGCAUAAAACAUUCAUAUAUUUUAUUUUCCUCCUCCUCCUCUCCAUUCCACAUCCUUAAUGUACAUAACACUCUUAUAAAUAACGUUUUCUAUAAUUUUACUAUUCACUCACAUGUAUAUUCAAAGCUGUCUAUCCACAGAGUCACUAAAUUAUUUUUAUCCGGAGAUACAGAGCUCCAAAUUAAGAUCCGUUAAUUUUUCCUGAAACUAGAUUCACAUAUCUUCUUACCAUAAAAUUUUCAAAAUUUUUGGCUUAGCCAAUAAGUACAGUUUAUUCUUUAAAGUUCCCCUGUUUCACUACUCGACAAUUCUGACCUCUCUUCACUAAAAAUUAAUUAUCUCACUGUACAGAACUCAGAUGGUUACGUUUAUUUCACUUGAAAAUAGACUCAUUCAGGGUUCUAAACAUAUGAAUUUUAGCCUGUAAUUAUUUUUGUACAAUUUUUAACAAUUUUCCAAAAUCAAAAUAGGGGAUUCCAAACUCAUUCUGACCCUAUCUCACUAAACUUAAGAUAUCUCAAAAUAUAUAAGUCUUUUCUUGCUAUGUUUCUUUUAUGUAAAAAUAGACUCAUUAAACUUUCAUUUCAUAUCUUAUUCACUCUCCAAUUCAAUUUCCACCAUUUUUGGUGAUUUUUCAAAGUCACACAACUGUUUCUGUCCAAAACUAUUUUGUUGCUAACUCUACUAUUUCAUAAUUUCACUUUUUCACUUUUGAUCACUAUUCAAUUCAAUUCCAGACAUAUAUUCAUCAUUCAAUUACACUUAAUUGUUACAUGAUCUCAUGUAUUUUCACUUAGUCAAUUUCUCGUUGAACACUCAGAAUAUACACGGAUACGUAGAGAAUUAGCACAUAAGUGCCGCACUGAUAUGUAGUCGAAGCUACCAUUGAUACGUAGUCGUAGCUAUCACUAAAAUGUAGCCGAAGCUACCACUAAUAUGUAGCCGUAGCUACCAUUGAAAUAUAGCCGAAGCUACCACUGAUCAAUAACACUAAAAAUGUCCACGGGCCGGCUCACACAAGCUGUUAGGUGUCUGCAACACAUGCUAGAUCACCCAGCACCCGGGACUCACUGUAACACUGGUCUCUAGUGACAUGUCACUAGUAUCCACUUCUAUUCCUAAGUUCAACUGGGAAUUUACACUUAACACUUUAUUUUAAACACUUUAACACUUGAAUAAUUCAUAAAAAAUUUUCCUUCCACAUUCAAUAAUAAUUCACAUAUCAAGUGUAAUUCACAAUUUAUAAAAAUAUAUUGCUAUUAUUUACACAUAACUUACUUUGGUGCAAUAAUAUAAAAAUUUAGCAAUUUAGUCUUUAAUCUUUUCUUUUCUCCGAUCAAGAUCAAUCCAACUUCUUUCUUGAUUUAUAAUAACACAUCUGAAUUAUUUAAUACUCACAUUUAUCAAAACAGAUCUUCACUCAAACUUUUAAAAAUUACAAUUUUGCCCCUAAACUUUUGCAUAUUUACACUUUUGCCCAAAUUCUCGUAAAUUAAACUUCAUCCCUUAUUCUUAUGUAUUAUGACAUGCUGAACAGUUUUCCCUUCUAUGGUAACAUCAAAUUCCCACUCUAACACUUUUAUAUGAACAUUAGGUAUUUUUACCGAUUAUGUCGUUUUACUCGUUUUCACUUAAAAUCACUUAGAAAAAGUUGUUUAACAUAAUUUCAAGCUUCAUAUUCUACCAUAAAACAUCAAAAUAAACACAUUUCACCUAUGAGUAUUUUUCCAAAUAUAAACCCUAGGUUAAAUUAUUGCUAGAAUAAGCUAAAUAAAGUUACCGGGACUCUAAAAACAUAAAGAACAUUAAAAACGGGGCUUGGAAUCACUUAUUAUGGAGCUUGGAAGCUUGAAAACCCUAAAUAUGGCUUCCCACUUACUAUUUUCGUUCACCAUGGAGAAGAUGAGCACAUUUUGCCAUCUUUUUCCCUUUUUAAUUCUUUUUAUUACUAAAUUACCAAAUUGUCCCUAACUUAAAAAUUUCCUAUUUCACUUAUCUCAUGUCCAUUUUUGUCUACCAACUUAACCAAUGGUCUAAUUACCAUAUAAGGACCUCCAAUUUAAAGUUUCAUAACAAUAUGACACCUCUAACAUGUAGAACUCAACUUUUGCACUUUUUACAAUUUAGUCCUUUUGACUAAAUUGAGUGCGCAAACGUCAAAAUUUUGGAACGAAAUUUUCACGAAAUCAUUUCGUGAAAUUGUAGGUCAUAAAAAUAUAAUAAAAAUAAAUUUUUUCUCGUCAAAUUUAUGGUCCCGAAAUCACUAUUCCGACUAGGCCCAAAAUCGGGCUGUUACACAAUUGUUGUCUAUGUUGCUCAUUGCUGCAAAAAAAAAACCAAACACAAUGCAUGCAUAAACCAUUAAAAAAAAAGAACAUAAGCAACUAAUAAUGAAAUAUAUUAAAAUGAAGAAUGGCAAUUAAUUUCAGAAUUACCAAAAUUUCGGUAAAUAUAUUAAAACAUCUGUCUCUAAUCUGUUUCAAUUUUGAUAUUGAAAAAAUUGGUAUUUCUAAAAAUAUCAGAGUGAUUAAAUUAUUUUUAUUUUUGAAAGUGAUAAAUUAAGGAUAAUUAAUCACAACGUUAAUGUUUUUCACCAAUUAUACAUAAUUUUCUUGGUAUAAUGAUAAAUUUAGCCCUCAAAAUUGACACAUUCUAUCAAUUUGUUAUUGAUUUAAUAAAUUUAACCCACAACAUUUACACAUUUCGUCAAUUUGAUCAUCAUUUAACGUAUUUAACCCAUAAUAAUUACACAUUCUAUCAGCAUUUACGCAAAAUAUAUAAUCAUCAAGGAUUAAAUUUAUUUUUAUACUAAUCAAAAUUAUGUAUAAUUAACAGAAACUAUUAGCGCUUGAUUAAUUGUUCGUGGUUACUUUCAAAAAAGAUAACGAUUAAUUUGUUCAAUAUCAAAAAGAUGUUUUUUAAUUUUUUUAAUUUCAUAGGUAAGAAAAUCUCAAAAAAGAAAAUCUUUGAAAUAAAAAAAAUAGUAUGUUUUUAAUAAUUAUUUAAAUUUACUCUCACAUUAUUUUUACCCAUUCAAAGCUAGCAAGUCUUUUAUGUACAAAAUGGUAUAGCUCUGCAAUUUGGAUUAACAUUUUGGUGACCUCCAUGUGAAGUGAAAGAAAAUUGACAAUGUCACACAAUUAUUAUUUUUCCCUCCAUACCCCUAUGCCGCCAAAGAAAGUUGAAUUAUUAAGGCACAAAAGUACUAAGGAGUAGGAGCUAGAAAAAGAGGGGCAUGAAAAUAAAGAGACUUACAUUUAUUAUUUGCAUAAUACAAAAUCAGUCUUUAAUAUUUACAUAUUUUAUUAAUUUGAUUUUUAUUUUUAUUUAGUUAAAUUUGACUUUAAACCCUUUAAAAAAAAGUUGAAUUUGAUCAUUAACCUUUUAAAAAGAGUCAAAUUAUUAUUUAACGGAAAUGUUAAAUUUUGAAAUACAUAUAACAAUUCGCGUGUAUUUCAUAUUAUUUUUUUAAAAAUUUUAUGAUUUUUUUUGAAAUUUUGAUUUUUGAAUAUUAUUAGAAAGUUAUUUGGUAUCCUGUUAGCGGAAUUUUUAAAGUCCACCAACAAAAUCAAUGGGUUAGCAUGUGUCUUACAAAUAUAUAAUAAAAUAUUAAAAAAUAAAUAUUUUUAAAAAAAAGAUAUAUGUCAAUUUUUUAAAGUUACUUAUGAAAUAAAAAUAAUAUAUUAUCCGCGUACCAGGUACUCACCUUUUUAAUUAAGAUUUAAAAAUAAAAAAAUCGUUAGUAAAAUGAAUGGAUUGCAAAUUGAGAAUUUUGAUAUUGGAUAUUAAAAUUUUCUUAAAAAGAAGACAUAGCAAGAUACGAAAGUUAGUAACUUAUUUGAUUUAAUUUUAAUUUUUAAAUUUAUGCAUUUUAUUAUGAAUUUUUAUUUUUUGUGUACUCUGUAAAAUUUGUCUGAAAUUUGCAAUUUUCAAUUUCUCACGUGAGUUUGAGAUAAAAAGAAAUUACUUUUAGGAUUGGUGAAACAAGGGUUAUAGUCCAUACAUGAGUUUCGUUAAAUAUUGUCUAUAUAUAUAUAAGUAUAUACUCUUCUCCAUGCUGCACAUUAUUGCAAAAAAAGAACACACACAAGGGACCAAUCUUAGAUCUUCACAAAGGUCAUCUGAGAUCAAAGGAGAAGAACAAGAAAAACAAAGGUGAGGGGUUUGAAGAAAGAGCCAAAUAUAUAAUAAAGGAAAAAUUAAAUGAGAGAGGAUGGGUUUCAUUUAAAGAUUAAAUGUUUCUUUUUUGGUAAAAACAUUUCUUUGGUCCCUCUCCAUUUUGAUGUUGAGCAAAUUGGCCCCUUUCUAAAAAUUUUGGAGAAAUUUGAUCAUUGUUAUUUUGAAAGUAAGCAACUAAGUACAAUUAAUCACAAGUUUUAUGUUUUCAUCAAUUCUACAAUUUUUUCUUGGUAUAAUAAAAAAAUAUAACCUUCAAAGUUUACACAUUUUAUCAAUUUGAUCUUGAUAUAACAAAUAUAACUCAUAACAUUUUCACAUUCCAUCAAAUUUGUCCUGAUUUAACAAAUUUAUCCCGCAAUAUUUACACAUUUUGUCAACAGUUACGCGGAAUAUAUAAACAUCAAUGGCUAAAUUUAUUAUUAUACCAAUUAAAAUUAUGUAUAAUUGAUGGAAAAUAUUAACGCUAUAAUUAAUUGUUCGUAAUUACUCACUUUCAAAAUUGAAUAUUUACAUCUUUUAUUAAUUUGAAUUUUUUAGUUAAAUUUAAUUUUAAAUCCUUUAAAAAAGUUGAAUUUGAUUAUCGACGUUUAAAAAAGAGUUGAAUUAUUAUCUUUUAAUAAAAAUAUUAAUCAAAAUGUUAAAUUUCAAAACAUGACAAUUCGUAUAACAAUUCAGGUGUAAUUCAUGCUUGUUUUUAUUUGAUUUUUUAUGAACUCUUUUUGUGAGAAAUUUUUAUUUUUUAAUAUUUUUUUAAUUUUAAAUUUAUUGGCGUGACAUAUAAGAUAAAUAAUACUAUGUCAACAUAAUGACAUGUGGACUGCCACAUGGUUGCUAUGCCAACUUCGUUAAAAAUUAAUAUUUUAGUCAAUAUUUUAAAAAAAACACGAUUUGACUCUUUUUUAAAGGUUAAUGGUCAAAUUUAAAUUAAGAAAUAAUAAUGAUCAAAUUGAAAAAAGAUGUAAAUAUUAAGUGUUGAAUUUAUUAUUAUACUUAUAUUAUUUUAAGUAAAAUUUUUCGGAUUUGAAUUUGAAUUAUUUCAUGUUUAGAUUACAUUGAGUUCAAGUCAGUUUAGACUCGAAUAUUUUGGGAAAUUUAAAUAGUUUUGAGCUCAGAACAUUUCAAGAGAAAAUUAGCAAGUCAAAUUACAAUUAUAAAAUAAUAUAUAUAAUUUAUAUGUGUAUGUAUAUAAGUUUAAAUUACAAAUUAAUUACUAAAAGUGAUUAGGGCAUUAGUAUUUGUGUUGUCGCAUGGGAGUUUAGGUUCAAUCUCUUGAUUGAAAUAAUAUUUUUAAAAUAUUUAUUUAAUAUUUCCAUAUACAUCAAAAUCCUUGUUAAAUUUUAAUUUUGUUUUUGUUAUUAGAAUACUUGAAUCAAUAAAUUUUUAAGGCACAUAUCAAACCCAACAAUCAAAAUUAAAUCACACCAAAAUAAGGCCAAGAAAUCCUGAACAGCUCACCAAGCAACACUCAAAUAUCAUAACUUAACCCCCUUGCAAAUAAUAAGAGCAUAGACGGAUAAGCACCAAAAAGACUUGCUGCAGAUAAAAGGUCCCAUGCCCAUUACAAACUCUGCCCAUCAGUUCCUGCCAGAGGAGCCAUGGCCAAGAAAACUAUUAGUCUUAAUGCAAUCCACAAAACGUGUGGGACAUUUCCUUAAGGUCAGCUCUUUUGAGCUCAAGUCCUUUUUGCUGGCAAAUUUGUUGAUAUAGGAGCAACAUUGGUCAUCACAAUCAACAAAGGUCUUGUGAAAAAAAUAGUAUGUCUAUAAUGAUAACAUAUCGCAAAGAAAAGAGAAAUAAAAAUAAAGAACACACAGGUUUUACGUGGAAACCCUUUCGGGAAAAAACCACAGGUAGAGGAGAAGAAAAUUCACUAUGUCGAAUUCGAAUGAUUACAAGAGGAGUUUCGACUACAUCGAUUUAUAGGUUGAAAAAAACCUAAUUAUAAUCAAAGUCGAAUAUAUUAUGCUAAUAAAUACUAAAUAUAUUAUACCCAUAAAUACUAAAUCUUCUAGAAAGAAGAUAUAUUUUGUUUAACUUGACUUGCAAGCAAUCUCUUAGAAUUUGGGUUACACAACUCUAACAAUCUCUACCUUGACACGAAUUCUCAAUGAACAAGUUCUUCAUCGCGAACUCUCAACAAACAAGUUCUCCACUCUUCCAUAAAACCCUUUAAGGGUUUAACUUCAACAAUGAACACCAAUCAAGUCUAAGCAAUGCUUAAACUUGGUUAUAGGAAGUGACUUAGUCAUCAUAUCUGUAGGAUAUUCAUGAGUACUAAUUUUACUCACAACAAUAUCUCCACGAGCAAUAGCAUCACGAACAAAAUAAUACCGAACAUCAAUGUGUUUUGUUCUCUCAUGAAACAUUUGAUAUUUUGUAAGGAAUAUGACACUCUGACUGUCACAAAAUACUGUACUGAUUUAAAGGUUUUCAUUGAGUUCACUAAAGAGUCCCUUCAACCAAAUAGCUUCUUUACAAGCCUCAGCAAUUGCCAUGUACUCAGCUUCAGUGGUAGACAAAGCGAUUGUAGUUUGCAAAGUGGCUUUCAACCUGAUUGCACAACCUAUGAUUGUAAAGACAUAACCUAUGAGAGAUCUUUUUCUAUCAAGGUCUCCAGCAAAAUCAGCACCAACAUACCCAAUGACUCCAUCUCUAGUUCUUCCAAACUGUAAGCAAACAUCAGUAGUACCUUGUAAGUAUAUUAAGGGUCUGUUUGAUUGAAGGAAUUGAUUUUCCGGAAAAUCAUUUCCAACUUUUCCAGCGUUUGAUUGGCGGAAAACAUUUUCAAUUUGGAAAAUGAACUCCAAAACAAGGGAAAAUGGGUUACAUUUUAAGGAAAAUGUCUUACCCUUUCAAUUUCCGUAAGACAUUUUCCGUGCUCUCCUCUCUAUCGCCUCCUUCAUUCCUUCCUUCAUUUCUGGUAGAAAAUUGCUUCUGUUUAUCGAUUUUCCAGUAACUUGUUUUUUUAAUUAUUCAAUACUUGUUUUUUUAACACAAUUACAAUUAAUUUAUUUGAUAUUAAUUUUUUUCAAUUUAUAACGAUUAAUAUUGUAACUUAAUAAUUGAGUAUUAUUAUAAAUAAAUCAUUGCAAUAUAUGUAAAAAUAAUUUAAAAUAUAAAAAUUUAUUAAUAUAUAUCAAUAUAUGUAAAAACAAUUUUUUCAAAAAAUAUUUCCAGGAAAUCUGCCAAAUAGCCGAAAAUAUUUUACACAGAUUCAAUCAAACACCAGAAAAUAUUUUCCAGUAAAUCAUUUUACAGAAAAGUAAAACAUUUUCCCGAAAUUAUUUUACGGAAAAUAUUUUACUGGCAAUCAAACAGACCCUAAAAUCCACUGAAUUACUUUAUAAUGUUCUUUACCAGGAUUCACCAUUUAUCUGCUAACUGUACUGACUGCAUAUGAUAAAUCUGGACGAGAACAAACCAUAGCAUACAUGAGAGAUCUCACUGCACUAGAGUAUAAAAAUGUGACAUGUACUCAAUCUCAUCAUCUGAUUGUGGAGACAAAGCCGAUGAAAGUCUGAAAUAGGCUGCUAAAGGAGUACUAACAGACUUAGCAUUUUGCAUAUUAAAUCUGCAAAGAACUUUCUCAUGCACCCUUUCUAACUUAGGUACAAUUUACUUGCUUUUCUAUUUCUGAGAAUCUUCAUACCAAGUAUCUUCUUCGCUGGUCCCAAAUCUUUUAUCUCAAAUUUUUCACUUAGUUGGACUUUGACCUUUCUUAUCUCUCCUUUAUCUUUCGCUGCUAUCAACAUGUCAUCAAUAUAAAGGAGUAGAUACACAAAAGAACCAUCACUGUUUUUCUUAAAGUAAACACAACUGUCAAAGAUACUUCUUUUUAAAUCAUGAGAAGUCAUAAAGGAAUCAAAUCUCUUGUACCACUGUCUUGGUGACUGUUUCAAACCGUAAAGGGACUUUUUCAGCAAGCAAACAUAGUCCUCUUUUUUUGAGUAUAAAACCCUCUGGUUGUUGCAUGUAAAUAUCCUCCUCAAGUUCUCCAUGUAAAAAAGUAGUUUUUACAUCUAACUGCUCAAGCUCCAAAUCAUGCAUGGCCACAAUACUAAGCAAAGCUCGAAUCGAACUAUGCUUCAAAACUGGAGAGAAUACAUCUGUGAAGUCUACUCCUGGAAUUUGACUGUAACUCUUUGUAAUAAGUCUUGCUUUAUAUCUAGGUUCUUGAACUCCUUGAGUCCCCUCUUUCUUUUUAAACAUCCAUUUACAACGAACAACCUUUUUACCUUUAGGAAGUUUCACAAGAUCUCAUGUUUUAUUUUUGUGGAGUGAUUCCAUCUCCUCUUGCAUAGCAAACAUCCACUUUUCUAAGUCUUCCCGGUUAACUGCAUCAGAAUAAUUAGAUGGCUCUUGGUUUGCAUUUAUAUCUUUAGCCACAUUUAAAGCAUAAACAACUAGAUCAGCCUUGGCAUACUUCUUUAGAGGUUUAAUGUCUCUUCUAGUUCUAUUUUUGGCGAUAGAGUAUUGUGGUGGAGAAGCAACUCUAUUUUGAAUUUUUGUACUAACUUGAGGAGUCGACUCUGUUGUAGAUUCUGGAUUAAUCUGAUGCUCCACUUGCUUUUGAUUUUCUUUGUUGGAAGAGUCUUUAAGAGAUAAGUUAGGUAGCAUAACAGUUUCAUCAAAAACAACAUCUCUGCUAAUCACAACUUUUCUAUUUUCAGGACACCAUAACUUAUACCCUUUUACACCAGCUUUAUAACCAAGAAAAACACAUUUAAUGUAUCUCGGUUCCAAUUUUCCAUGAUCAAUAUGAGCAUACGCAGGUCACUCAAAAAUCUUUAAAUCAGAAUAGUCAGCAGGAUUACCAGACCAUACCUCUUGUGGAGUCUUUUUCUCAAUGGCGACGGAUAGAGAUCGGUUGAUCAAAAACAUGCAGUAGAGGCUGUUUCGGCCCAAAAUAACUAUGGUAAGUUGGCAUUUGACAACAUAUACCGAACCUUCUCCAUGAUCGUUCUGUUCAUUCGUUCUGCAACGCCGUUUUACUGUAGAGUAUAACGAACUGUCAAGUGUCUCACGAUUCCUUCUGACUUGCACAGUUUAUUAAACUCAUCAGAACAGAACUCUAAGCCAUUGUCUGUGCGGAGGUAUUUUAUUUGUUUUCCCGUCUAUUUUUCAAUCAUAGUUUUCCAAGAAGCUGCUUGCCACCAAUGCAGCUUAGUCGAAAUAUUUAGAGUUACGAGUGGAAAAUGCAGAGCAGAAGGCCAAGGAUGCUCAAAAGAAAAUAGUUGAGCUCGAAAGGUAGCUCAAGGCUUAGGUAAAGGAAGCUGCACAAGGGAGCAAUAAGCUUGAGGAGGUUGAUAAUGGACCAGAUGAUAAAAAUUCAGAAAACACUAGGAUCCUUUGACUCAACAGGUAUCAACUUUGAUAGAGCGAAGAUAUCUAAGGUUCGUUUUGUGUGCCUUUUUGAUACUAUGAUACUUCUAUAUCGAUUUUAGAUCAUUGAGAAUCGAUGAUAUGGCUGGACUAUGGAUUAAGCGGGAAGAGGAACUUCAAAAUAGGAUAAUUUAACUGGAGAAAGAAUUAUCUCGAAAACAAGCAUUGGACUCGGAAGUUGAGCGUCUAAGCGGAUCAUUGGAUGUAAUUGGCAAAAUGGAAGAUGGAGAUUACGUAAAUGUUCUAAGAAAGCUGGAGGAAUACCUUAAGGAUGUAGAGACAUUGAAUCGAUAUCUUAUUGCAAGAGAAUAACGGAGCAACGAUCAGGUGCAGGAAGUUUAAGAAAGAUUGAUCAGUGUAAGCUAUUUUUCUUCACUUACUAAAAUGUUUUCCACUCGAAUUUCAUUGCAAGAACCCCGAAGUUCUUCAAACAUUUGACCUUAUAUGUUAAUAGAUGGUAAUUGCUUUGCAAACUAAUGGUUUCUGCUGUUGUCAUGGUGUAGUAUAUUAUGGAAUCUGAAUCAACCAUUGGAAUCAAAAGAAUGGGAGAGCUUAAUCUAGAACCUUUUUUAGACAAAUACAAGAAGAAAUUUAUUAUUGACGGUGUUUGAAGUCCGAACAAUUAUCCUCGUUGUGGCAACAACAUAUUAGAAAUCCACUGUGGCUUCCUUUCAAGAGCAUUCAUACAUCAUAUCUUGAUUAUCUUUUUUGUACUUUAUAUAUGAAAGUCUGCACAUUAUAGACUACUCAUCUUGUGGUAAUGAUAUUCAAAUGAGAAAUCGUUCUUCAUUAAACCGUAAAUCCUUAUCCUUUACGCAUCAUUGCAGUAAGUGUUGCAGAACCACUUUAAAACACAUCAGGUUUUUAUCGACGAAAACACUUAUGGAAUGAUCUUCUGAGGUUUGGGUUCAUAGGCAACUUUCAACAUGGACACAUUAGUAACCAAUGUAGUUUUACUUUAUUUUUAUGUGUGAAUCAGUUAAUAGUUGAUGAAGAUAAUGAAGGAUUGAAGGAAUUGAGAAAUGAAUGGGGUGAAACGAUCUACAUGGCCGUAAUUGUUGCAUUACUGGAAAUGGAAGAGUACAAUCUAAGUGGGAGAUACAUAGUUUUUGAACUUUGGAAUUUCAAAGAUGAUGAAAAGCCAGCUUAAAAGAAGCUAUUGAGAUCUUCAUCCACCAUUUACAGAACAAACUGAGUCGAUCCCUGUACUUCUCGAACUGAUGGUAAGCUGAGUUGUUCCUGGUACUAGACUAUCAACAAGCCAAGCUAAUCCCAGUAUUUUGCGUAACAUUUCCAUGUAGUUAAUCUUAUUUUGCUAAUAUAUAAUCAAAUGACCAGUAUUUUGUUUAACCCUCAAACAUCCUGCGUGGAAGCAAGUUAUUCAUAUGAAUUGCUUGAAUUGCUCAUAUGUCCAAUGAAUUAUAAAGGAAUGCUGCUGAAUUCCCAUCGAUACAUACAUGCAUACGUAUUAGUGAAGUAUAUUCCAAUAUAAGAUCAAUAUUGGGAUUUACGUUUUAUAGAGCAGCAUUAAUGAUUGGUAAUAUACAUUGGUUCCAAGGCAAACCCAAAUAUUUUAACCUACAACUGUGGCAAAUCAAAUUUUACAGUAACCUAAUUAUAAUGUGAAGUCAAAUAUGAAAGUAACAUUGGUUUAUAUAUAUAUUUUUUUUUCUCAAAAUUCUAAUAAUCAAGUUGGUAUAAGUGAUAAACACUGAGCUUGCCACGUGUGUUAAACCACGUUUUUGUUAUGUGCCACUCCGAAGACAUCGGGCCUCUAUUCAGGCUGGCAUAGUCAGGACGUGGUAGCAUACUUCAGGGCCCUGGUUAGAAAAUAUCCCACAUCCGAUAAAAUUGGAACGAUACAGAGAAGAUUGCAAUCUUCUUUUUUUUCCCCUGGGUUUGGUGUUCAUAUUCAUGGGUUUUUGUGCACUUAAGAUUGCAAUUAGAGUUUUCUUUCUUUCUUUUACUGGGUUCGGUCUGUUUUACUCUCUUGAACUGUGAAUUUGAUUUCUUUUUUUUGCCAUUUUUUCAGCUUUGUUGCUUUUUUCCCCCUGGGUUUAGUUUUCAUGUUCAUGGGUUCCGCGCACUUGAGAUUGCAUUGGAGUUUUUUUUUUCUUUUCUUUUUACUGGGUUUUGGCCAGUUUUACUCUGUUGAACCGUGAAUACCUCAAGUUUUCUGGGAAUAAAUUGUUGCUUAUAUAUCUGCUGGUCAACAGUGCUAAUUUUCUGAUAUAUUGGCCAGAAUUGAAGGAAGAAGGUCCAAUUUUGCUUUUGAUCCUUCUACUACUAUCUUAAGAUUUAAAAGAAAUUCAAUUAAACAAUUUCUUCCAAUAAAAUUAAACAAGAAGGGACCUGCACACUUAGACAUGUUUCUCUUUGAAAAAAAUUCAAACAGGGUUUUAAAUUUUGCAAUGUGUUUUAUGUAAAUCAAAUGAUAUCCUGAAUUUUGCUAAGGGUGUUUCAUAUCCUUGAAUCCUUCUUUUGCUUGGCAAGUGAUUCAUUGAGUUUUUGUGAUCAAAUUUCAUGUUUCUUUUUUUAGUAUGGGAAUUUGUGGGAAAAUGCUUGGCAAUAUGGAAAUGAAACCAAUUUCCAUUUCCAAAGGCAACAGCAAAGUGGUGAAGCUUAUUGUUGAAAAAUUCUUCAAUAAUGUCAAUAAUGAAAAAGUAGAAAAUGGAAAAACAGAGAAUAAUUUUGGUUCUUCGUCCUAUUUGUAGUUAUAGUGAAUGGAUUUCUUUGAUUUUAGUAACUAAUAUUAUGAUUCCAACAUUUGGGGUUUUAAUCUCAAUAUAUGAACUUGGCUUUGCUUCUUAGUGUUAUUGUUGAACUUUUUAGGAUACCUCUAUCUUAAUCCAUUUAUGUGAUUUGAUAAUGAUAUUUGCAGGCACUUAAAUCUUCCAUUGAAAUGGAGAACACCAACUACGAGGAGGAGCUGAAGAAUGAUCGCAGGCUUGUUUGCAGUCUCAUAUACGAGAUUAAUUGCAGAAAAGAACAGUUGUCCCAAAUGGAACGUGAAUAUAACGAGAUGACCUCAACUCUUCGAGGACUCAUCAAUGGCCUCAUAGCAAAAAUUAACUCCAAGGACAGUAAUCUGUGGGGUUGGGAGCUUCAAUAUAAUGUAACCGUGAGACAGUUGAAGGGCAAGAAUGCUGCGUUGCGCCUUGCAUUUGCUGAAGGUACUUUAGAUUAUAUGUGUAUGUAAUGAGCAGAAUACUAUGUGUUAAUUGAAUCGUCUGGUACCCAUUGAUUGAUCUAUAUAAAUGUCAGGAUUUGAACCCCAAACUUAGCUUUUAUUACGGGAACCGGAUCAAUUUAGGCUCGGAUAAGCUUAAUGUGUUCAUAAACAGAUAAGAACAUAAUAUAUGGGAACACUUUGGCCAUACGAGGCUAAUGCUUAUAUGAUUCGCAUUACAGACUACAUGCUCCUAGUGAUAACUCUUCUGUAAGUACUAUUAGUCGAAUAGCUUUAUGAUGUAUUAAUCUAUCAAAUCUGGGUGUCAUAUUAUGAGUUCCAUUGCUAUGUUAAUCUAUGUACUAACAAUAUUAUGAAGUAAGGCAAUUUUGUGUACAUUAUAUUGGGAUGCAAGCUGAAUUCCCAUUAAUCAGUUUCAACCAUACAUACAUAUACAUAGAUAUAUAUAUGAAGUUAAGAACGUAAGUGCUGUUAAAUGGUACAUUACUCAGAUUGGUAAUAUAUUGGUGCCGAAUGUUCUAAAAUUUAACCAGCAUUACUGGUAAUAUAUUAGUGCCAAAUUUGACUAUUAUUGUUGAUAUAUCUUCAAAAAUUUCAGAUUUGAUAAAUAUAAAAGGGCAAUAAUGAAUAAAAAUACUGACUUUUUGAGAUCUUAUUUAAUGAAGGGAAGUUGAAUGUGGAAACUAAAUCGACCUAAGGGAAAUAAAAGCAAAAUAUGGAAAAGUUUUCUCGGGAAAACAAGUGUUAUCCUUCAUUUAUCUUGAUGAUUCUCUAACGCCGCCAAUUUUCCCCCCUAAGUUUACAGCAAGAAGACAAACGGCAACGUUAAGCCAUAUUCAUCCCAGGUUAAUUUUUUUUGUAAAUUAAACAUUUUUUGUAUACAUUUUGUUACCUAUUUAUUUUAUGUUUUUGAAGUUUCCAUUGCCAUUUCUACCUUUCCAAAAUGGUGUCUUUUUACUUGUUUUUUACUGGGUUAUUGACAUUUGUUCCAUAGAAUAAAUUUCUUUGAUUUUAGGGUUCUAUAUGUAUUUUUUUUAUGAAUUUGAACUUCAGUUAUCCAUAAAAAUUCUACCUUUAAUCUCAAUAUAUUUAUAGUCUAUAAGUUUUGACUUUUCUUCCAAUAAUAUAUCUCCAAAAUUCUAACUUAACCUUUUUAAACUUUGUCAUGUCAUUAUUAUUAUAGUUAAUUGCACCAAAUAUCUCCAAACUAUGGCCCUUAUUCUAAAAUAGUCCUCAAACUCAAAAUACGAGUAAUAUUUGGCCAUAAAAUGUAUAUAUUCAUUCCCUCUAAGCCAGUCGGUUAAGCCUCACAAUCCAACGUAACUGUAAAUCUUUCUUGGCAGCCAUGAAAUCAGUUCUAAAAUCCCUUGCAAACUCAAUCUUCCUUGUUCUUUUCAUCAUCUUUUCAUCUUCUACUCCACUUGUAUUGGCUCAAUGUGAAGCAGAGACCAGGACUAAUGGAUGCCAUAACUACAGAGAAUCCAUGAAGCUAAAAAUCAUUGCCAUUGUCGCAAUUUUACUAUCCAGCAUGAUUGGCGUGUGUCUGCCAUUGUUUUCUGGUCAGGUUCCGUCACUUAAACCCGACAGGGACUUGUUCACCAUUGUCAAGGCAUUUUCCUCCGGUGUUAUUCUAGCGACUGGGUACAUGCACGUGCUACCGGAUUCUUUUAACGACCUUAUGUCCGGGUGUUUGCCUGAAAACCCAUGGAGAAAGUUCCCUUUCACAACCUUCGUCGCAAUGCUGUCGGCUGUGUUGACCCUUAUGGUGGAUUCAUUUGCAAUGAGUGUAUACAAGAAACGUUGCGGUAAAGCUUUAAUGGCGGAUGCUAACAAUGGUGGUGGAUUGGAAAAUACGAACGUUGUACAAAUCGAUAAUUUUGAACACGGCCAUAGCCAUUCACUUGAGAUGAAUGACGACGUAUCAUCACAAUUGUUAAGGCAUCGAGUUAUUGCUCAGGUAUAUAUACAUGUUUGAAUCCUCAAAAUCGAUGGUUUUGCUUUUCAAGUCUUUACAUUAUGUAUUUCCUAAAUGUAGGUAUUAGAGUUGGGAAUUGUAGUUCAUUCAGUGGUGAUUGGCCUUGCAAUGGGAGCCUCUGGCAACCAAUGCACCAUUCGAUCACUCAUUGCUGCCCUUUGCUUCCAUCAAAUGUUUGAGGGGAUGGGACUUGGUGGAUGCAUACUGCAGGUAACCCCCAACAUUGCACUAUAUAUUUUCUCAUUCAAAUAUCCAUUUAGUGUACAAUAUUGAUUAACAUUAUGUUUGAUAUGUGCAGGCUGAAUAUGAGAUAAAAAUGAAAGCAAUCAUGGUAUUCUUCUUUUCAGCCACAACGCCACUUGGAAUAGUUCUGGGAAUUGGUUUGUCCAAGGUUUACAGUGAGACGAGUCCAACUUCACUUAUGGUGGUGGGACUACUUAAUGCUUGCUCAGCAGGGUUGCUGAAUUACAUGGCACUGGUUGAUCUACUUGCAGCUGAUUUUCUGGGCCCUAAGCUUCAAACAAAUAUGAAGCUCCAGGCUUGGUCAUAUGUUGCAGUUUUACUUGGUGCUGGAUUUAUGUCUUUGAUGGCAAAAUGGGCUUAGUCAUUUCAACAUAUACAUGUCUUUUUGUAAUCUUCUUUUUUUUUUCUUUUUUCUUUUUGCUUCAACAGAUAAGUUUAUAGUGGAUCAACACUUAUUCAAUCAAUUAUAAAAUUUAGGCAAAGAAUUGAGGCAACAAGGCUUGAACAUUGAUCUUUAAGAUCGUUUACUCCAUAUUGCAGGGCUCAUCACAAAGUAUAUAUAUCAGAAAAGUAUGCAAACUUCAAUUUUGUGUCAAUAUCAUUAUAAUUUAAACUGUUUAAUGUUACAUCAGAUGUAGAUGUCUUUAAGCCAAUGCUUAUAGCCACAAAGUCUCUUUGGUGCAAGCUAUAAGGACAGAGUUAUGUUAUAAAUAAACAAAUUAAAUAAUUUGUAUUUAAAAUAUCAAAUACUAAAAACCAAUAAAUAAGAUUAGAAAACCAAAAAUCGGAUAAAGAAUCAAAUUUUACUAGAUGUUGGGACUUGUUUUGCACAGUUUCCUUAAGAUAAAUUUGUCCGCUCCUACUGUACUUGGUGAAAUGUUGGGAGACUGUCUAAUAGGAUACAACAACACAAUGACCGAAAUAGUAGCAUCUCUACAGAGACCAAUGAACAACCUUGCCUUUUUCUAUCAUCAGAACAUUGGAAAAUAUAGAGAGAAAAAGAGAAGAAUUUUCGAGAGCAAAAUAAACUUGGUUUUAGAGAGUUUUUUAGUGUAAAAAAUUUUGAAGAAUUCUUAAGCAUUCAAGAUGGAGGAAUUUUUGAAAUAUCCAUAAUUAAAUAUACAAAAUCUGUAUUAAAUGAGCAAUUAAAUCAUAAUAUAUGUCCUUUUUAAAUUAGAUUAUAUAUAUUUGUUGAGAAAAAUAAAUUUUGUGUUGGGCUUAAAAUAUCCAUAGGCCCAACUGACCGGUCUAGACAUUUCACAUCGCCCAUGUAGUGCGAGUGCGCUUCAACCCCAAUGGGUUCGGAUCUACACCCCCUGCGCGUGAGACAAAGUUUCAAACUUAGUCAUUCAAUCAUCUUUCAAGUGGGUUCUCAUAUAUAAACGCAUCUCACAUUUGGUAUUUAAUCAAUGUGAGAUCUAAGCUUUUCUUUUCCUCAACAAAUAUUCACAAGUAACUUACUUUGAGUAUUAAUUUCUCGCUCAUCACUCAACCAUUUUGAGCAUACGAUAUACUGUUUUAAAGGUAUCAUGGAGUAGAAUAUAAAAUCAUAAUUUUAUGAUUCAAUUCUCCACUUAUACCAAUUGAGAAUAUGCUUCAAAGUUUCUAAAAAUUACAAUUUUUUUCAACAUUUUAUACAUCUAGUUUAAAGGUAUAAUCGAGUCCAGUAGAGCCCGAAUAAUGGCAAGCUUGAACUUGACUCAAACAUCACUUUUUAAGCUCAAUCUUGAUUCAAAACAUGAUUGAGCUGAUUAAGCUCGUUUAUCAAUUUUUAUAAUCAAACUCAUUUAUAAUUAAGCUCUUUUUAUAUAUCAAAGAUAAAAAUGUAAUUUUAUAAGUAAAAAUAUAUUUAAAUGGAAUGCUUAAUUAGGUUUGUGGGCUACUUGAAUCAAGUAUUACAAUAUUUAAAUUCAGCUUAAUCAAUAGCUCGAGCUCUACUCAAUAAUUUUCGAUAAAAUAUUAAGAUUUUUUGAAUCCAAUUCGAAUAGCUUGCAAAUAUAAUGUAUCACUUGUACUCUUAAUUUUGAGUUUGCAUUUUUAAUUCUUAAAAUAAUAUUAAAAAGUUCUUUCUUUCUAAAAAGAAACACCCAAUCAAUUGAAGGCUUUUUAGAAAGUGGUGGCAAAGUGCAUCCUUUACUUUAAGUCUCACUAUAUCUAAAAAGAAAUUAAUGCGAACUGUAGAAAGUGGUAGGAAUGUGCAUCAUUAUUGCUUUAAAAGAAUUUCAAUCUUUAAACGGAUAGAAUUAAAUUUUCAUAAUUUGGAAGAGUUAAAGUGUAAUUUUUUUUAUUAAUUUAAAAUUUUAAAAUUUUUUAAAGAGUUCAAAUAAUAAUUUUUUAUUUUAAGAGAGCCGGGCUCCUGUCAACUCCUGGAUUUGCCUCCAUAAUUUUCAAAAUUUUAAAUUAUGUUAUUUUGAAUAAAAAGUUAAUUGAUAAAGAAAUUCCUUUAGUUUCAAAAAUUCAAUUUUUUUGUUUUAAAAAAUAUUAAAAUUUAAAAAUUAAAAGAUUAAAGUAAUAAAAUUUCUCCCAAUAUUAAUGUCUUUUUGAUACAUGCACGAAUGGAGUGAAAUUUAUUAGAUUCCAAUCAUCAAAACUGCCAAUUUUUAGGCUUGGGAAAUUAGCACACUUGCGAUGACUUUGUGGAUGGGAUUCUGGCAUUUUUUGGGUUGAGAUGUCUCAUGGCAUUUGAAGAUCAAUCUCUUAGCUUCGAAACACAUUUCGAAUCACUCGAUUUUGAGUUCGGAAGCUCAAGUUAUGACUGUUUUAGUGAAGACUGCGCGAGCAGAAUUUUUGAACGAGAUUAUGACGGGAGUUACAAAUUUUGGGCUUUUAAUUCAUGUUUAAAUUAUAUUGGGUUCAGGUUUUAGACUUACUUUUUUUAUUAUAUAUGAGCCUAAUAUUAUAGUUGUUAGAUCUUAUUAUUUUAUUAUUAUUUUAUUCUAAAUUUUUUAUAAUUAUUAAGUAUUUUAAGUUAUUUAGGAGUUUUAUAUUAACAAGAAAAUUCAAUUUAAAACUACUUCUUAUUUAGAUUAAAUUAGAAUUCUAGUAUACUUAAAAGUUUUAUUUAGAUUUAUUUAGCUAGCCUAUAUGUAGGCAUUAUUCAUUAUUAUUCUAUUUAUCUUUUGAGUUAAUAAAUUCUCUCUGGGGUUUUUUUUUUCAAGAAUUUUUCUUGAGUUUCUUUUAGAAGAGUUUUAACAAUCAUUUUAGAUUGUGGGGAUCAUUUUCAAACUUUUUAUUGCCAAGGUUUCUAUCUUGAAGGGGAAAUUAGAGCCGCUUGAAGGGGAUUGUGAAUUCUUCGUGUUUCCAAGGCUUAUUAGGACUUCUACACACCACAUUCUAUCUUUUCAUUUAUCUUCUUUAUUUGCUUCCUUAUCUUUAAUUUAUUAUUUUAUUUUAGUUAUUUAUUUUAAUUGUUUUAUCUGACUUGGAUUCAAUUUCGUUUCAGAUUGUGUCAAAAUCCAAUUUCUUUCCGAACGUUUAGAACCCUAAGUCAAAUCCAUAAUUUUGACAAACUUUAUGAUCCACUUUCGCGUUCAUCCUUCUCAUCCUUUUGUACUGGCUUGAGGAGUCGACUCUGUUGUAGAUUCUAGAUUAAUCUGAUGCUCCACCUGCUUUUGAUUUUCUUUAUUGGAAGAGUCUUUAAGAGAUAUGUUAAGUAGCAUAACAGUUUCAUCAAAAACAACAUUUCUGUUAAUCACAACUUUUCUAUUUUCAGGAUACCAUAACUUAUACACUUUUACACUAGCUUUAUAACCAAGAAAAACACAUUUAAUGGUACACAAUUUUAAUUUUCCAUUAUCAGCAUGAGUAUACGCAAAACACCCAAAAAUCUUUAAAUCAGAAUCGUCAGCAGGAUUACUAAACCAUACUUCUUAUGGAGUCUUUUUCUCAAUAGCAACGAAUAGAGACCGAUUGAUCAAAAACAUAUAGUUGACAUUGCUUUGGCCCAAAAUAACUUUGAUAAGUUGCCAUUUGACAACAUACAUCGAACAUUCUCCAUGAUCGUUCUAUUCAUUCGUUCUACAAUACCUUUUUUAAAAUGUUCAUGUUCUAAAAUGAAAAACAAUAUGAAUUGCAUGAAUUGCUUAUAUGUCCUAUGAAUUAUAAAGGAAUGCGGUUGAAAUAUUCCCAUCGAUACAUACAUACAUAUUCGUGAAGUAUGUUCCAAUAUAAUAUCAAUAUUGGGAUUUACGUUUUAUAAAGCAACAUUAUUGAUUGGUAAUAUACAUUAAUUCCAAGGCAAACCCAAAUAUUUUAAAAUUUAACCUACAACUGUGGUAAAUCAAACUUAAUAGUAACUCGAUUGUAAUGUGAAGUCAAAUAUGAAAGUAACAUUGGUUUAUAUAUAUAUUUUUCUCUAAAUUCUAAUAAUCAAGUUGGGAUAAGUGAUAAACACUGAGCUUGCCACGUGUGUUAACCACGUUUUCAUCAUGUGCCACUCCAAAGACAUCAGGCCUCUAUUCAAGCUGGCAUGGUCAGGACGUGGUAGCAUACUUCAGGGAUCUGGUUAGAAAAUAUCCCAUAUCGCUAAAGAACUAUAACACAGGAGCGUUUAUAUAAGCGAAAGAAGCAUCAGAUGGUUGUCCCUUCGGGGACAUCCGAUAAAAUUGGAACGAUACAGAGAAGAUUAGCAUGGCCCCUGCGCAAGGAUGACACGCACAAAUCGAGAAAUGGUCCAAAUUUUUUUCCCUUUUUUUUCCCACAUUUUUACAGCUCUGUUUCUUUUUUUUUUCCUGGGUUUGGUGUUCAUAUUCAUGGGUUUUUGUGCACUUAAGAUUGCAAUUAGAGUUUUCUUUCUUUCUUUUACUCUCUUGAACUGUGAAUUUGAUUUUUUUUUCCAUUUUUUCAGCUUUGUUUCUUUUUUCCCCCUGGGUUUAGUUUUCAUGUUCAUGGGUUCCGCGCACUUAAGAUUGCAUUAGAGUUUUUUUUUUUUCCUUUUUACUGGGUUUUGGCCAGUUGUACUCUGUUGAACCGUGAAUACCUCAAGUUUUCUGGGAAUAAAUUGUUGCUUAUAUAUUUGCUGGUUAACAGUGGUAAUUUUCUGAUAUAUUGGCCAGAAUUGAAGGAUGAAGGUCCAACUUUGCUUUUGGUCCUUCUACUACUAUCUUAAGAUUUAAAAGAAAUUCAAUUAAACAAUUUCUUCCAAUAAAAUUAAAUAAGAAGGCCCAGAAAUUGACCUGCACACUUAGACAUGUUUCUCUUUGAAAAAAAUUCAAACAGGAUUUUAAAAUUUGCAAUGUGUUUUAUGUAAAUCAAAUGAUAUCCUGAAUUUUGCUAAGGGUGCUUCAUAUCCUUGAAUCCUUUUUUUGCUUGGCAAGUGAUUCAUUGAGUUUUUGUGAUCAAAUUUCAUGUUUCCUUUUUUAGUACGGGAAUUUGUGGGAAAAUGCUUGGCAAUAUGGAAAUGAAACCAAUUUCCAUUUACGAAGGCACCAGCAAAGUGGUGAAGCUUAUUGUUGAAAAAUUCUUCAAUAAUGUCAAUAAUGAAAAAGUAGAAAAUGGAAAAACAGAGAAUAAUUUUGGUUCUUCAUCCUAUUUGUAGUUAUAGUGAACGGAUUUCUUUGAUUUUAGUAACUAAUAUUAUGAUUCCAACAUUUGGGGUUUUAAUCUCACUACAUGAACUUGGCUUUGCUUCUUAGUGUUAUUGUUGAACUUUUUAGGAUACCUCUAUCUUAAUCCAUUUAUGUGAUUUGAUAAUGAUAUUUGCAGGCACUUAAAUCUUCCAUUGAAAUGGAGAACACCAACUACGAGGAGGAGCUGAAGAAUGAUUGCAGGCUUGUUUGCAGUCUCAUAUACGAUAUUAAUUGCAGAAAAGAACAGUUGUCCCAAAUGGAACGUGAAUAUAACGAGAUGACCGCAACUCUUCAAGGACUCAUCAAUGGCCUCAUGGCAAAAAUUAACUCCCAAGGACUGUAAUCUGUGGGGUUGGGAGCUUCAAUAUAAUGUAACCGUGAGACAGUUGAAGGGCAAGAAUGCUGCGUUGCGCCUUGCGUUUGCUGAAGGUACUUUAGAUUAUAUAUGUGUAUGUAGUGAGCAGAAUACUAUGUGUUAAUUGAAUCGUUUGGUACCCAUUGAUUGAUCUAUAUAAAUGUCAGGAUUUGAACCCCAAACUUAGCUUUUAUUACGGGAACCGGAUCAAUUUAGGCUCGGAUAAGCUUAAUGUGUUCAGAACCAGAUAAGAACAUAAUAUAUGGGAACACUUUGGCCAUACGAGGCUAAUGCUUAUAUGAUUCGCAUUACAGACUACAUGCACUGUUAGUUGAAUAGCUUUAUGAUGUAUUAAUCUAUAAAAUCUGGGUGUCAUAUUAUGAGUUCCAUUGCUAUGUUAAUCUAUGUACUAACAAUAUUAUGAAGUAAGGCAAUUUUGUGUACAUUAUAUUGGGAUGCAAGCUGAAUUCCUAUUAAUCAGCUUCAACCAUACAUACAUACAUACAUACAUACAUACAUACAUAUAUAUAUGAAGUUAAGAACGUAAGUGCUGUUAAAUGGUACAUUACUCAGAUUGGUAAUAUAUUGGUGCCGAAUGUUCUAAAAUUUUACCAGCAUUACUGGUAAUAUAUUAAUGCCAAAUUUGACUAAUUAUUGUUUAUAUAUAUUCAAAAAUUUCAGAUUUGAUAAAGAUAAAAUGGCAAUAAUGAAUAAAAAUACUAACUUUUUGAGAUCUUAUUUAAUGAAGGGAAGUUGAAUAUGGAAACUAAAUCGACCUAAGGGAAAUAAAAGCAAAAUAUGGAAAAUAUUUCUCGGGAAAACAAGUGUUAUCCUUCAUAUAUCUUGAUGAUUCUCUAACGCCGCCAGUUUUCCCCCCUAAGUUUACAGCAAGAAGAAGAAGAAAAAGAAGACAAACGGCAACGUUAAGCCAUUUUCAUCCCAGGUUAAUUUUAUUGUAAAUUAAACAUUUUUUGUAUACAUUUUGUUACCUAUUUAUUUUAUGGUUAUGAUUUGCCGAGUGGACAUUUUCAACAAUGUGGAUUGUAUCUGAUACAGCCGAAAGAGAAUGUGCCUUGUCGAGAUCUUGUUGAACUCGUGAAAACUACGAGCGAUCAGAUUGCUGCUCUAAAGGAACAAUUGGAGGAAACAUCAGAGGCGUUGAAAGAUAUGGAAAGCCGAUACAGUUGUCUUACGGUGAAACAAAUCUUAAUUAAUCGAGAACUGCAAGAUGCUCGAAAAGAAUCAGUAAGUGUAUUUCCUCGUUUUCCUUUGUUUUCUUGGAUGUUUUAUUUCUUUAGGUGCAAGAAAUACCUCUUCGGAAUCAGGUAUGAAAGUGUUAAACCGAAGACUUCUCUGGUUCUUGAUAUGCAGGGUCUAAAUGAUGUAUUGACAAGCCGAACAACUCUUGUAGUAAAAAAAAUGGGAGAGAUUGAUCGAAAAGCUUUUGAAGUUGCUAGCUCUGGGAAGUUCCCGAACAAAGAUUGGCAAGAAACAUGUGCUAAAUUAUGUUCAUUAUGGCAACAAAACGUGCAGGAUCCGAAAUGGCACCCGUUUAAGAUGAUCAAUAUCCGAGGCAACUUGCAGGUAUGGUGCAUACACCAACUAUUCUGUUAUCCGGUUAUCGAAAAUCCGUUUUUUUACUAAAUGUGCUAAACAUAUAUGUCAGAAUCGAGCCAGUUUAUUACUCAAACUUAUAUAUAUUAAGGGGAUAGCUACUCGGUAGUGUAGGAAAUAGUAGACGAAGACGACGAGAAGCUGAAGGAGUUGAGAAAUGAAUACGGUGAUGUCGUGUACGAGGCUGUUAGCACCGCAUUGAUGGAAAUGAACGAAUAUAAUGGGAGCGGAAGGUAUGCAGUCAUUUAAGCUAGUUGAGUGACCCGCAAUCUAGUUUAUCAUUUUUAAAAUAUUUAUAGUCUAUGAAUUUUGACUUUUCUUCCAAUAAUAUAUCUCCAAAAUUCUAACUUAACCUUUUUAAACUUUGUCAUGUAAUUAUUAUUAGAGUUAAUUGCACCAAAUAUCUCCAAACUAUGGCCCUUAUUCUAAAAUAGUCCUCAAACACAAAAUAUUGUAAAUUAUAUUUCCAAAUUAUCAAUAUUAUAUCAAUAAUGUUCUUCUGUUGUUAAAAUCAUUAAAUGAGACGUCAAAUGAGACAUAAUUUAAAAUAAAAAACUUAAAGAAAAAUAAAUAUAUUGUAAAAUAUUGAUUUCAAGGUUUUCGAAGCUAUUACAAAAACUAUCAUUCAUUUUCUCUUUUACUUUAUUUUUAAUUUUUAUUUUUAAAAGUUGUAUCAACAACAUUUUACUUUUCUUUAAAAAUAUCAUUUUAAAUUAAUAGUGUCAAUAAUAAAAGGAUGAGAUAAAUAGUUUAAAAUAUUUUAAAGUUGGGAGAAUAAUUUAAAAUAAAGAUUCAAUAUUGUUAAUCUAGUACUAUUUCAUAAUAUCAUUUUAUCGUAUCAACUUUUAAAGAUGACUUUUUUUUUUGAAAUAUUUUAAAGACAACAUUUAAAGAUUGAUUAUAAUAAUAUUGUUGCAUGGAAAAAGAAUUUCCACGUUAGCAGAAAGGCUUACGCCUGACGUGUGCUUAGUAUUAUUAGUAAAGUCAAAGGUCGAGAAAGUCUAAGGCGGGUCACACAUAUCACACGCCAUGCACAGGUUUCCUUAUUUCGAGGCUAAAAUACCAAAAUACCAUCACAUUUCUUGUUAAAUUUAUCACUUAAUCAACGAUCCUCUAAAACGAAGUAAGGACAUAUUAGAAAUUUUAAUUGCAAUAAUAUCACCAAAUCUGAAAAAUUACAAAUGAGGCAAAAAAAAAUACGAGUAAUAUUUGGCCAUAAAGUGCAUAUAUUCAUUCCCUCUAAACCAGUCGGUUAAGCCUCACAAUCCAACGUAACCGUAAAUCUUUCUUGGCAGCCAUGAAAUCAGUUCUAAAAUCCCUUGCAAACUCAAUCUUCCUUGUUCUUUUCAUCGUCUUUUCAUCUUCUACUCCACUUGUAUUGGCUCAAUGUGAAGCAGAGACCAAGACUAAUGGAUGCCAUAACUACAGAGAAUCCAUGAAGCUAAAAAUCAUUGCCAUUGUCGCAAUUUUACUAUCCAGCAUGAUUGGCGUGUGUCUACCAUUGUUUUCUGGUCAGGUUCCGUCACUUAAACCCGACAGAAACUUGUUCACCAUUGUCAAGGCAUUUUCCUCCGGUGUUAUUCUAGCGACUGGGUACAUGCACGUGCUACCGGAUUCUUUCAACGACCUUAUGUCCGGGUGUUUGCCUGAAAACCCAUGGAGGAAGUUCCCUUUCACAACCUUCGUCGCAAUGCUGUCGGCUGUGUUGACCCUUAUGGUGGAUUCAUUUGCAAUGAGUGUAUACAAGAAACGUUGCGGUAAAGCUUUAAUGGCGGAUGCUAACAAUGGUGGUGGAUUGGAAAAUACGAACGUUGUACAAAUCGAUAAUUUUGAACACGGCCAUAGCCAUUCACUUGAGAUGAAUGACGACGUAUCAUCACAAUUGUUAAGGCAUCGAGUUAUUGCUCAGGUAUAUAUACAUGUUUGAAUCCUCAAAAUCGAUGGUUUUGCUUUUCAAGUCUUUACAUUAUGUAUUUCCUAAAUGUAGGUAUUAGAGUUGGGAAUUGUAGUUCAUUCAGUGGUGAUUGGUCUUGCAAUGGGAGCCUCUGGCAAUCAAUGCACCAUUCGAUCACUCAUUGCUGCCCUUUGCUUCCAUCAAAUGUUUGAGGGGAUGGGACUUGGUGGAUGCAUACUGCAGGUAACCCCCUACAUUGCACUAUUUUCUCAUUCAAACAUCCAUUUAGUGUACAAUAUUGAUUAACAUUAUGUUUGAUAUGUGCAGGCUGAAUAUGAGAUAAAAAUGAAAGCAAUCAUGGUAUUCUUCUUUUCAGCCACAACGCCACUUGGAAUAGUUCUGGGAAUUGGUUUGUCCAAGGUUUACAGUGAGACGAGUCCAACUUCACUUAUGGUGGUGGGACUACUUAAUGCUUGCUCAGCAGGGUUGCUGAAUUACAUGGCACUGGUUGAUCUCCUUGCAGCUGAUUUUCUGGGCCCUAAGCUUCAAACAAAUAUGAAGCUCCAGGCUUGGUCAUAUGUUGCAGUUUUACUUGGUGCUGGAUUUAUGUCUUUGAUGGCAAAAUGGGCUUAGUCAUUUCAACAUAUACAUGUCUUUUUGUAGUUUUUUAAUCUUUUUUUUUUUAUGCUUCAACUGAUGAGUUUAUAGUGAAUCAACACUUAUUCAAUCAAUUAUAAAAAUUAGGCAAAGAAUUUAGGCAACAAGGCUUGAAUAUUGAUCUUUAAGAUCGUUUACUCCAGAUUGCAGGGCUCAUCACAAAGUAUAUAUAUCAGAAAAGUAUGCAAACUUCAAUUUUGUGUCAAUAUCAUUAUAAUUUAAACUGUUUAAUAUUACAUCAGAUGUAGAUGUCUUUAAGCCAAUGCUUAUAGCCACAAAGUCUCUUUGGUGCAAGCUAUAAGGACAGAGUUAUGCUAUAAAUAAACAAAUAAAUGUUGUAUAAAACCCUUCUCAAAUAAAUGUUGUAUAUAUAUAUUAUUGAGAAGAUCACUAGUUAAACUAAAAGUUUAGUUCUUUAAUGCACCUAAAAAACUUUGUAGUAUCCACAUUGUUAGUGGAUUAAGACUUUAACCAAGUUAAGGUCAGCGCAGAAAAACAAGCAUGCGAGUCAGUAAUAUUCUAAUGCCACCAUCCACCAUUAUUAAACAAACAAAAUAUUUGUCAUUGACAACAAGGCAAUGUGUGUAGGUUUUGAAAAAUAUCAGUAAAGGGAAAAAAAUAAAAACUGAUGAAAUUGAAACUUGUUUUUUAAUAAGGAACGAUGGUGAUGAGCUUAUCUUGUUUGAACCAAUAAUUGCCAAAUGUGAGGACCACAAGAAAGAAAUCAAAAGGGAAAAAAAAAAAAAAAGGUAGGGCUGUUUAAGUGGGGGGAUGCACAUUUGGUACUGGUAAUGGUAGCAAAGUUUUGCAGUAUGGUACCCUUGUGUGGUCACAGAAUUUCCAAGAGACCCCCCUAACAUUACUAUAAGUAACCAAUUGUUGCGGCCAAUAAAAUUUUUACAGUCUGUACUAUAAAAACAAUGCAUACCUUAACUGUUUUUUAAUCCCCCCCAGCCCCCCGCAAUGCAUGAAUACCGAUGAUUGUUUACCAUUAUGAAAGUACAAAUGCAGACACUCCUGUUGUUGGAAAAAAUGCAUUUUAAUGGGAACUUUAAGACAUAUUCUAUAUAGGUAAAAGUGGAGAGUUGAGAUAUUGUUGAGUAAAAAUAAAGGCUUGGAUCCAUAUUGGUUAAAUACCCAAGUGUGAGAUGAGUUUAUAUAUGCGAACCCUCUUAAAAGAUAAUUGAAUGAUUAAGUUUGUAACUUUGUCUCAUGCGUAGAAAGUAUAGGUCUAAAACUGAAAGGGUUGGGGCGCACCCGCACGACGUGGGCAACGUGAAAUGUUUGGACCGGUCAGGCUUAAUUGGGCUUACGGAUAUUUUAAGCAAGCCCAAUACAAAUUUAUUUUUCCUCAGCAGACAUAAUCUGCUUAUAUAUAGACAAUAUUUAAUUUGAUUUAAUUUUUAAACCAAAUUGAUUUUUAUGUUUAUUUCCUUAAUUUUUAAAUCUAAUUUGACUUUUCCUUAAUCGCAGAUUUUAUGUUUAUUUCCAAAUUUUUUUAUUAUCCUAAAUGCCUAUAAAAUGUUGUGUAUUCUGGAGGAUUACACACACAUUCAAAUAAUUUCUUAUACCGAAAUUCUGUUCAUUUCAAAACUCUUCUUUUGCGUCUCUGUAUUUUUACAAUAUUCCAGUGAUAGAAAAAGAAAAAGUUCGUUUGUUCGAUCGUUGUAGAGGUGCUACUACUUUGAUCAUUGUUGUUGUUGUAUCCUGGGAAACAUUCGACCAACAUUUCUCCAAGUACCAUAGGAGCAACCGAAUUUGCCUCAAGGAAACUGUGUUUCACAGGCCUCGACUUUUCGUAAAAUCUCGAUUCUACUUUAUUUCAAAUUUUUAUUUGAUUUUUGUAUUUGAUAAAUUAAUUAUAAAUCAUUCUAUUUAUAUUUUAUUUCAUAUGUGUUUAUUUAUAAUUAAUUAUUUUGUUCGCUAACAUGUUUUGUCCAACACCUAUUACAAUUUUUAUGGUUCGAUUCCUUUUGAUGAAGAUUUCCCCAGGAUAAUACUUACUUCAUAAAACUUCCUAGCUGUGAAACAUGGUACUUAUCUUAUAACAAGACUUUGCUAGGAGAACCGCAAAAUAUGUUCUUAUUAACAUAUGUAACGUAUUAAUCCUUAGUUUCAUCAUGAAUUUGGAUACAAAUGUGUUAAUGGAUAUAGCCACAUAUCUGCAGAUACAGGCACAAGUGAGCAAUAAGAGAGAGCGGUAGAGAGAGAGAGUUGAUAUAUUGGGGUUGAAUUGACGGGUUGUGCAAUUGGAUGCAAGAAAGGUGCAGCAGGCACCUAAGGUCACUAGUAUAAAGGACCCACUUGAGCACAAGUUUGUGUUUCAAUUCAAAUGUUGCUCUCUCAGAUGAUGUUUGGCACCAAAUGGGUUAGGUGUUAAUCCAGUCCCCCUCCGUACAUAGCACUGCUUUCGCAUUUGUAGUGCCCCUUUCGGCCCUUUUCCUUCUGCAUACUAGCUAUGCCUAUAGCAACAUAACUAGGCUAGGCAUGUAUGGGGGUAAAGAACGGCCAUUAGUGAUCCCCUUUUAUUCUUCUUUUACUUUUCAGAUUUGGAACAGAAAGGAAGGAAGGAAAGCCACCAUGAAAGAAAUCAUUCAGUACGUAAUCGGGCAACUGAAGAUUCAUAAGCGUAAAUGAAAGCGAAUUCCGUGAUCUCGAUCUGACUAUUUUCAUGGUAAGCUUACCUAUCCUUUACUAUCAAUCACUAAUCAUUUUACGGUUUAUAGUCGUUUUUUACAUAUCAUGAAAACUAAUCAUUUCGAGAUUUGUGGUUGUCAUUCCCAAUAAUUUUGUUUUCAAUACUUUUUAAUAUUAUUUUAGAUUUUAAAAUUCUUUUCCAAUUUAAAUACUAAUAUAUAUAUAUAUAUAUUAUAGCCCAAUGUUAUUCAACCUUUAAAUUAAUAUAAACAACUUAUACUGUUAUGAGUUUUUUUCCCCAUUUUUAUCUUCAAAAAUUGUGAAUCAAAGGCAAUUAGAUCUGUGAUUUUUGGCUUUGAAAACCUUAUCAACUUGAGCACAAAUCUUUGAUCAAAUAAACUCGAUAUGAUCUUAUUAGAAAAUUUAAACUUCAAAUAAUUUCAAACUUAAAUUUGAAACUGAUUUGGAUGAAAUGAUCUGAAAAUUUCUAAUUUUGAAUUAUUCUAUUAUAGAUCUAGCUAUAGCCCAAGACCCAUCACAAAUCUAUGUAUUUGGAUAAUUACCUUCUUCCUAAAAGAUAUGUUGCAGUGCACUCGAUUAUUUAUUUAGGAUUUUUUUCCCGAUGUGGGAUUAAUGACUUUGAUUAUGUAUUGAUAAAUUUUAAUUUUUAAAGUAAAAAUAGAGAAAUUAAGUUUCAAAUGUACGAACUGUGUAAGAACUUCGAGAAUAUUUUAAUCUUCAAAUUUUUUACUUUAUAAUUUAAUACAAAUAAAUAAUCAAUACAAUGCAAAACAAUGAGAGGCUAAUCUUUUUAACAACAUGCCUACAUCCUCAUUUAAUAAAUGAUUUUAAUUUUUAUAUAAUUCUCAUUCGGCUUAAUGUUGUAUCUAAGUUGAUUAUUAGUAGUGAAGUCAAAAAAAUAUUUUGAGGGUUGAAAUUAAAUUGAAUAUUUUUACGAUAGUAAAAAUAUAAUUUUACCAUUUUAAUAGUCUAUAUAUAAUUUACAAUUAUUAAUUUAAAAUUUUAUAAUUUAUAAAGGAGCCUAAAUGAAAAUUUUUUUCAUUUUAAGGAAACUGGCAUUGGUGAUUAUAAUAAGAAUCAAAUUCUGACCUAUAAGGUUAUACAUUAUUUUUCAGUAAUUGCUUUUUUUUUUCGUUUUGGGUAACAUUUUCCCUAUGUAUUCAUUUAGUUGCCUUACAAAUAAUGUACAUUAUUGUAAAGAGAGUCGAUGUAUUAUUCUUCAAUACUUACCUCGUUUUUUCUAACCCUUUAUUUGCUAAUAAAACACAACGUUUACAUUGGGACCAUAAUUUCAUGCAGAAAGGGAAAAGACUUUGCCAUUCCCUAAUAUCCUUUUCUAAGCAAAGGAUCAUCUAUGUACUAGUGACAAAUGGGUUCAUAUCGGUCUCUCUUCGGAUUAAGAUUACCACCUAUUUGAACCGGUUUAAGUUUGACUAUUUAGAAUUUGAAUACUUUUGAGUUUAGAUUGUCUCAAUUUAAAAUAAGUAUUUAGACUAGUUGAUCCACGAACCGGUUGAACAAACGACCGAUUUGAUUUUUUAAAAUAUAUAUUUUUUAAUUUUUAAUAGUUUAUUCAAUUAAACCAAUUGGAUUGAUUAAAUUGAGUAGAGGUGGUUUCUAUUGCACACAAUCUAAUGAAAGACACAAAAAUGUACAGAAAUGUUUUAAAGUUUAGGUAAAUAAUUUAAUGAAAAAUAGACAUGAUUAGUGGCGAAGUCCUGGUUCUCUAAAAUAGAAUAUUUUCCAUUUAGUCUUUUAUAAUUUUUAAAUUUUUAAAUUAGUAAUGGUAAAAUUACACUUUCCUCGCCUAAAAUUGAUAAAAAAUUGAUUUACCCUUUUAAAAAUUAUAAAGAUAUAAACUAUUAAAAUGGUAAAAUUGUAUUUUUAUUAUCGUAAAAAUAUACAAUUUAAUUUUGUCCCAAAAAUUUUUUUGACUUCGCCCUACAUAUCAUUAUCUUAAUAAAAAAGGUAAAAAUAUUGAGUAUACAAUAAUUAGGUUGAACAAUUUUUGUUGGGAAUAUAUGUUAAAAAAAUAUAGAUUAGCUAUUAAAUGUAAAAUGGCAAAAGAAUAAAUUAUAAAGUGUACACAUAAGGUUGAUUUCGUAAAACUAAAAAUUACCAAUUUUUCACAACUUUGUCAACUAUUAUAUACUUGAGAUGGCAAGAGCCUUUUUUACUUUAAUCGGUGGUUAAUGGUUCGAUCAUUGUCCUGGAUAUGGAGUAACUUUAAAACUCGUGACCAACAUCUAUCCGUUAAUGGGCCUAUAGAAUGUGGAGGGUUAGUUACUAGGUUCGCUCUAAUAGAUACAUUGAUAAAUUAAAAAAAUGGAAUAAAAAAUGUUAGUAAAUUUGACAUUUGAAGUUGUUUAAAGUUAUAAAUUAAAUUGGUAAUAUAUAAGAGAUAUUUUUAUUUGUGUUUAUAUAGAAUUGAAGGAAUAAAAUUUUAAUAUUAACCAUAAAUUAGCAAAUAAUAUCUUCAAAUUUUAAAGUUAUAAAAGUGAAAUAAUAUCAAACAUGAAAUCAAUUACUUUAUUUUAUUUUUUAAUUUUUAUUAUAUAUAGUCAACAUUAUAUUUGAAAAUCAAUAUUACAUAUUGAGAAUUAAUUAUUAUGAACACUUUAUUGUGGGGUUCUUUUACAUUAAUAAUAUAAAAUAAAUAAAUAAAUGCUAGAAUAGGAUAAAGGGAAUAAUAUUUACAAGAAUAGGUAAUGAAAUAGUGAAAUAUCGGUGUUGUCUGACCAAUCGGCGACACCAGACUAAAAUGUGAUGAUCUAAAAGGAUAAAUUGUACCCUAAGUCCCCCUUAUUUAUUAUUUAUUAUUUUUCUUUAACACCAAAAAAUAGAUUGGCCUUUUAUAAAUUAGUCUAGUUUUUUUUUACCAAAAAAUAUUUUUGUAAGUAAACCGUUUCUAUUUAGAAAUAAAUUUUAUUUAUUUUAAAAUAAUAUUUAUAAUUUUAUUAUCCAUUUGAUUUACGUACACAGUAUAAAAUUAUAAUUAUAAAAGCUUUAGAAAAAAUCUUAUUAUGUAUAAAUUAUAAUUAUUAGUUAAAUUUAUAGUUUCCAAAUAUAAUGAGAGAAAAAGAAAACUACUAUAAAUACAGUUAAUUGUAAUGUCAAACAUAAUGUGAUUUUUUUUUAAAAUAAAUAAAAUUUAUUUCGAGUUGGAAUCGACUUACUUGAAAAAAAUACUUUUUAGUAAAAAAAAAUUAGACUAAUUGAUAAGAGGUCAAUUUAUUUUUGGUGUUAAAAGAUAAUAAAAUUUAAUAAUAAAUAGGGGUUUAGGGUGCAAUUUACCCUUUUAAAUUUGGUGCUGUCAUACUGUUAGGCGGCACCCAUGAAGAUUUUUUCGACUGUCAAUUAAAACGGAAAAUUUACAGAUAAGGUCCCUAGAAUUUUUAGAUCAUCACAUUUUAGCCUGGUGCGGCCGAGUGCUCAAGCUGCACCUGAAUUUUUUUAAACUAGAAUUUUUAGAUCAUCACAUUUUAGCCUGGUGCGGCCGAGUGCUCAAGCUGCACCUGAAUUUUUUUAAAUAAAGUGAUGCCGUUGAUUGGUUAGGCGGCACCGGUAUUUCACUAUUUCAUUUGACUAUUCUCAUAAAUAUUAAUCUCUUUAUCCUAUCCUGUAUUUAUUUAUUUAUUUAUUUUAUAUUAUUAACGUAAAAAAUCCUUUAUUGUGACCUGCGGAAACGUGGAAUGAAAACCAAAUAGGUUUUUUUUUUAGUUUUUCUUGAAUUAAAAUGCAACCAAUAAGAAUAAUUGAUAUUUUAAUUUAAUAAAAAUAAAAUUAAUUAAUGUUUGAGUAUUUAAUUUUAAAAAUGAUCAAGAUGUAAUUACAACAAUUAAUUUUAAAAGUUAUUAAAGAUAUUUAUAUAUGUCAAUUUUUUAUAAUUAUUAAUGACAUACAUAUAAAUUAAUUAAUAGCGUAUCUCUCAAAGAUGAUAUUGACAGUGGCGGAGUCAAAAAAUAUUUUUGAGAUAUCGGAAUUAAUGUAAAAAUGUACAAUUUAAUUAAUUUAAUAGUUUUUAUAAUAUUUAAAGAAUUAAAUCAAAAUUUUUAUCAUUUUAAAGAAGAACAAAGUAUAAUUUUACUUUUAUUAAUUUAAAAUGUUAUAAAUUAUAAAUAUUAUACAUGAAUUUUUUUUCAUUUUAGGGACCGGAUACUGUCAGCUCCUAUGACUAUGUAAGCCUUGAAAACAUCCUUUAUUAUUGCAUUUCUUUUUCUACGUUGGCAGUGGUGUGCUUUCGUAGAUUCUAGCCACUCCUUUUUAGAUAAAAUUUCCAAAAGGAAUAGAUAUUAUAUGAGGAAUACUUGGUUGAAGAAAGAAAAAGCAAAAAAACAAAAAAAAAAAUUGGAAAAUGACCUUACAUGAAACUACUCAUGCAAUUGGAUCAACUCAUUCACUCAACCUUUCAAGAGCUUUAUUUACUACUUGGAUACUUAAUAAUUCAUUUAUUUAAUAACUUAUUAUAGGGACCGAACAUGUCUUUUUCAUUUCACCGAAAAUCAAUUUUACAAUAUAAACUCCUAUGACCUUCCCUCUAUGUCUUGCAGUAAUGAUUCCUCUAACAAUUUCUCAAUUCAAUAAAAGAAAAAAAGAAAAGAGGUGAAUAAGAUCUUAAAUAAUAAGAGAUAUGUAAAAAGGAGGCCCGAUUAUGCCCAACCUAAACCUAAAUGGAAUGUAACGACGUAUGGAUCUAUAUGUAGUAUUCUAUAUUAAUAUAGUAAUAUAAUAUUACUAAUAGUAUCGACUCCUUUUUUAUUUUCUAGUUUAUUUUCUAUUUUAGUAUAUUUUACAUCUAAAUUAUAUAGAAUUUUUUAUAUAGAUAUAAAUUAUAUUUAAUCAAUCAAUUGAAUAGAUAUAAUUUAUUUUAUUUAGUUUAGAGUUGUAAAUAGAGAUAAUUAGAGUAAAAAAUCAUUUAUAUGUUUUAUGAUUGCCAACAUUUCUGUCAAAAACAAGUAUAUAUUUGCACCAAUUCAUCCGAGUUAGUGCAAACAUAUGAAAUAUUUAUAUGUCCAUAAAAUAUAUAUAAAUUGGGGUGUUAAGAAAACCAUGAAAUAUUUAUAUGUCCAACGAAAUAAAUCAUUCAGUACGUAAUCGGGCAACUGAAGAUUCAUAAGCGUAAACGAAAGCGAAUUCCGUGAUCUCGAUCCGACUAUUUUCAUGGUAAGCUUACCUAUCCUUUACUGUCAUUCACUAAUCAUUUUACUGUUUAUAUUCGCUUUUUACAUAUCAUGAAAACUAAUCAUUUCAAGAUUUGUAGUUGUCAUUUUCAAUAACUUUGUUUUCAAUACUUUUUAAUAUCAUUUUAAAUUUUAAAGUUCUUUUCCAAGUUAAAUACUAAUAUAUAUAUAUUAUAGCCCCAUGUUAUUCAACCUUUAAAUUAAUAUAAACAAGUACUUAUACUGUUAUGAGUUUUUUUUUCCCUUUUUUAUCUUCAAAAAUUGUGAAUCAAAGGCAAUUAGAUCUGUGAUUUUUGGAUUUGAAAACCUUAUCAACUUGAACAUAAAUCUUUGAUCAAAUAAACUCGAUAUGAUCUUAUUAGAAAAUUUAAACUUCAAAUAAUUUCAAAUUUAAAUUUUAAACUGAUUUGGAUGAAAUUAUCUGAAAAUUUCUAAUUUUGAAUUAUUCUAUUAUAGAUCUAGCUAUAACCCAAGACCCAUCACAAAUGUAUAUAUGUAUUUGGAUAAUUAGCUUCUUCCUAAAAGAUAUGUUGCAGUGCACUCGAUUAUUUAUUUAGGAUUCUUUUUCUUUCUGAUGUGGAAUUAACGACUUUGAUUAUGUAUUGAUAAAUUUUAAUUUUGAAAGUAAAAAUAGAGAAACUAAGUUUCAAAUGUACGAAGUGUGUAAAAACUUCGAGUAUAUUUUAAUCUUUAAAUCUUUUACUUUAUAAUUUAAUACAAAUAAAUAAUCAAUCCAAUGCAAAAUAAUGAGGGGCUAAUCUUUUUAACAACAUGCCUACAUCCUCAUUUAAUAAAUGAUUUUAAUUUUUAUAUAAUUCUCAUUCAGCUUAAUGUAGUAACUAAGUUGAUUAUUAGUAGUGAAGUCAAAAAAAUAUUAAUUUUGAGGGUUGAAAUUAAAUUGAAUAUUUUUACGAUAGUAAAAAUGUAAUUUUACCAUUUUCAUAGUCUAUAUAUAAUUUUACAAUUAUUAAUUUAAAAUUUUAUAAUUUAUAAGGGAGCCUAAAUGAAACUGGCAUUGGUGAUUAUAAUAAGAAUCAAAUUUUGACCUAUGAGGUUGUACAUUAUUUUUCAGUAAUUGAUUUUAUUUUUUUCGUUUUGGGUAACAUUUUCCCUAUGUAUUCAUUUAGUUGCCUUACAAAUAAUGUACAUUAUUGUAAAGAGAGUCGAUGUAUUAUUCUUCAAUACUUACCUUGUUUUUUCUAACCCUUUAUUUGCUAAUAAAACACAACGUACAUUGGGACCAUAAUUUCAUGCAGAAAGGGAAAAGACUUUGCCAUUCCCUAAUAUCCUUCUCUAAGCAAAGGAUCGUCUAUGUACUAGUGACAAAUGGGUUCAUAUCGGUCUCUCUUCGGAUUAGGAUUACCUCCUAUUUGAACCGGUUUAAGUUUGAGUAUUUAGAAUUUGGAUAAUUUUGAGUUUAGAUUGUCUCAAUUUAAAAUAAGUAUUUAGACUAGUUGAUUCACGAACCGGUUGAAUAAACGACCGAGUUGAUUUUUUAAAAUAUAUAAUUUUUAAUUUUUAAUAGUUUAUUCAAUUAAACCAAUUGGACUGAUUAAAUUGAGUAGAGGUGGUUUCUAUUGCACACAAUCUAAUGAAAGACACAAAAAUUUACAGAAAUGUUUUAAAGUUUAGGUAAAUAAUUUAAUGAAAAAUAGACAUGAUUAGUGGCGAAGCCCUAGUCCUCUAAAAUAGAAUAUUUUCCAUUUAAGUCUUUUAUAAUUUAUAAAAUUUUAAAUUAGUAAUGGUAAAAUUGCACUUUCCUCCCCUAAAAUUGAUAAAAAAUUGAUUUAUCCUUUUAAAAAUUAUAAAGAUAUAAACUAUUAAAAUGGUAAACUUGUAUAUACAAUUUAAUUUUGUCCCAAAAAUUUUUUUGACUUCGCCCUACAUAUCAUUAUCUUAAUAAAAAAGGUAAAAAUAUUGAGUAUACAAUAAUUAGGUUGAACAAUUUUUGUUGGGAAUAUAUGUUAAAUAAAAUAUAGGUUAGCUAUUAAAUGUAAAAUGGCAAAAGAAUAAAUUAUAAAGUGUACACAAGGUUGAUUUCGUAAAACUAAAAAUUACCAAUUUUUCACGUCUUUGUCAACUAUUAUACACUUGAGAUGGCAAGAGCCUUUUCUACUUUAAUCGGUGGUUAAUGGUUCGAUUAUUGUCCUGGAUAUGGAGUAACUUUAAAACUCGUUACCAACAUCUAUCCCGUUAAUGGGCCUAUAGAAUGUGGAGGGUUAGUUAUUAGGUUCGCUCUAAUAGAUACAUUGAUAAAUUAAAAAUAUGGAAUAAAAAAUGUUAGUAAAUUUGACAUUUGAAGUUGUUUAAAGUUAUAAAUUAAAUUGGUGAUAUAUAAGAGAUAUUUUUAUUUGUGUUUAUAGAGAAUUGAAGGAAUAAAAUUUUAAUAUUAACCAUAAAUUAGCAAAUAAUAUCUUCAAAAUUUAAAGUUAUAAAAGUGAAAUAAUAUCAAACAUGAAAUCAAUCACAUUAUUUUAUUUUUUAAUUUUUAUUAAAUAUAGUCAACAUUAUAUUUGAAAAUCAAUAUUACAUAUUGAGAAUUAAUUAUUAUGAACAUUUUAUUGUGGGGUUUUUUUACAUUAAUAAUAUAAAAUAAAUAAAUAAAUAAAUACUAGAAUAGGUUAAAGGGAAUAAUAUUUACAAGAAUAGGUAAAUGAAAUAGUGAAAUAUCGGUGUUGUCUGACCAAUCGGCGACACCAGACUAAAAUGUGAUGAUCUAAAAGGAUAAAUUGCACCCUAAAUCCCCCUUAUUUAUUAUUAUUUAGUAUUUUUCUUUAACACCAAAAAAUAGAUUGGCCUUUUAUAAAUUAGUCUAAAUUUUUUUUACCAAAAAAUAUUUUUGUAAGUAAACCGUUUCCAUUUAGAAAUAAAUUUUAUUUAUUUUAAAUAUAUAUUUUUAUUUUUAUUAUCCAUUUGAUUUACGUACACAGUAUAAAAUUAUAAUUAUAAAAGCUUUAGAAAAAAUCUUAUUAUGUAUAAAUUAUAAUUAUUAGUUAAAUUUAUAGUUUCCAAAUAUAAUGAGAGAAAAAGAAAACUACUAUAAAUACAGUUAAUUGUAAUGUCAAACAUAAUGUGAUUUUUUUAAAAAAAUAAAUAAAAUUUACUUCGAGUUGGAAUCAACUUACUUGAAAAAAAUACUUUUUAGUAAAAAAAAAAUUUAGACUAAUUGAUAAGAGGCCAAUUUCUUUUUGGUGUUAAAAGAGAAUAAAAUUUAAUAAUAAAUAGGGGGUUUAGGGUGGAAUUUACCCUUUUUAAUUUGGUGCUGUCAUACUGUCAGGAGGCACCCAUGAAGAUUUUUCGACUGUCAAUUAAAACGGAAAAUUUACAGAUAAAGUCCCUGGAAUUUUUAAAUCAUCACAUUUUAGCCUGGUGAGGCCGAGUGCUCAAGCUACACCCAAAUUUUUUUAAAUAAAGUGAUGCCGUUGAUUGGUUAGCCGGCACCGGUAUUUCACUAUUUCAUUUGACUAUUCUCAUAAAUAUUAAUCUUUUUAUCCUAUCCUGUAUUUAUUUAUUUAUUUAUUUUAUAUUAUUAAUGAAAAAAAUCCUUUAUUGUGACUUGCGGAAACGUGGAAUGAAAACCAAAUAGGUUUUUUUUUUUUUAGUUUUUCUUGAAUUAAAAUGCAACCAAUAAGAAUAAUUGAUAUUUUAAUUUAAUAAAAAUAAAAUUAAUUAAUAUUUGAGUAUUUAAUUUUAAAAAUGAUCAAGAUGUAAUUACAACAAUUAAUUUUAAAAGUUAUUAAAGAUAUUUAUAUAUGUCAAUUUUUUAUAAUUAUUAAUGACAUACAUAUAAAUUAAUUAAUAGCGUAUCUCUCAAAGAUGAUAUUGACAGUGGCGGAGUCAAAAAAUAUUUUUGAGAUAUCGGAAUUAAUGUAAAAAUGUACAAUUUAAUUAAUUUAAUAGUUUUUAUAAUAUUUAAAGAAUUAAAUCAAAAUUUUUAUCAUUUUAAAGAAGAACAAAGUAUAAUUUUACUUUUAUUAAUUUAAAAUGUUAUAAAUUAUAAAUAUUAUACAUGAAUUUUUUUUCAUUUUAGGGACCGGAUACUGUCAGCUCCUAUGACUAUGUAAGCCUUGAAAACAUCCUUUAUUAUUGCAUUUCUUUUUCUACGUUGGCAGUGGUGUGCUUUCGUAGAUUCUAGCCACUCCUUUUUAGAUAAAAUUUCCAAAAGGAAUAGAUAUUAUAUGAGGAAUACUUGGUUGAAGAAAGAAAAAGCAAAAAAACAAAAAAAAAUUGGAAAAUGACCUUACAUGAAACUACUCAUGCAAUUGGAUCAACUCAUUCACUCAACCUUUCAAGAGCUUUAUUUACUACUUGGAUACUUAAUAAUUCAUUUAUUUAAUAACUUAUUAUAGGGACCGAACAUGUCUUUUUCAUUUCACCGAAAAUCAAUUUUACAAUAUAAACUCCUAUGACCUUCCCUCUAUGUCUUGCAGUAAUGAUUCCUCUAACAAUUUCUCAAUUCAAUAAAAAAAAAAAAGAAAAGAGGUGAAUAAGAUCUUAAAUAAUAAGAGAUAUGUAAAAAGGAGGCCCGAUUAUGCCCAACCUAAACCUAAAUGGAAUGUAACGACGUAUGGAUCUAUAUGUAGUAUUCUAUAUUAAUAUAGUAAUAUAAUAUUACUAAUAGUAUCGACUCCUUUUUUAUUUUCUAGUUUAUUUUCUAUUUUAGUAUAUUUUACAUCUAAAUUAUAUAGAAUUUUUUUAUAUAGAUAUAAAUUAUAUUUAAUCAAUCAAUUGAAUAGAUAUAAUUUAUUUUAUUUAGUUUAGAGUUGUAAAUAGAGAUAAUUAGAGUAAAAAAUCAUUUAUAUGUUUUAUGAUUGCCAACAUUUCUGUCAAAAACAAGUAUAUAUUUGCACCAAUUCAUCCGAGUUAGUGCAAACAUAUGAAAUAUUUAUAUGUCCAUAAAAUAUAUAUAAAUUGGGGUGUUAAGAAAACCAUGAAAUUAAUAAUGAUGUAAUUGUCAUUUACUAAUCCUAUAAUUAAACUUAAUCUCAUUUUCUUUCCAUCUCAAAACUAAAAAUGGAAAAUACCACUUUGCUUAGUUGGUAGAAGCGAAUAUUUUCCCAUUAAAAUAUGUUUUGGUAUACGACAUUUUAUGGUGGUUGGCUAGUCAUUACUCAGCUGUUUCCACGAGACUUCCUUUCUUUUAAAGUAAGAUGAAGUCAUCUUUCUCAAAUCAUUACUUUCUGCCUUUGCUCUGUUAAGAAGGGGGAAAAUUAUCAGUUAUUGAUCAUAGCCAAAAGGUACGCCAUCUGCUUUGCUCUUACUCUUUUGAAAUACUUGUCCGUAUAAAUAAGCUUAGGCAGGCAGAUUUAACCCUGAAAAUGGACUUCUUUUAUGCUUUAAAUCUAUUUAGCUUUAAGAUUUUGAGUCCUGUACUUUUUGGAUUUAAAAUCUUCAUCUUUCCCUUCAAAUUUACACUUAGUGUUGUUGACCUGACAAAUAUAAAAAGAUCAAAUAAAUUUUUUAGCCUUAAUUUGAUCUUUACUUUUUAAAGUUACAUAAAAAUUCAGAAUUAAGAAGAAAACAUAUUUUCAGUAAAAAUCCAUUAAAAAGAUUGUGGAAAACACUCUUUAAAGUUCGUAGAAAAAAGGUUGUGAUCUAUCAACAACUUGUGCCUUCCACAUACUGGAAUAUGGUUAUUAAGAGGUUGAGUACUGCUUUAUCUCGUAGAAGAAGGAUUUGUACUAGAUGAUCAUAGGUUGGGUCAAUGUAAAAAUUUUAAAUUUGUUUUUCAGGUCCGGACUUGGCUCAACUAAACAAAUGCGCCUAAAAUUUUAUUUAAGUUCAACCUAGAUAAAAAAUACUAAAUCUGGACCCGUAUUAAAUUUUUUAGAUUUUUUUAUAUAAAAAUAAAUUUAAAAAAUAUAAUACAUUAAAUACUCUAAACACAUUAAAAUGAAUGUUUCUCAACAAAUUGAAAAUAUAUUAAAAAAAUUCUUUAUAUUUAAAUAACACUAACAUAGUUAUAACUUAGCAAACAAACAUUUCUAAAAUAAUAGCAAAAUUAAAAAUAAAAUAAGAGUUAUACAAUAUCUAAAUAAUAGUAGUAAAAUAGUAAUAAUAUAAUAGUGAAACAGUAGCAAAAUAACAACAUAAAAGCAGUAAACAGCAGCAAAAUAAUAAUUAAAUUCGAGUUAGGUUCAAACUAAAAAAAUCUUAUCAGAGGCUCAGCCCAUUUAAAACUCAAAUCUUAUUUUUUUCGAAGUUUAUUUUUUGGGUUUAUAUUAUUGCCUAAACUCUUUAUGUUUUGAAUGGACUUUUUAAAUUCGACUCAUAAUCAAGUCUACUUUAUAAUAAACGCUAUAUAUGGUUGGAAAGAUGGUUUGAUAGGGUACUAAAAUUAAAUGAAAAAUCAUUUAAAAAACAAAUUAAAUAUUCAAACAUUAAAUAUAUAUUUUAUAUAUAAUUGGUUUGAACUAAAUUAACAAAAUACUUUGAUAGUUUUCAGAAAAUUCCUGUAACGAGAGAAUUAGUCACUGUUGCUAGCGGCUAAUAUAUUUAAUUUCAAUAAAAAAUUACCAAAAUACUUUUUGAAUAUGAUUUAGUGCAAGUUGCACAGGUAGUUUAAAAUUUGAAGAUAUUAUUACUAUUUAAGGAGUAAAUAUAUUUUUUAAAUUGAAACAUUUAAUAUGAUUUAUUAUUUUCUAUUUUUUAAAAAAUUAACUAAAUUAAAAAAUGUGCAACAAAUUAAAUAGUUAGAAGUUUUAAAUUUAAAUCAAAAUUGAAAUUUAUGAUCUACAUGAAUAUAACAUAUAAUAUAAUGAUUGUAUCAUUAAAAUAUUAAUAAUAUAAAUAAUUACGGAAGUGUGUAAAAUUACUUUAAUUUUUUACAUUGCGUAAGUAGAUCAUUCCCCUUAAUAUUAAUAAAUUUUCAUAAAGUAAAAUUACUUUACUUUAAUUGUCAUAAAGUAAAACAUUAAUCUCAUAUUUAUAUUUUUAAGAUUAUGCAAAUGUGUUCUUUUUAAAAACUAUAUAAGAUAAUUCAAGUUUUGGUCUUUAUCGUCGCUGUGGUUAUUCAGUUUGCUCUCUUACUUGUUUGUUUACAGAAGCUCUACUUUUUACUCAUUUUUACUUGUAAUUUUUUCUUCUUGUUUUGUUUUGAUUUCUGUUGCGGCUGUGGUUUUUCAGUUUACUUGCUGUUUGCUCUCUCAAUGGAGUUCGUUAUUGGCAUCGUUAGCUCUAUUUUCACUAAAGCUGCAGAGUAUACGAUUUCUCCUAUCAUAAACCAUGUCAAAUACCUUUCCAAUCAUCAGCAAAAUGUUGAGACCCUCAAGGACCAAGCUGAGAAGCUGAAAGAUGCAAGGGACAGAGUGCAGCAUUCUGUUGAUGCAGCUCAACGAAACGGCAAAGAGAUCGAACGUGAUGUUAACAACUGGAUGUCGGCAGUGGACAGGAAGAUCCCUGAACAAGUAGAGAAAGUGAUGCAAGAUGAAGAAAAGGCAAAGAAAAAGUGUUUCAUUGGUUUGUGUCCUAAUUUUUGGACUCGUUACAAGCAUAGCCUGAAAGCUGCAGCGGAGGCGAAGGCUGUUGCCGAGCUACUUGAACAGGGCAAGUUUGGCGGUGUUUCUUAUCCUGUACCUUCACAGAGUAUCACUGUCCCACCGGGUAAAGGUUAUGAGGAAUUCGAGUCAAGAACGUUGAUUUUGAACGGAAUAAUGGAGGCACUAAAAGAUGAUAGCAUCAUCAUUGUUGGGGUGCAUGGUGCGGGUGGGAUUGGAAAAACAACGCUGGUCAAAGAAAUCGCUAGAAAGGUCAAGGGCAAGUUGUUUGAUUCAGUUGUCAUAGCAACUGUAACUCAAGCCAAGGAUAUUAAGAGGAUUCAGAACGAAAUUGCAGACUUCUUGGACUUGAAAUUUGAGAAACAGAGUAUGGUUGGAAAGGCAAUUCAACUAAGACAAAGAUUGAAGAAAGAGGAGAGGAUUCUGGUUAUCUUGGAUGACAUUUGGCAAGAGUUUGAUAUUGAGGAAGUAGGGAUUCCUUUGGGAGAUGAACACAAGGGCUGCAAAUUACUAUUAACUUCUAGAUACCUCAAUGUUUUAUCAAAUGGGAUGGAGUGUCCUCAGAUUAUAGCUAACCUUCCUAAGGAGAUGGAGUGUUCAGGACUUUCCUUUUUCCAUAUGGCCUAUGAUGGCACGGAUAAAAUUCCUCUCAAUUUCUUCAAACAAACCGAAGGCCUGAAAGCCUUAGAUUUGGUCGGAAUUCAGUUUCAAUCCCUCCGUGAAUCAAUUAUUCACCUUGCAGACCUUCGCAUGUUGUGUCUGAAAAAAUGUGCAGUUGAUGACAUAACCAUCCUUGGAGAGCUCAAGAGUUUACAAGUACUCAACCUUUCUCAGUCCGGUAUCAAAGAACUACCCAAGGAGAUGGCACAAUUGACUCAAUUAAGGUUGUUAGAUUUGCGUGGGUGUAGAGAACUCAAAAUCAUCCCACCGAAUGUCUUAUCAGGUUUGUCUAAAUUAGAAGAAUUAUAUAUGAGUGGGAGCUUUGUUGAAUGGGAAAAGGGAGGAGUAGUUGAAAAUGAGAGGAAAAAUGCAAGCCUUGAUGAAUUAAACAAUUUGCGUUAUCUAACUACUUUAUAUGUUCGUAUUCUUGAUGUCCAAAUGAUACCAAAACACCAGUUUGUUGAAAAAUUGGACAGAUUCAGGAUUUUUGUAGGUAAUUAUGGAAUAUAUGAUUGUUGCCAUAAUUAUGAAUCUCCGAAAGCAUUGAAGCUCAUGUUAUAUACAAACAUUGAUUUGGACAAUGGAAUGAAAAUGUUGUUGAAAAAGACAGAAGAUUUGUGCCUAGAGGGACUUGAAGGCGUCAAGAAUGUACUUGUGGAGUUAAAUAAUGGGAAAGAUCUUCCAAAUUUAAAGAGACUUCAUGUCAAAAAUGGUAGGCAUGUCCAACAUAUUAAAACGAACAAAAUUGGAUUUUCUGAAUUAUGUUUCAUCACACUUGAAAAUCUACCGCAACUCGUUAGCUUUUGCUCUCCAGACGAAAGGUGUUCCACUAAGCCCUUACUACUUUCCAAUAAACAGGUAUUUGUUUGGCUGUACUUAUAUUUUCUUAUACAACUUUUAUUUAUAUGCCCAUUAAUACUUCUAAUAAUAGAAAUAUAUAAUAUUGUGUAAUGGUUUUUCCGGAGCUCAAAAAUAAAUUUCAAAUCUAAAAUAAAUGAAAAUUUAAUUUUUAAUUCAAACCGAUUGAAAGUACAGAGUCAAUUCAAUAAUCUAAAUUUAAACCGAAAUUUUUUUUUAAUUCUGAAAAUAAAAUUUGAGCCCACAAAUCGAACUAAAAUUAUCUUUAAAAUUGAAAAUCAUAUUUUCAAAUUAUGUUACAUACUAUCUUUCCCUAUCGAAAAAGAAUUGUGUGUAAAUAUGUGCAAUUUAUUUUCCCUCACUUGGAAAGCUUGUAAUUGUGUUCCAUUAACACCAAAAUUAUAUGGCACAACCAGACAUGUCAUUGGGUUACGAAUUUGAGGAGCUUGAUCAUCAAAGGAUGCGGCAAGUUGGAGCAUCUGUUAUCACCCUCUCUCGCUAGAAGUCUGGUGCAGCUCCAAUGCUUUGAGAUAGAGGAUUGCAAUUGCUUAAGGGACAUAAUACUUACAGAGGAAAUUGAUGAAGAAAGGAAAGAUGUGAUUUGUUUCCCUCGAUUAAACUCCCUGUAUAUAGAUGGUCUUCCAAACCUCAUCUUCUUCAACUCAGGAAACCACAAUAUUGAGUUCCCAUUGUUGAAAGAGCUAAGGAUUAGGCGUUGCCCCAAGUUAAUAGAAUUCAUUAGUCAGAAUAGUAAUCAGUCCGGCAUGCACGCUCUCUUCAGUGAGAAGGUGAUUUAUUUCAUUAGUCUUACACUCUUGCAUAAAUCUGUUGAUUUGUCCUUGUUUUUUUUUUCUACCUUCAUUAUUUGAGCUAACCUUAUUAUGGGCAUGGAUUAUAUAUAUAUAUGAAUAGGUUGCAGUUCCUAGCUUGGAAGACAUGCAUAUCAGUGACUUGAGUAAUGUGAAGAUGAUAUUUUAUAAUUGUUGGAGCUAAGUGCAACAAAUAGCAAGGUUCAACAAAAAGCUUGCCGAGCAAGAAUCGAGACUUGCGGCAGAAACAAAGAAGAAAAAUGAAAUAAAUUUUAAGCAAAGCUAAAAUAGAGAGUAUAUGGAUGAAAUCUUGAUUGAAUUCAUUCAUUUUUUUUAAAAUGGCAUAAAGCCUAUUUAUACAAGCUUACAACUUGACAACUUAGUUGGAAUACAACUAAGUUUCAUUAUUACAUCCACUUAAAAUAAAUCACCACCUACUACCACUAACAAACUUAGUUGGAAUACAACUAAGUUUCAUCAUUAUAUCCACUUAAAAUAAAUCACCACCUACUACCACUAACAAACUUAGUUGGAAUACAACUAAGUUACAUCAUUACAUCCAAAUAAUAAUAAUAAUAAUAAUAAUAAUAAUAAUAAUAAAACAUGUGAUUGCUACAUGCUAACCAUUGCUUCAAUACUCCUCCUUGGUUUGCAUGGAGCAAACACCUAGCUUCCUUCUUAGACAUUCGAACCUUGUGACAUUAAGGGCUUUAGUCAAAAUGUCUGCAAGUUGAUCCUCAGAAUUACAAUGGAUCAGCUUCACUUCCUGAGCUUGCUCCAUUUCUCGAACAACAUGCAACUUGAUGCUGAAAUGCUUUGUUCUUUCAUGGAACACUGGAUUUUUAGCAAUUGCAACUGAAGAUUGGUUGUCACAGAAGAUCUCAGUAGCUUCCUUUUGAUGCACUUUCAAAUCAGCUAAGAUUUUCCUUAGCCAAAUGACUUGGUUGACAGCACUUGCAGCUGCCACAUAUUCUGCUUCAGUAGUAGAUUGAGCCACCAGACUUUGCUUCUUCGAGCUCCAGCAAAACAUGGCUGAACCAAGGUUGAAAGCAUACCCUGAGGUGCUUUUCAUGUCAUCUAUCGAGCCAGCCCAGUCACUAUCAGUGUAGCCAACCAGCUUCAGAUUUCCUUCCUUGCUGUACCUUAAACCAUAGCUCAAAGUGCCUUUGACAUAUCUAAGCACUCUCUUAGCAGCUUGUAAAUGCUUUUUAUUGCAACAAUGCAAGAACCUUGAGAGCAAUCUUACAGCAUACAUUAUGUCUGGUCUAGUGGCAGUUAAAUAUAACAGACAACCAACUAGACUUCUGUAGGUUGUUUCACAAACCUUCUCAAAAUCACCUUGGCUCGAUAGUUUUUCUCCAACAGCAACAGGUGUUUUAGUUGCUUUACUGUUUUGCAUGGAGAACUUGGUCAGAAUCUUUGUGGCAAAGUUUCUCUGACUUAGAAAUAUCCCAUUUUGUGCUUGAGUCACCUUCAUUCCAAGGAAAUAAGACAUUUCCCCUAGAUCAGACAUUUCAAAUACUUCUUGCAUCUUGGUCUUGAAAUCGACCAGCACUGCUCGAUCUCCUCCUGUCACCAACAGGUCAUCAACAUAUAGGGAUACGAUGAGCUGUGUUUGUGUCCCUUGCUUCUUGACAUACAGUGUUGGCUCACUCUUGCUUCGAUCGAAUCCCAAAUUAGUCAAGUAGCCAUCGAUUCUGCUGUACCAGGCCCUUGGAGCCUGUUUUAAGCCAUAUAGGGCCUUCUUCAGUUUGUAGACCAUAUGCUCUCUGCCAGCUAUCUCAAACCCUUGUGGUUGUUCAACAUAGAUCUCUUCAUCUAAGAAACCAUUCAGAAAGGCUGAUUUCACAUCGAGUUGAUGGAUCUUCCACUCGAGCUGUGCUGCUAAGGCAAUCAGUAAUCUGAUGGUGUCUAGCCUGGCCACUGGUGCAAAGGUCUCCAGGUAGUCCAGGCCAUACCUCUGACUGAACCCCUUGACAACUAGCCUUGCUUUCAGUUUGUUCAAGGUACCAUCAGCAUUUUGCUUGGCUUUGUACACCCAUUUCACCCCAAUUAUCUUCCUUUUGACUGGCCUUUCAACUAAUUCCCAGGUCUGGUUCUUCUCAAUCAUGCUAAUCUCCUCAGCCAUUGCCUGCUUCCACUCUUGCUGAGCUUCAGCCUUUUCAAAAUUGCUUGGUUCAACUAUGACUACAUGAGCUCUUUCAUAAAUCUCAGUCAAUGGUCUUGUUCCUCUAACUGGUUCAUCAUCAAUGUCCAUUUCAGGAACAUUUUGAUCUGGCUCAGCUUGAUCUGCUGCAAGUCCUUCUGAAACUUCCUCAGGUUCAUGUUUUUCCCAGUUCCAACAUGACUUUUCAUCAAAUACCACAUCCCUACUGACUGACACUUUCUUUGUUGAAGGAUCCAAGAUCCUAUAAUCCUUCUUAACAGUGCUGUAGCCCACCAAAAUACCAGGUCGAGCCCUUUCAGACAAUUUGUCCCUUUUGACAGCAGGUACAUGAGCAUAACAGAUGCAUCCAAAGACCUUCAGAUGAGCCAGUGAUGGCUUGAAUCCAAACCAGGCUUCGAAUGGAGUCUUCUGAUCCAAGACCUUGGUUGGAAGCCUAUUUUGAAUGUAGUUUGCAGUGUUAACUGCCUCUGCCCAUAGUGCUUUAGGCAGAUUCUUCUGAAUCAUCAAGCACCUGGCCAUAUCCAUCAAACUCCUAUUCUUCCUUUCACUUACACCAUUUUGCUGAGGUGUAUAUGUGUUGGUAAGUUGAUGUUUGAUGCCUGCCUUAUCACAGAAGGCUUGGAACUGAGCUGAGGUGUACUCAGUCCCAUUAUCAGACCUUAUAGACUUCAGCUUGCAACCUGUUUCAGUCUCAGCAGCAGUCUUGAACUUCCAAAAUACUGAGGCCGCCUCUGAUUUCUGUUUUAGGAAGUAAAGCCAACAAUAUCUUGAAAAAUCAUCAAUGAACAGUAUGAAGUACCUGUUUCCACUUAAUGACUCAGUCCUCAUAGGGCCACACACAUCAGUGUGCACCAGUUGGAGUUUUUCAGAGGCUCUCCAGGCUUGAUUCGAGGGAAAUGGGAGUCUGGCCUGCUUUCCUAGCUGACAUACUUCACACACAUCAUCAUGAUCCACUGAGUUGAUGAAGUUUUCAGCCAAGUCCUCUCUGACCAUUCGAGCCAUCGAUCUGAAGUUGGCAUGUCCCAGUCUUUGAUGCCAAAGCUUAGAUUCAUCUGAUGUGACUGUGUAGGCAAUGUCUGACUCCCUGGUCCAGUCAACUACAAAGCUCUUAUUAGCCAUAGGAACUGCCAUCAGCUUGGAUCCACUUGGAUCAUUGAUUUGGCAUUGGUUGUCUUUGAACACAACAGAAUAACCUUUCUCCAGCAACUGAGCUAUGCUGAGCAGGUUUCUGUCAAUUUUAGGCACCAAAAGCACAUUUGAAAUCACUUUGGCACCUGUGGGGGUGCAUAUCAGCACAUCACCCUUGCCUUCAGCUUGAAUAAAAUGUCCAUUUCCUAUCUUGACUUUAGUUCUGCAGCUUCUGUCUAAAGACUUGAAGAUUGCAGCAUCAGGUGUCAUGUGGUUGGUGCAUCCACUGUCUAGAAGCCAACCAGAUGAGAACCUUUCUUGAGCAGCUGAGCAUAACACAGCAAAGACUUGCUCCUCUUGGUCACCGUCCUCCUUAGCUACUCGAGCCUCAGCUUUCUUCUGUUGAAACUGACUCUGCCUUGAUUUGGCCUUGCUCUUGCAGACUUUCUCAACAUGACCCUUCUUUUUACAAUGCUGACAUACAUCAUCUGGAUUGAACCAGCAUUUUUCUUUUGGAUGACCAGCCCUUCUGCAGUGCUUGCAAGUCUGACCCUCUUUUCUUGCAACAUCAGUCCUUGGCUUGUCUCUCUAGGCCUUCUUGCCUUUGUAGGCAGUGUUUGUUCUUGCCUGAAAGGCACCUUCUUGAUGCUCCUCCAGUCUGCUUGCUCUUCUUUGCUCUUGAGCAUAUAAAGCAUUGAUAAACUCUGUCAGGGAGAUGGUGUACAGGUCCCUUGAGUCCUCGAGAGAUGAGAUUUUUGCCUCAUACCUCUCGGGCAGAGUUGCAAUAACCUUCUCCACUAUCCUAGCUUCCUUGAGCUGCUCUCCAAGGAGCCUUAUGCUGUUAACCACAGCCAUAAUCCUGUCAGAGUACUGCUUGAUAGUUUCUUCUUCCUUCAUCUUCAAAUUCUCAAAAUCUCUCCUUAAGUUCAGCAACUAUUGCUGCCUUGUCCUCUCUGUCCCUUGAAACUCCUCUUGCAACUUGUCCCAGGCUUGUUUUGGUGAUUCACAGGCCAUAAUCCUUGUGAAAAUCACAUCUAACACUGAGUUCUGGAUGCAAGACAUGGCUUUGUGCCUCUUAGUCCUCUCAUCAGCAUGCUGCCUGAUUUGAGCCACUAUUGGAUUGCCUCUAAGUGGCUCUGGUUCAACAUCUGAGUUGACUACCUCCCACAGAUCGAAAGCUUGUAGGUAGGUCUUCAUUUUAACCACCCAUAUGUGGUAGCCUUCUCCAUUGAAGACUUGAGGUGCAGUUGGUGAAAAGCUUGAUGAAGCCAUGAAUUUGUAUAACAGAUCCCUUAAGAAAUAGGCUCUUGAUACCAAUUGUUGGAGCUAAGUGCAACAAAUAGCAAGGUUCAACAAAAAGCUUGCCGAGCAAGAAUCGAGACUUGCGGCAGAAACAAAGAAGAAAAAUGAAAUAAAUUUUAAGCAAAGCUAAAAUAGAGAGUAUAUGGAUGAAAUCUUGAUUGAAUUCAUUCAUUUUUUUUUAAAAUGGCAUAAAGCCUAUUUAUACAAGCUUACAACUUGACAACUUAGUUGGAAUACAACUAAGUUUCAUCAUUACAUCCACUUAAAAUAAAUCACCACCUACUACCACUAACAAACUUAGUUGGAAUACAACUAAGUUUCAUCAUUACAUCCACUUAAAAUAAAUCACCACCUACUACCAUGUAAUAGCCCGAUUUUAGGCUUAGUCGGAACAGUGGUUUCGGGACCACAAAUCCGACGAAAAAAAAAAUGUAAUGGCUUGAAUUUUCAGAGGUGUCAGAACGGUGAUUCGAGAUCACUAAAUUCGACAAAUGGGUAGAAAAUAUUAUUAAUUUAGUAAGUAUAAGUUAAAUAUGAAGUUAGGAAAAUUUUUGAAAUAGUGAAUAGUGCACUAGAAAUAAAUAUUAAAAUAAUUAGAAUCGAAAUGAGGUAUCAAGACCUCGGGGAUUUUAAACUGAGCCAUAAAUAUUUUUAUAAAUAUUUAUGGAGUGUUAAAAAGUUAGUAUUAAAGUUUCGUUAAGAAAUUUUAAAGUUCCGAUAAUUAAUUGAACAAAAAGGACUAAAUUGUAACAAAUGCAAAAUUUUGGAAAAUGAUUAAAUAACUUAAAUGAUAAAAGGAAGAGGGCUUAAAAGGCAAAUAGACCCAAGGUCUAUUUGGGCUGGACGGCAGAGGCAUGAAAUCAGCAAAAAAGUAAGGAGAAUUAAGGGCAAAAUUGGAAAAUUGCAAAAUUUGCUUAAUAAAGUUAGGACCCAAGUGGAAUUAUCUAGAUUUCUCUUCAUUUUUCUGAAUUCUCAUCAGCUAAAACACCAUGGAAGGGCUUCUUCAAGCUGGUUCUUCAUAUUUUUAUUACAAGUAAGUUCAAUUCUUGACUAUUUCUUGAAAUUUUUGUAUUUUUAUGACUUUUACAACUAGGCCCACUUGUUAAAUCCAUUAGUUUUUGAUUUUAUGAAAGAAUUUGAAAGUUGAUAUGAAUAUGUGCUGGAAGUAUAUGAUGAUUUAGCAUGAAAUUAGAGAUUUAAAUUGUUCAUAUGCUGAUUUUAUUGAAAGAAUUGAAUAGAAAGUGAAUGUUUGGGACCUAAUAGUAAAAGAGUUUGAAGAUAGAGUUAUAUGUGGAAAUUCUGAAUUUCAAUAGUUGUGUAACAACUUAUAAUGUCUAGUAAAGUACUAAUUGAGAAAAUUAGAUUAAUUGAGGGGUUAAUUGAGAAAGGACCGAAUUGUAUAAACUGUGAAAUUUGGGGCAAAAUGGAAAUCAACAUUUUGCACUAAAGCAGUUUUGGACAGCAGCAGUAGUGUAACUUUGAAAAAUCACCAAAAAUUGUAGAGAUUGAAUUAGAGGAUGAAUAAAAUAUGAAACUAAAGCUUAUUGAGUCUAGUUUCUUAUAAAAGAAAUGAUGUGAGCAAUGGAAUUGUAAAUCAUGAGAUAUAAUAGAUUUUGUGAGACAAGGUCAGAAUGAAUUCGGGUUCCCCUGUUCUGACUUUGGAAAAAUCAUUAAAAAUUGUACAAAAAUGAUUAUGAGUUAUAGUUUAUAUGGUUAGAAUCCUUAAUGAGUCUAUUUUUAGAAGAAACAAGCUAAAACAUCAUCCGAAUUCUGUACAAUGAGAUAAUUAAUUUUUAGUGAAGAGUGGUCGGAACUGUCAGACAGCGAAACAGGGGAAACUUUAAAGAAUAAACUGUACUAUUUGGCUGAACCAAAAAUUAUGAAAAUUUUAUGGUAUGAAGAUAUGUGAGUCUAGUUUCAGGGAAAAUUAACGGAUCUUAAUUUGGAGCUCUGUAUCUCCGGAUAAAAAUAUUUUAGUGACUCUGACUCGGAUAAACAGCUUUGAAUAUACAUGUUAGUAAAUAUUGAAAUUAUGGUUAAUGUUGUUUAAGUGUGUUAUACACAUUAAGGAUGUGGAAUGGAGAGGAGGAGGAGGAAAAUUGGGAAAUAUAUGAAUGAUUCGUGUAUAAAUGGUCAUAUGUUUGAUUAUAACUCAUAAACGAUGAAAUAUGAAUGAUGCUUAUUUUUGUGCAUUAUUGGUCAUGGUUUAAGCUCAUGUGUGAAAAUAAAGUUUCAUAGUAUGUGUGUAUGGUAUAUUCAGUAUAUGAUUUGGCAUGAAAUAAUACCAUGAAUGGUUUAUGAAUUAACACAUGUUGGUAAGCCUGAUAUAUGAAUAAAUGAUCAAAUUGAGCGGAACGCCGGAUUUGAGUACUUCUGAUCAAGUGACAAAGUGAUAAGUGGUAGCUUUAGCUACACUUAUCUGAUCAAGUGACAAGUGGAAAGUGAUAAGUAAUAGCUUCGGCUAUACUUAUCUGAUCAAGUGACAAAGUGAUAAGUGAUAGCUUCGGCUACACUUAUCUGAUCAAGUGACAAGUGAAAAGUGAUAAGUGAUAGCUUCGGCUAUACUUAUCUGAUCAAGAGACAAAGUGAUAAGUGAUAGCUUUAGCUACACUUAUCUGAUCAAGAGACAAAGUGAUAAGUGGCUACACUUAUCUGAUCAAGAAACAAAGUGAUAAGUGGCUACACUUAUCUGAUCAAGAAACAAAGUGAUAGGUGGCUACACUUAUCUGAUCAGGGACAAGUGAUAAGUGAUCAUACGUAAGACCAUAGUUAUCCUAUGGCAAAGUGAAAGUGAAGUACUCAAUUUUCCGUGACCGUUCCCUAAUUUGAUUAAGGAUGGUAAGUGACAAAUGGGCCCAAAAGAAUUAAAGUAAAUGGAUAAGUGGUAGUGUAUUUAUAUCAGGACGAUGUUGUUAUUCAAACUAAAGUGAUAUUUUCAUUGCUAAAUUGAGAAUUUCAUAAAUGUGUUAUUGAAUGGUAUAAUCAAUAAACAUUGAGUUAAAUGGUAAAUACGUAUUAGUUUUGAAUUUGAUGUCAUUGAAUUGUACGUGAAUUAAAUGAAAAUUGCUAGUGAUAUGAUUUAAAUUAUGAGCAUGAGAAAUUGCGAAUUGAAUGAAAUGGAAAUGAAGCAUUAAAUUGCAUGAGUAUGUAUCGGGUCUCGCAGGCCCUAAUUAUUAUGAUUAUAAUAUUUUGAGGAUAUAUUGUGAAAAGUUAUAGAAACAUGUUAAUUAUUUUGAAAGUUUUAAUUUUGAUGAAAUUUUAUAACUCGGUUAAAUACGUUUACAAGUGUAUGUGUUUUGGUAAUGCCUCGUACCCUAUUCCGGUGUUGGAUACGGGUAAGGGGUGUUACAUACCACCAACUAAGUUUCAUCAUUACAUCCACUUAAAAUAAAUCACCACCUACUACCACUAACAAACUUUGUUGGAAUACAACUAAGUUACAUCAUUACAUCCAAAUAAUAAUAAUAAUAAUAAUAAUAAAACAUGUGAUUGCUACAUGCUAACCAUUGCUUCAAUAAUAAUGACCUACCACCAGGUUCCUUUAAAAAUAUACGAAAAGUAAGUGUUUGGGGAUGUGGGAGUUUGAAAAAUCUAUUUCCAGUAUCAAUAGCCAAAGAUCUUCCACAACUUGAACAUUUAAGCAUCACUGGUUGUGGAGUUGAGGAGAUUGUAUCGAAAGGGGAUGGAGUGGAGGAGCAGCCUGUGAGGUUUGAGUUUCCGCAAGUGUCUUACCUUGACGUUUCAUUGGUAGAAAACCUCAAAUGUUUCUAUGAAGGGCAACAUACAAUAGUCUGGCCGAUGUUGAAGAAAUUGACAACAGAUAGGUCUGCUUUGCCAAAGAUAGUGGCAUCGGAACAUCUUAGAUUAAUCCAAGGAAAUGAGGAGCCAGUUUUGUUGGGUGAAGAGGUAUGUAUAUCAUUACAACUAUAUUUCUUUUUAUGAUUUAAACCACUGCCACAAGCAUCUCAAGUUGAAAUAUGCCACGAUCAUGCAUUUCUAAUUAUUAUAUUUUGUUUGGUUUGGAUUUUUUUUUUCGUAUUUUUGAAUUUUCACUAUAUAUAUAUUUUAAAUUUUUUGUUACAUUUAUAAUUAUUUUUUCAAUUUUUUUAAAAACAAGACUGAAUAAACAUAAUAGGUAAAUAUUGAGUGAAUACAGUUCAAUUUGAUAAAAUGUAUAAAUAUUGAGGGUUAAAUUUAUUAUUAUGUUAAAAAGAUGCUAAAAAAAAUAAAAAUAUUUUAUUUGUUUUUAAGUAACCAAAAUAAAAAUAUUUUAACACUAAGUGACUAUAUAUGUAAUUUACCCUGCAUUUAAGUAGUGGAUCGAAACUAAAUAGGAUCUUUAAUUUGCUUUAAAAAAUUGCCACUCAAUAAAAAAUCAAAACUUUAAAAGUUAAUUACACUAGACAUCUCAAACUAGGACCUUCAUUUUAAAUUAGUCCUAAAAUUUAAAACUAUUGAGGUUAUAUCAAUUACGUCUUUCUGUUAUUAAAUUCGUUAAUUUAACCAUCAAAUUAAAUCAGUGUAAUAUUUUAAAACAUUGGUGUUUUAUCUCCACUGUUCUGCUUAUACUUUUUAUCAUAGAAAAAUAUAUAUAACAAUGGUUGUUUAUCUAUUUUAAUUUAGAUUUGCUACUCUUCUUUCGGCUUUCAUGUUCUGUAAUUUUUAUCAGUUUUAAUUCUCAAGGUAUUGUGUUUUCUUAAAACAAAAAAUUCAUCUAUUCUGGAUUCGUUUGAUUUAAUAUUGAUUUUGUUGGGAUUUAAUCAUCAAAAUCAAACACUAAAAUUGUAAAUCUUCUUUCUUUCUUUUUUAAAGCAUAUACAUCAACAUUGAGCCUAACUUGCUUAUAUUUGAUUGGUUUCCAAGGUCAUUCCCAAAUUAGAGGAACUUGAGUUACAAAAUUUUGGUGAUAUGGACCAAUUUCCACCAGACUUGUUUCAACAUAUUAAAGUUUUUGCACUGAGUGGUGGCUCUCCAUUUUCUUUAUUUCCUUUCGUCCGAAGAUUCUACAAUAUGGAAAGACUUAAGUUCUCUUUUUUAGAUUUCAAACAUGUAGUCCCUUGUAAAGGAGACGCCGGGACUCUCCCACCAAUUAGAAAUCUGGAAUUGUUUUCUGCCAGAAAUCUUAAUCAUAUUUGGAGGAAAGGUUCGGAGCUUUACCAUAUUCUUUCUAAUCUUCAAACACUCACAGUUCUGCGUUGUGAUGAUUGGAUAAAUAUUAGAGCCUUCUCAUCAUCUUUACAAAAUCUUACAAUUUUGAAUGUGUCAUUAUGUAAAAUGACGACAAACUUAGUCACACCCUCAGUACUUAAGAAUCUUGUGCAAUUAACGACAAUAAAGGUAGAAGACUGCACUAAAAUGACAGAAAUAGUGGGCAACGAGGGAGACUGUCAUCAGACAAUAGUUGUUAGUAAAUUGAAAUGUUUACAACUAUGCAAUUUGAAGAGCCACCGGGUAAAGAUCUUUUGUUCACAAGCUUUUGUCCACGGUAUUACAACUUCGAGUUUCCUUGUUUGGAAGAAUUAGUUGUGGAACGUUGUCCUUGGUUAAAGAUCUUUUCUGAGGGAGUUUUAAGCACCCCACAAUUACAGAGAAUAAAACAGUCGCGUUACUUUGAGGAAUGGAGUUGGACAAGUGACCUUAAUACCACCAUACAACAGCUCUACACAGAAAAGGUACAAAGUUAAUAAGUUCAUAAUGCUAGUUAGAUUCCUCGUGUCCUAAUACAAUUAAUUUUAUUACUACUUCAAUAACCAUUGAAGAGUGUUAAUCGUUAUUUUGUUAUUGUCUGCAUUUUCUAUUUAUGAUUGCUAUCUAGUGGAAUAAUAUCAGAUUAAUUUUUAGGGUGGACUCUAUGGCCAAUGUGAUUUCAACAUCUCUGACACAUUUCCGGAGUCGAUAGAAAUAUGGACUAGAAACACUCAAGAAAAUUUGGGCAUCAAAAACCUUAGGAGCCUGCACUUUUAUAAAUGUAGCAGCUUGAAGUACAUAUUUACUCCGUCUAUGCUUUUGGGCCUCAAUCUACUACAAAGGAUAAAAGUGAGAGAAUGCAGUUCAAUGGAACAAGUAGUUAGGGAGGAGGAGGAAGCAAUGACACAUAAAUUUACAUUUCUUUCGCUACGCUCCGUAACAAUUGAGUCGUGUUCCAACUUGACAAAUUUCCAUUUGGGAAGUCAAGCUCUUGAAUUUCCACAGCUGAGUGAUAUCAGGAUAGCUGAGUGUCCAAAAAUGACUGCAUUUUCUUCCUCAGUUUCAAGAGAGAGUGGUGAUGCAAGUGAAAACGUGGUUGGCAAAGGGGGCAUCUAUGAUAACACUGCAACUUUUUUCAGCAAUAAGGUAAGUUUGGUAUUCAAUAUAUAUCUGCACAACUUAUUUCACAUUUUCUUUUGAUUUGAUCAACAUGAGUGUGUCUGGUCUACAUAUCCAUACUAGUGCUACACCUUGUCAAAAUUUAAUAUAAUAAAAUCCAUAAAAAUAUUAAUAAAUAAGAUGAUGUUAAAAAAAAAUUGGAGUUUAAAGUAUAAAUAAAUAUAUAAAAUAAGAUUUGAAGGAAAAACUUAAAGUGAAAUACUAAAAAACAAAAAGAAUUUAAGAGAAGUUUAAAAUUAAAUAGUAAUAGACAAUAAAUAAUAAAAUAAUAAUAGAAAAAAGAAAACAAAUCUUCCUUCAUUUUAAUUUGUUGAUGACCUUCACAAAGGUCAUUUGAGAUCAAAGGAGAAGAAGCCUGAAAACAAAAGGUGAGGAGUUUGAAGAAGAAAGAACCAAAUAUAUAGAGGAGAAUUGAAGUGAGAGAGUGGAUGGGUUUUAUUUAAAGAUUUAAUGCUUUUUUUUUUAAUUUCAUAUAUAGAAAAAAUCAUUGAAAGAAAAAAAAGUUUAAUAUAAUUAUUUAAAUUUACUUGUCGGGUUUUUAUAAAAGUAACUCAAAUUUUUUAUUAAUUAUGAAAAUGACUCAAUUUAAAAAUUAUGUACAUAAAUUAUUCGAUUUCUAUAGUGUUUGUCGGUGCCGCUAGACACAAUGGUGGCAUCGACCUACCAUCAUUGACUAAUGAUUGUAUUUUAUUUAAAAAAUAAUAGUUUUCUAGUAGUAUCGUUGGAAAAAUUAGUGAUAUCAAACUAAAGUGUGAUUAUAUAAAAUGUUUGUGGACUUGACAAAGUAAUUAUCCUUUUGAAAUUAAAUUUAAAUAACCCUUAAGAAAUAUAAGAAUAACAAAAAUAAACCAUUCUCAUUUUUUUUUAAAAAUAAACUUAAAAAAUUAUAUAAAAUUCUUAUUUAAAUUACCCAAAUAUAUCCCUCGCACAGCUUCCUCAAGUUUAUCUAAAUUCAAGCAUUUUCAAUUCAUUCCCUAGCAUAUUUAAAUUUAGAUAAACUUAAGGAAAUUUUUUGAGGAAUAUGUUUGGGUUAUUUGAAUAAGAAUUUUAAAUAAUUUUUUAAGUAUUUUUUCAAAAAAUGAAAAUGGUCUAAUUUCAAAAGAAGACAAACAUAACAUGCAAACAGGUCAAAUGUUGAAAAACAUUUAAUUUGGUUCAGAUACCAACGACACCCCUUUUUCAAACAAUCUAAAAACGUUAACCGCUUCAAAAGAUCCCUGCAUGUUUUAUAUAAUCACAUUCAGUCUGGUGCCGUCAAUUUAUUAGACAAAACCACUACAAAUUUUUUUAAAAAGCAAUCAUUGGCUGAUGAUGGAGGCUAAUGCAGUAAGCACUAUAGAAAUCAAGUCAUUUACGUACAUUAUUUUUAAGUUGGAUCAUUUUCGUAAUUAACCAAAAAAUUUUGGUUACUUUUAACUGUCUAGUUGAUGUGUGAAUAUUAACCUUUAGAUCAGUUUAUAAAUCUUCAUACUCAUCUACUCAUUUUGAUUGUCUUUCAAAGUAAAGAAGGAAGAGUGAUACUAUCUUAUAAUAAUAUUUAUGUCAACAGGUUGUCAUUCCUCGUUUGGAGCGUCUGGAUUUGUCCUCCAUCAACAUUCAUAAGAUAUGGCACCACUCAUCCUCCCCAUCUAUCGGAUACCUAAAUUUCUUGCGGGUGAAGAGGUGUCACAAUUUGAAAUACCUGUUCCCGUUUUUCUUAGCAAAAGAUCUUGAGCAACUCCGAUUCCUUGGAAUUUUGGACUGUAAUAUGAUGGAACAAGUAAUAUUCACGGAUGGAUUGGUUGAGGAACAUCAAGGGAGGAAUCAGAUGUUUUUCUUUAAUCAACGUUCGCUGUGGCUAAACGACCUUCCCAAACUCACAAGUUCGUGCUUUGAAAAUUACUUUGAAUUUCACUGUUUAGCAGAUUUAACACUAAGAAAUUGUCCAUUGCUAAAAACAUUCAUCUCUAAAUGUGUACCCGGAGAUGAACCUCAAAUUGGCCAACAUGUACAGGCAAGUAACUUGGAGGUUCAUAACUCAUCUCUCCUCAAUGAAAAGGUCAUUUCUUCACGGAUUCUCCUUUUAAUUUAUUUUACUUCGAUUUAUCUUAUUCAUUUGAAGUUCUUUCUUUUUCAUACAUAUUUCAGUAUUAACCUAAUGAUAUGAUUUAUUAGGUUGUUUUCCCUAGUUUGAAGAGGCUGCAAAUUCAAAAUUGUGAUUUGUUAGAAGAAAUUAUCGAGCUGCAAGGAGUCAUUGCUGAUGAGUCACAGUCAACAUCAGCUGCUCAAUCUAUUGUGGCUGAAACAGUGACGACCAAGUUUGUAUUUCCCAAACUAAUAAACCUGGGAUUGGAUAAGGUGCCAAGAUUGAAAAGUUUCUACUCUAGGAUGCAUACCACCCACUGGCCUUCAUUGAAAAAAAUGGACAUUAUUGAAUGCCCCAAAGUACAGAUAUUUACUCCACAAUGUCCCGGGAGUCAGGUUGGAAUCUCAAACCAACAACCCUUGUUUUGCGUCAAUGAGGUAAGCUCGCGAACAGUUUCAUAUUCCAUGAUCAUUACUUGAGAUUACCUAUAAAAUGCUUUUUGAAAAAACUAAUAUUCUCUCCUCUUUUAAUUUUAUGAGAGUCUAGUUCUUACUAAUUUAAAACUCUUUCAUCGAUGUCUAAUAUAUUCUUUGCCAUCCAGGACACUUUCCCUGUAUUAGAAGAACUAACUCUGAAGACGAAUGAUAUGGGGAAGGGGAUAUGUGAUGGACAACUCUCAUUGCAGUGUUUCCAAAACCUUAAGCAUCUUAACCUCCAAUUCUUUCCCGAGACAUCCACUACUCUUCCGUAUUCCUUCAUUCGGUCACUACCAGUGCUUCAUAAGCUUGUUAUAGACAAUGCUUCCAUUUGUCAAAUAGUACAAUCUGAAGGACUCAGCGACUAGGAAUGGCAUACAUCAGCAUUCUAUCAGCUAAAGGAAUUAAGUUUGUCUCAACUUCCAGAGUUGACGUUAAAGACUUUUGAACCAUCUUUGCUGUCUUUCAAAAAUCUAACAACACUGAAAGUUUCAAGAUGCCAUGGGUUCAUCAAUUUAAUCGCAUGCUCAACAGCUAAGUGCCUGACGCUACUGGAAAGAUUGAUCAUAGAUGAUUGUGAGAUGAUAGAGGAAAUCAUAGCGUGUGAGGCUGAAGAAAUACAAGGCGGCAUUGUAUUUCCCAAACUGAAGUAUUUGCAACUAAGUUGUCUGCCAUGUCUAGCAAUCUUUUCCUUGGCCCAUCACUUGUUGGAAUUCCCAGUCUUGCUAAUGUUGAUGGUGACAAAGUGCCCCCAAAUGAGGAAUUUCUGCCAAGGAGAUUUAAGCACGCCAAGGCUGGAACAAAUGCACUUAACAAGAGAUGAGGAAGGUGAACUGAAGUGGGAAGGCGACCUUAACACUACCAUAAAACAUAUGUUCGAUGAAAUGGUACAAAUCAUUUAAAGGAUUUAAAUUCAUGUGUUUUUACAUACAUACAUACAUAGUUAAUUGAACAAUUCCUGGUUUGUUAUGAUCAUGCACAGAAUGUGCAAAAUUCUGAGGUGACGGAGGUUACUGAUCAGUUGCCCAAUCUGGAAUAAGGAAAUAUGUUUGGGUGCUUAUGCGAAAAGCUCAAUUUCGUUUGAAUUCAAAACAAACGGUAAUUGACUCCUCUAUUUUCAUCAUGGCUUAACUAAUGCUUUAUAAAGUGACCAUAGAGACGCCCUUUUCAUUGUAGGUUGAGUUGCUCUACUGAAGUACGAGGCUGCAACUUUUGGUAAAAUGUGAAAGGUUAUUUCAGUUUUUGUAAAACUACCAUUUGAACUGUUCCAUUUCACAUUAUACCCUCAAAAUUGAACUUCAAGUGCAUCAUGCUUGGCAUUGGGCUACAAACAUGUAAACUUUUACUAGUAAGGUUGACCCCUGUUUUAAGGAUUUGCCAACUUUUGAUGGUUACCAUAUCAAUGUCAGCUUAAAGCUAUCAAGUAUCUUUACAAAUAUAAUAUAUAUAUAUUAUUCCUUAAUGAAGGAUAAAAGUAGGCAGCUAUCUAUUAAUGGUACGGCUGAUUCUGAAAAGACGGCUGAAAUUGAAUCAAUGGGUUGUUGGUAAUUGCCUGAUGGAAGAACAGGGCCUAAUGUUACGUGGAUCCUGAUCAAGUUUUAAAUUUUCAGUUGUAGGCAUUACUGAUUAUUGCCAUUUGGUUGUUGAUCCUCUGAUUUUACGGUUGACUGUCUUGCUUAUACGUUGCAAGGUUGGCGGGUCUCAAGUAUGAAUUUCCAAGCCGGCUGUCAUCCAUAAUUAACUAAGUGUUCCAAUCUGUUGAAAGGUGGUUAGCAUGCAGCAUUGAAGACCACCAUGCAGAAGCAGCAGUUUGCACGAGAAAGCAAGGAUGUUUAGUUUCAUUUGAAUUUUUUUUUUUGUUUAUGUAAUGUAAUCUAGUUCAUUUUGAACUAUGAUAAGAUGAUAUUUGAUGUAAACUUGAUGGUGAUUGAGCUGUUUACCAGCUUUAUUCAUUUGCACAAGUUAUCAUUCCAAUUUACUAGGAAACUUAGUGGUAGUAGGUAUAGUUUUGGUUAACCUACUGUCUUGACAAGCUAGAAGCUUGAUUUAUGUAUUGGCAUUAAGCCUUUUUUUGAUGAAUGAAUUUAAUCAAGUUUUCAUUCAAAAACUCUCACCAUUCUCCUUGCUUUAUUCUUUUUAGUUUUCUGCUUGUUUCUGCUGCAAGUCACGACACUUGCUGCUCAAGCAAUAGGCUGAAACUUGUUGUUAGUUGCUCUCAGCUCCAACAGAAUCCAUGGAGUUUAUGGUUUAUUAGUGUAACUGUCCAUUUGGUUGUGGAUUGGUUCUUAAGGUGUUUUGAUGCUUGUAUGUUACAGUGCCUGCUCCAAGCAACACCCUUUAAUUUCUAAUGAAUUUUAUUUGUUGAGGAAAAAAAUAUGAGGAUUAAUCUGAUAUUUUAUGUUUGGGUUUAUGAAGAUUUUUGUACCUUUAAUGAAAAAAGCAAAUAAAAUAGAGAGGUACAAGAUCACAUCCAUAGAUCAACAAAGGGGUUUAAUAUUUCUAUAAAAAAAGUUGUCCCAAAAAGGCCUUCUAAUGGGAAUUGAAAAAAAAGCUUGUAAAAAUUUACAAAAGGAAUUGAUGAGAAUCUGAUACAGCCAUCACAUGCGACAGCUUUCCCUUAAAAGCAUUCGUGGCUGAGUCUAGUCUUAAUUUUUAUUUGUAUCUUUUAUAUCCGUUUUAUAAUUCAUAUUUAAGAUUUGUAUUAUGCGCUUAAUAUUUCAUUAUUUGUUGUCUAUGAUGCUCAUUCUUGAAAAAAAAAACAAACAAACAAAUGCAAUGCAUGCAUAAACCAUAAAAAAAAUAAAGAACAUAAGCAACUAAUAAUGAAAUAUAUUAAAAUGAAGACCGGUAAUUGAUUUAAGAAUUACCCUAAUUUCGGUAAAUAUAUUAAAACAUGUGUCCCUAAUCUUUUUCAAUUUUGAUAUUGAAAAAAUUGGUAUUCUUAAAAUUAUGAGAGUUAUUCAAUUAUUUUCAUUUUUGAAAUUGAUAAAUUAAGGACAAUUAAUCACAACGUUAAUGUUUUUAUCAAUUAUAUAUGAUUUUCUUGAUAUAAUGAUAAAUUUAGUCCUCAAAGUUUACACAUUCUAUCAAUUUGUUAUUGAUUUAACAAAUUUAACCCACAAUAUUUACACAUUUCGUCAAUUUGAUCAUGAUUUAACAUAUUUAACCCGUAAUAAUUAUACAUUCUAUCAACAUUUACGCAAAAUAUAUAAUCAUCAAGGAUUAAAUUUGUUUUUAUACUAAUCAAAAUUAUGUAUAAUUAACAGAAACUAUUAGCGCUUGAUUAAUUGUUCGUGGUUACUUUCAAAAAAGAUAAGGAUUAAUUUGUUCAAUAUCAAAAAGAUGUUUUUUAUUUUUAUUUUUUAAUUUCAUAGGUAAGAAAAUCUCAAAAAAAAGAAAAUCUUUGAAAUAAAAAAUAGAAUGUUUUAUAUAAUUAUUUGAAGUUACUCUCACGUUAUUUUUACCCAUUCAAAGCUAGCAAGUCUUUAUGUACAAAAUGGUAUAGCUCUGCAAUUUGGAUUAACAUUUUGGUGACCUCCAUGUGAAGUGAAAGAAAAUUGAGAAUGUCACACAAUUAUUAUUUUUGCCUCCAUACCCCUAUGCCACCAAAGAAAGUUGAAUUAUUAAGGCACAAAAGUACUAAGGAGUAGGAGCUAGAAAAAGAGGGGCAUGAAAAUAAAGAGACUUACAUUUAUUAUUUGCAUAAUACAAAAUCAGUCUUUAAUAUUUACAUAUUUUAUUAAUUUGAAUUUUAUUUUUAUUUAGUUAAAUUUAACUUUAAACCCUUUAAAAAAAGUUAAAUUUGAUCAUCAACAUUUUAAAAAGAGUCAAAUUAUUAUUUAACGGAAAUGUUAAAUUUUGAAAUACAUAUAACAAUUCGCGUGUAUUUCAUAUUAUUUUUUUAAAUUUUUUAUAUUUUUUUGAAAUUUUUAUUUUUGAAUAUUGUUAGAAAAAUAUUUGGAACAUUGUUAGUGGAGUUUUUAACCUCCACCAACAAAAUUAAUGGGUUAAUAAGUGUCUUACAGGGAUAUAAUAAAAUAUUAAUAUAUAUAUAUUAAAAUAUAUAUAUAUAUGUUAAUUUUUUUAAAGUUGUGGAAUAAAAAUAAUAUAUUAUUGGCAUACCAAAUACUCACCUUUUUAAUUAAGAUUUAAAAAUAAAAAAUAGUUAGUAAAAUGAAUGGAUUGCAAAUUGAGAAAUUUGAUAUUGAAUAUUAAAAUUUUCUUAAAAAGAAGACAUAUAGCAAGAUAAGAAAGUUAGUGAUUUAUUUGAUUUAAUUUUAAUUUUUAAAUUGAUGCAUUUUAUUAUGAAUUUUUAUUCUUUGUGUAUUUUGUAUAAUUUGUUUGAAAUUUUCAAUUUUCAAUUUCUCACAUGAGUUUGAGAUAUAAAAAAAAUUACUCUUAGGAUUGGUGAAACAGUGGAUACAAGAGUUCAGCUUAUCAUAUAUUGAUGAUUUUGUUCUUCGAAAUAUUGUCUACAGAUAGGAUAUCAGAGUUCUAUUAAUUAGAGUUCCGUUAAAAAGUCGAAAUUUCUAUUUUAGCCUAGGACUCUAGGAGUUCUGUUAUCGAUAUUCUAAUUAUGAUCAUGAUCUAUAAAAAAUAUGAGUAACAUGUGAUACGUAAAUGAAAAUUUUUAUGAUAUGAUAAGUCAUAAAUUAAGUGAAAAUGUAUGAAAGUGUAUGAUUAUAUGAAAGACAAAAAUAAUUAAUUUAAUUUAAUGAUCUGUAAAAUUGAAAAAUGAAAUACAUGAAUUAUAUAAGAGAAUGUUGACGAUCAAUAUGUGGUAUGUAAAUGAGAAGGAAAAAAUUAUAUGACCAAAUACUAAAAUAAAUGAAUAAUGAAAUUAACUAAAUACUUUGUAAGUUCAAUAAUUUAAAAAAUUGUUAUUUUUCCCAUUCAAAGUUGAAAAGUCUUUUAUGUGAAAAAUAGUGUAGCUCUUCAAUUUGGGUAUAACAUUUUGGUCUUCUCCAUGUGAUGUGGAGGAAAAUUGACAACAUCACACAAUCAAAUCCAUUUUUUCUGCCAUACCCUUGUGCCUCCGAAGAAAGUUAAAUUAUUAAGGCACAAAAGUACCAAGGAGUAGAAGCUACCAAAAGAGGAGCAUGAAAAUAAAGAGAGAUACAUAUAUUACUGGCAUGAAAUAUUUACAUUUUUUAUUAAUUUGGAACUUCUUGCCUUUUACUACUAGCUUGAUUUGUAUCAUCGCUCUCACCUUUUUGAGCUUGUAUCUGAUAGUGAAACCAAAGAUUAGUGAAAGCCUUCGCACCAAAACUGAGUUCUAGGAACUGCAAUAGGAUCAAUUUCAACAACUCUAAUGGGAUAUUAAACAUUCCCAACUCUUAAGAUCACCAUCUCAUCAAUUUUACACAAUUAAAAUGAAUGUUUCCCUUCACAAAAGGUUUAGGAUGAGCAGCACCAUCGUCCACACUAAUAAAACUUCCCCAGUGAUUGGCGAUGUUUUUAAAUGUAGAGAUCGGACAAGCAUGGAUCGGAACCCCUAAAGUUGUUCUAUAAUUAACCAAAAUGUUUUCAGACCAUGACUCAACUUUUGUGAACCACCUCAUCGAAAUUUCAAUAAACUCUUUUAUAACCUUCUCCACCGUUAAACUCCAUUAGCAACUUGGAGGCCACCCUCUUCUAACCGCAGAGCAAGGUUCUCAAGAGUACAUAAAUCUCUACACCAUCCCAUAAUACAAAUUGUAGCUUAGAAAGUUUUUCUUCCUCGAUAAUCCCAUCUAUAGGAAUUGACUCUAUCUCUUUCUUACCUGUAGCCACCUCCUCCAUGAAACAAUUCUUGUUUAUAGCUUUUUCACCUCCGAGGGUUCCACUCGUAUCUAGAGAAUCCUUUGAUACCUCCAGAGCCUUUGAAGCGUGCAAAGUUGACCCAUAUUCUAUGUCCAAAUAAAUGGAACCGUUCAGACGAAGCGUCGCCCUUCUUGCAUCAGUAAAGUUUGCGAAUCUCACAAAACCAAAUCUUUCUCCUUUUUAUGAAGACAUCCAUAACCCUGCCGUGAUACUCGAAUAUCUUCCAAAGACCUGUCCAUUGCAUUCGUGGAGGACGAUUCACUACAAAAACAGUAACACAACUCUGUCCAGUGUCCACCACCCAACCCAUUACUCAUUAAUAAAACUCCUACUUCAUCACUUAACUAAAGCUUUCUUUUUGAUAUUUUUAUAUAUUUUAAUUUUGUUUUGUAUUCAAAUAAUUUGAUAAUUAACUUUUAACAAUUAUCCCAUAGUUUUUACUAUAAAUUUAAGGAAGACAAUCUUGAUAAAAUUAGUUUGAGGUAGGAACAGUUUAUUGGAACAGCGUAGUCUUUUAUAGGAUUAAAAAUAUUAAUGCAAGAAAUAAAAAACAAGUGAUUAAAGGUUUAGAACAAGCAAUCAAACUUAUUUUAUGUUAAAAUUUUCGAACAAUAUGAAAAUAUAUAAUUUUAAUUGUUCUUUUACCAAUUAAAUUGAUUUUUGACAGGUUUAACUAUUGACUUAAAAAAGAGUGUUAAUUUGAAUGGUUAAAUGUAAUGAUGCAUGGUUUGUCUGACAUCGUCACAUGGAAAAUGGGAUUAAAAAUGGAAAUUAAGCAAAGGCAAAAUGAAUAUAUUUAUUGUUUUCUAAUUUGGUGUAGGGUGCCAUAUUUGUUGAUAGCCACUCACUAAUACAUUAUAAAUGGAAUAAUUGCCUAUUUUACCUUUUUCAUGAAAUUUAUUGACAUCACCAGCUCAUUUUUCAACCACAUUACUCAAAUGAUUGACAGAGAGAGGUAAAAGUAAUUUAUAAAUGUAUUUCUUUUUUUUCGAGUAUAAUUUGUAUUUAUUUCUAGCCAUUUUUAUAAAGUUAUUGUUUAAAAAAGGGGUAAUUAUCAAAUUCAUAUAUGAUUUGGAUCCAAUGUACAAUUUGAUACAAACUACAAUUUGGUGUAAUUAUACACAUAAACUUGAAUUGUGAUUCAUAUGAGCACAUGAAACUUUGAUUUUGAUUCAAUUGUAUGCAUUUAAUGAAUGUAUACGUUUAAAAAAAAUGAAUAUUUACAUUUAUUUUCAUAUUUGAUUAUAUACAGGGGCGAAACCAGAAAAUUCUUUUAGGGGGCUGAAAUUAAAUUGUAAUUUUUACGAUAGCAAAAAUGUAAUUUCACCAUUUUAAUGGCCUAUAUCUUUAUAAUUUUUAAAUGAUUAAAUCAAAUUUUAUAUUUUUAGCGGAGCAAAGUACAAUUUUACCUUUACUAAUUUAAAAUUUUAAAAGGCCUAAAUAGAAAAUUCACCAUUUCAAGGGGACUGAGACUAGAGGUGAUCAUGGGUUGGGCCCACCCGAAAAAUAGGAGGGUCCAAGUAAAAAUAUAGACCCAAAAUAUGGGUUUCGGCAAAAAAAGAAGCCCGUUUAAAAAACGGGCCGGGCUCGGGUAAAAAUUUUUUGGCCUAGGCCCAACCCGACCCGGCCCGAAUUAUAUAUUAAAUAUAUAUAGUUUUUAUUUUUAAUCAAAUAUGUAUUAAAUAUAUACUUUUUUGGUGUUGUACAAUUUGAUAUGGGUUGGGCUCGGGCUUAGCAAUUUUCUUUUGGGCCGAGCUUGGAUAAAUUUUUAGGCCCAUAUUUUGGGCCCAGCCAAGCCCGAGCCUAAAAAAUGGGCCUAAAAUUUUGUCUGGGCCCUGCUCAGCCCAUGAUCACCUCUAACUGGAACCCCUGUCAGCCCCUUAGUUUCGCCCCAAAUUAUAUAAUAGUUUGUAUAUGCAAUAUAUCAACGUAAAAUUGUGCUAAUUCAAUAAUAUUGUUAGUGAUUUCUGAAAAUUGAAUCAAAUCAAUAUUUCAUAUAUAAAAUUGUACAAAAUCAAAGUUCAUAUACAACAUAAAUAAAUAAAUAAAAAGUUCAUAUAGAACAAUAUACAUUAAAUCAAAAUUUAUAUAUAAUUUUGAUAUUUAUCUCAUUCUUUAUUAAUUAUAACGUGUGAACGAGGUGAAUCCAAAUUUUGUCAUUUAUUUUCCUACCAUCUUUGCGAAAUAAAUUUCAACUUAAGAAGGAAAAAAUAAUUAACAUUUUCAAAUUCUAUCAAGAUAGACAUGUUCAUAGGUCAGACUCUCGGCUUAGGUUCAAAAGUUCACUAAAAUUUUGGGAGGGUUUGGAUAAAAAUAUCAUACCCAAAGAAUGGACUCGAGCAAAAAAAAAAGACCUGUUUAAAAUAUGGGUCGGGCUCGGGCUUGAAUAUUUAAGGCUAGACCCGUUUUAAGUUUAUAAUUUUUUAUAUUAUGUUAUUUUUUAUAUAUUAUGUAAUUUAGAACACAAUAAAAAAUAAACAUAUAGUAAAUAUAUAAUAUAACUCUAAUGUAAACAUUAAAAUAAUAUUAAAAUGACUAUAUAAAAAAUUUCAAUAAAUAAAAAUGUAUAAAUAUUAAAAUAAUAUAAUAUAAAUACUUUUUAAAAAAAUUAAAAAAUAAUAUAAGCGAACCUAAAAUGGGUUUAGAUUAGUUUUUUGUAAAUAUGGGAGUGUUUUGACAAAAUUUUAGGCCUAAAUUUCAAACCGGACCGAACUUAAACAAAUAUAAAAUAUCUUAAUAUCAUGCUUAAACCAACCUAUGAACACUUCUACAUAAAAAUAAUAUAGACGAAUUGAUGUCGUUUAGUUCCACAAGGUCAAACUUCAAAUUAAUACGAGUGUAUUAUUAAAAGUUUUCGUCCUCGCAUUACUUGUAAUUAGUUUAUGUCUUUUAAUUCAUUGAGAAGUAACAAGCAUGUAUGGAUGUCCAUUGUACAGGCCCAUUUUGACCUAAUCCAUUACAACCCAUAACCCAAGCAAAAACAAAACCUACCCAGGCCCAACUAAGCCUAACCCACCAAAACCAAAGCCCAAAUCAGCAACCCAAUUCAGCCCAAUCUACCUAACCCUAGCCAAUUUGUAGAAAAAAGAAACAGCAGCCACCCUAGGUGCGCCGCACCUAGGGCCUUCGUCCACCUACCCCCUGCCACCGCCUCUGACCAGCGCCGCACCUGCUCUCUGCCAUCGCCCAACUGCACCUGCAAGAAGAGAAACCAACACGCAACAACAAAUAGUAGACAUAGAUAAAAAAAAUGUUAAAAUCGGCUAUAAAAGCCGAAACCAGAGGAAUGUAAAGGGUUCGGCCCCUCUUUGACGAUUAAAAGAAAUAAAAGUUUUUUGAAAAUCUUAAAGGUGACUACUACCUUUUUAGAUCUGUUUUUUUUUGUUCUUUUAAAUAUUAUUUUUGUUUUUAAAUACAAACAAAUUAAAAAUAAGAAUAAAGGAGAAGGCUUUUUACCUUACCUGCGCCGCGACGGAGGUGGAGGAAGGCGAACGGUUUCGCCCCAUUUUUUGGGUCUUCGGCUUUCUAUUCAGGAGAUUCAGCCCCGGAUCUGUGGCCUGGAGGCCAUGGACUUCAAAAAAGGACGAAAAAGGUCCGAUUUUGAACCUCCGGCGGCCACACACGGUGGCUCUGCGGCGGAGACUCGUCGGAAAUCUCGAGCCGGACCAUGGCCGGACCUGAGAGAAAAAGAGAGAGUUUUCUCUCUGUUUUUUUAAAAAGAAGAUGAAACUGUUUCUUUUAGCUUUUUUUAGUAUUUAUAUUAAACGUGAAACGACGCCGUUUUAGCAAAAGGAUCCGCGCGUCGACCCGACCCGACCCGGAGGAUCCGCGUGUUUUCAGUUUUUGGGAUAUUUCGCGUGCAGUCCCCCUGAUUUUGCAGCGUAUUACAAUUUUAUCCUUUUGUUAUUUUCUCUUAUUUUUAAUUUAGCCCCUGCAAUUUUAUUUUUAUUUCGACUUGGUCCAUUUCAACGCUGCGUUUUGGGGCUGUGGUUUAUUUGCAGUUUUGGCCCUUUCCUUUUCAGCGCGCGUUGCAAUUCGGUCCUUCUUGUUUUUUUAUUUCAAAUUUGCCUAGUAUAUUUGUUUUUAUUUUGAUUUAGUCCCUUUUUAGCAAUCUUAUUUAUUUUGAUUAAUUAUUUUAAUGUAUUAUCAUUUAUUAUUAUUAUUGUUGCAUUUAUUAUUCUGAUUAUCAUUUACCCAUUCGCAUCGUUUUUGGAUUUGGUUAUACAUACAUACUUAUAUAUAUUUUUAUAUUUUAUAACUUAUAUACAUAUAUCUAUAUUUAUAUUCUUUACCUUCACAAAUAUAUGUAUACGUACCUAUAUAUAUAUAUUAUUUUAUAUAUAUACAUCCUUUUACAUUUUUAGGUUUUUAUAUUUUGUUCAUUAUUUAUUUAUUUAUUUACAAUUUUGUUAUUAUUUUAAAAGAAUGCUUUAACUUUAUUUGCUUAUAUAUUCAUUUUGUAUGCUAUUGAUUUGUCUUUUUUUAUUUAUCUUAUCUUUGAUGCUAUUGCUCGUGUUAUUUUACUUGCAUUAUCAUCAUCAUUUCAUUAUACCCAUUUUUAUUUAGAUUUCGAAAAAGAAAUUUUAGAAAUAAGUAAUAUUCGGUAUUUUGGAUCUUCGAGAGAAUCGAGCCCUAACGUAUUGGGUUCCGACUUUCUUCGUUGAACUUAAAUAAUUGAGAUUAUUCUUUUAAAAAUGAUAAAAAGCUCGUUACCGAGAAUUCAAUAUGUUGUGUCCUAACGCAUUGGAUGUGACACGUUAUUUUUUCGAAACGAGAAUUUUUCUAAAUAAAUGUAAUAUUCAAUGUUUAAUAUUUUGAGAAAUUGUGCCCUAACGUAUUGGGUUGCGAUUUCUUCAUUUGAUUUAAACAAUUGAAUAUUCUUUUAAACUUUAUUACACGAAUUUUUUCAAACUCAAGUUAAACGAUAUCGGGAAUUAAAAAAAGGAUCGUGUCCUAACUUACUGGUCGCGAUAUCUUUUUUUAAUCCAAGAUAGUUAAAUAUCUUUUAAAUAAGCAUUUUUCAUUCGCGUAUCGGGAAUUCGAGACAUUGUGUCCUAACUUAUUAGAUAUGAUUCUCUUUCUCGAAUAGCGUGAAAUAUGCCCCUUUUUCAGAAAUUUUUCAACGUUUUAAUACAAGGAUCGUAUUUUUAAAAUUCUUCAAAGUUCUCAAUUUUCGACAUUAAGACAUUAAGUAGUCAAUUAGGUACCAAUUUUGGGCGUAUCGAGGGUGCUAAUCCUUCCUCGUGCGUAACCGACUCCCGAACCCGUUUUUCUGAAUUUCGUGGACCAAACUUGUUGUUUUAAUAAAAUCAAACCGUUUAUUAAAAACAACUAAUUUUAAGGUGAUCCAAUCACACCUCAUAAAAAAGGAUUGGUAGCGACUCCCGUUUCUUUUUUCAAAACCCAAGUCGACCCCGUUUUCCAUCCAAAAAAUGGUGUCAACAUCCAUCUUCUACCAUAGUUGUCUUCUAAAGAACUUUAUAAAGGGAAGCUAUGCCACUCUAUUUAAGGGUUGGUUUUGGAGAUUAAAGUGUAAUUUUAUCAUCAUAUUAACUUAAGUUUUUUUUUUAAAUUUAAAAACGUGUAAAUGGUAAAUUUACUAUUUUUGGAAGGUCAAGGCUAUUGCUUCCCCUUAUCUUUGCCCUGCUAGUAGUUGACUAACACGGUCUCAUACAGUAAUACUCUUAUCGAAUAUAAAGCCUUGUUUAAAUGGAGAUAUUUAUAAGAGGAAAAAUACUAAAUAAUGCAAGCUCGCCCAUGCCUGGUCACUGUGAGCCCCUUUGUGAGGAAGCACCUGAUCUUCUCUCGAAGUUACGAGGUUAUUUUGUCAAGUUCUUUAGAGAGAGUUGUCUCACACCCCUAGGUAUUCUCUACCUACCCACUUGUGUCGGUUUUGGGUACACGUACCCUUUUGAUGAAGGUCGUUCAAGCUUUUCCUGGAAGUAUAAUUUUUACUUCCACUUACAAUUUCAUAAAAUAAUAAUUUAUCAAAUCAAAAUUAUUCAAAUACAAAUUCAAAAUAUUUGAAUCAAAAUUAAAUUGGAGCUCCUCACUCAGGCUUCUACUUUUGUGCAUUGAUAAUUCAGUGGCAGCACUUCCCCCUUGCCUUAAUUGUUGAAAAUUGAAUAAAAAUUGUACCUUUCAUUUCCUUCCCUCAGACAAGUUGUUCAUUGUUGCUCCCACUCUUCAGUCUUCUCUAAAAUAAUGUAGGAAUCCCAAGUCACUAUAAUUAGGUGAUGAGGAUGGUACUUACUUUUUUUCCAAUAUCAGGGUAUUUAUCGUUAAUAAUAGUGAUUGAUUUUUUUUGUUGCGAAUUUGUACAAGAGCUUAUGUAAGAGUUUAAUAUAGUUCAAUGAUUAUUUUAUAAUUUUUUAAAGUUAAAUAAUCAAAAUAGAAAUUAAUUAACAAUUUAGCUAGAGAGCUUACACGUAGUUUACCCAAAAACAUAUCGACAUGAUCCCCCAUUGGAGUCCGAAGCCAAAGCUCACAAAUUGGGUUAACAUUUGACAUUUGGGGUUUCAAAUUGAGAAUUAAUUGAAAUAGAUAACAAUUAGCAAUUAAUUGAGAAUAAACAAAUUAUAUUCCAUAUAGUGUAGUAUUGAAUAUAUGUUUACUUCAUUAAAGGUCUCUUUUUUAUUCAAUUAAUUUCUCCAACUCAAAUUUAGCAACUUAUUAUGGUACUAUGAGAUUAUAAGAAUGGUUUUUGGAAGUAAAUCAGUGAGUGAAGUUGUAAAAUUACUGAUUUUCGAUUUAAUUACUUUAAUCAUUGGUCUAGUUUCAAUUAAAAAAUUUAUUCAUGAUUUAGCCUAUAAAUUAUAUAUAUUCUCUCACUUUAGUCUAGUUUAGACUUGCCUAUGGCCCUGCUCGAAUGUCCACCUGAAAAGCGAGAUGAUUUAGGUAAAUAUAUAUGCCCAAAAAGUUGGUCUGGAUAAAAAAAUAAUGCUCGUUUUCUAAACGGAUUGGGUCUCAGGUAAGCUUUUCUUGCUCAACCUGGCCCGAAUUUGCAAAAAAAAAAACUAUUGUUGUUUUUUUUACUAUUUUAUCAUUGUUUUUCUAUCAUUUCGUUAUUAUAUUGCUACUAUUUUAUUAUUAUUGUUUGAAUAAUGCAUAACUCUUGUUUUAUUACUAAUUUUGCUACUAUUUUAGGGAUAUUUACUUUUUAAGUUACACUUAUCUCAGUGUUAUAUAUUUAAGUAUUUUUUUUUAAUUUUCAUUUGUUCGGAAACAUUUAUUUCAAAUUUUUUAGUGUAUUUGAUGAAUUAUUUUUUAAAAUUUAUUUUUAUAUUAAAAAUAUAAAAAAUUAAUAUGGGCAGACUAGGCUUUUAACAUUUUAAUCUAAGUUGGGCUUGGAUAAAAUUUUAAGCCUAUUUUUCGAGCUGAACCGAGCUCAGGCCUAGAAAUUAGGCCUAAAUUUUUUACUUGGCCCUAUCAACCCAUGGACAACCCCAGUCUAGUUUCAGUUGGGAAUGAGAAUUACUACUAUUUUGUUGUUAUUAAAUUGUUAAACCAUUGUUUUUUUUUUUUGGUGCCACUUCAAAAAGCCAUUGGGCCUUAGUCAAGACGAGGUAACAUAGAAUAGUUCAGGGUCCUAACUGGAAAAUAUCCCACAUUGAUUAUUGUGAUGUAGAAAGUGGAAAAUAUGUAACGAGCGUCAUUGGAAAGAUGUAUGUCAAACUAGUGGAGCCAUAAAUUGGUAGUUUUCUAAGGUUGGUUUCAAAAUGAAGGGGGAGCUCCCAAGUCAAAAUAAAAUUGUUUAGUAUUUUUUAGUGUUUCCCUUUUAGACAGGUUAAAUUGUGUAUUUAUAUGUAGGGGUGUUCAUUCGGUUAACCGAUCGGUUAAUCGAAUCGAACUUUUUUAAAAAAAAUUAACCGAACGAAAUUUUUUCGGUUAAUUCGGUCGGUUAAUCGAAAAUUAUAUGUUUUUUUAUUUUUGGUUAAAAAUUAACCGAAUUAACCGAAUUAACCGAAUUCCCGAAUUACCCGAAUUAACCUAAUUGAAUCAUACAUAAUUAAAUUAUUUUUAGACUUUAAUACUUUAGUUUUAGUUUUAGUUUUAGAAUUUGUUUUUAUUUAUUAAAUUAUUUGUAAAUUUUAUGAUUGGGUUGGUUUGGGUAAUUGGGUUGGAUUGAAUACUUGGAUUUGGAUUGGGUUUAGGUGAAUAGUGGACCUAUUUAUAUAUUAAUAAUUUUAUUUAUUAAUUUUUUCGGUUAACCGACCGGUUUCGAACCGAAUUAACCGUUAACUGAAAAUUCAUAAAAAAAUUAACCGACCCCCGACCGAAAAAAUUCGGUUAACCGACCGAUUACCGAAUUUUUUCGGUUUUACCCGAAUUAUGCACACCCCUAUUUAUAUGAUAUGAUUACUGUUCACAGAUAUGAUAUCGUAGGUAGGUUCCCAUGCAAAUCAACGUAUACCCUACUUUAGGUUAACAUGUAUUUAUAUGAGGUGGAUUUACAUAGUGCAAACCCACAUCAUGCUGUCUCGUAGAAGGUUGCAAACACCUUACAUGCGAACUCAAAGUGCGAACUGUAAUGGAUCAGUAAUAGUGAAUAUCAUAACAAAAGUAAAUUAAAAUAUUUAAUUCCUUCCAAAUAUUAAUUUCAAUAAUUAUUCAACUCCUAUUAUUUUAUCCUUUUGUAUAUUGAAUUCCUCUAAGCAAAGAAAAUAUCCAAAUUAAAAUUUUUAAUUUUUUUAGACAUAAUAUCAAAUUUAACCUUCAACGUUUACAUUUUUUUGUCAAUUUGGCAAUUAUUCUUUUUUGAGCUAAAUUUGACCCUUAAUCUUUCAAAAAAGAGUCAAAUAUUUUUUUAUGAAAUCUUUUUUUAAUGAAAACAUUAAUAAAAACAUUAAUUUUUUUAACAAUAAUGGUGUGGCAACCCGCAUGGUAGUCCACGUAUACUUCCAUACUAGUAUGACACUAUUUGUAUUAUAUGUCAUGUCAACAAAUAAUUUUAAAAAAGUAUUUAAAAUUCAAAAAAUUAUAAAAAGCUCAUAAUAUGUAAAAUAAAAAAGCAUGAAGUACAUAUAGAUUGUCAUUCAAACUAUCAUAUUUGAAAAUUUAAUGUUAUAAUCGAAAUUUUUUUUAAAAAAAUAACAAUUUAACUCUUUUAAAAUAUUAAUGGUUAAAUUUAACUUUUUAAAAAAAAUUGAAAGUCAAAUUUAGCUCAAAAAAUAAAGAUUAAACUGACAAAAAAUAUAAAUGUUAAAAGGUUAAAUUUCAAAUUAUAUCAUUAUUUUAUUAAACAAACCUUAUUAAAAAUGUAUUUAAAUUUUAUAAAUCUUAUUAAAAUAAUAUUAAUAAUUAUUCAACUCCUCCACACAAAGAAGCAUCCAAAUUAAAAAUAUAUAUUUAAUUCCUUUCAAAUAUUAAUUUGUUCAACUUCUUAAAUUAAGUAAUUAAUCAAUUUUCGUUUUAAACAAAAAACCGGAUAGGAAAACCAUCAUUUUCUCGGGAAACAAACAGAGAAAGCUGCAAACUUUCCAAAUAUAUACCUUACUCGAAAAUCUGCCACGUCUUAUCCUUGAUAUGAUGGUUUCUAACAUUGCCACUUGGCAAGUUAUUCAGUAACAAUGCCAAUCUGCCACCAUUAUGCUUUUCCUUGCAGUACAAAAUUCCAGGAUGCCUUUACUUCUUUUGCCUCUUGGAUCAGCAUUUACUAUCACCAAAAUCAAAAUCCCAACUUUGAAAAAAAAAAAGUUUAAUUUUUAUCCUUUUUUUAAAAAAAUUUAACAAUUUUUUAUUUUCCAUUGUCAACCUUGUAAAAUUCUUUUAUAUUUUUAUGUUUUUAGUGGGAUUUUUACAUUUGUUCCAAAUUAUCAGUUUGUCAAGUUCUUCAUGCUUUCCAUGUCCCAAAGGAUCACAUUUUAUUUAAGAAAUAGAAAAAGACAUUAUUUUUGUUCUUCAUGCAACUUAUAAGUUAUAGAGAAUGAAUUUCUUUGAUUUUAGCAACUAAUAUUAUGAUUCCAACAUUUAGGGUUUUAUAUGUUUUUUUUUCUGUAUGAAUUUGAACUUGAGUUAGCCAUAAAAACCCCACCUUUAAUCUCAAUAUAUGAACUUGGCUUUGCUUCUUAUGGUUAUUAUUGUUUAAUUUAAUUAAUGUCUUGAAAGGGUAUUCUAGUUUAAUUUAAUUAACUAGUCCAUUUAUUUUGAUUGAUAAUGAUGUUGCAGGUGCUUAAUCUUUCCAUUGAAAUGGAGAAAAUCAACUACCAGGACGAGCUGAAGAAAGAGCGUAGGCUUGUUCGGAGUCUCGUAUACGAGAUCGGUUACAGGAAGGAACAGGUGUCCGAAAUGGAACAUAAAUAUGACAAGACAACCACGGCUUUUCAAGAACUCGUUGAUGGCCUUGUAGCGAAAAUUGACUCCAAGGACAGUAGUUUGCGGGAUUGGGAGCUUCGAUAUAAGGAAAUGGGGAAAUGGUACAUAAAUAUGAUGAGACGACCGCAGCUCUUCAAGGACUCGUCGAUGGCCUUGUAGAGAAAAUUGACUCCAAGGACAGUAGUUUACGGGAUUGGGAGCUUCGAUAUAACGAAACCGUGAGACAAUUGAAGGGCGAGAACGCGGUGUUUCACCUUGUGUUUGCUAAAGGUAUACUUUAGAUUAUAUAUUGCAUACAUAGCGAGCAGAAGACUAUGCAUUAAUCCAAUCGUGUACGAUGAACAACAUGUCGUUUUCGAAGUUCCAAGGUUUGCAUUUAGAGCUUUGAUUGAUCUUUAGGCUAUUUUACACAUCUAGUUGCUUAGUAUUAGAUUCGGUGAAGAAGUUGCAACUUUAGGAUAGUGAAGGAGACAUAAAUGUCAGGAUUCGAACCCCAAACUCUGCUUUUAUAUCUGUUAUCACGGGAACCGGAUGAACUUAUGGAAACGAGGCUUGGAACCUAAAAGGAAGCAUAUAUAUUUGAGAUAUUCCGAUUUUCUUCCUGUUGCUAAUGCUUCUAUCAUACACAUUAGGAUUAUGUGAUCUUAUAUAUAUACACACGCAUAUAUACGAGAUACUGAUGAAUUUCUGCCUCCUGUUAUUGCUUAUAUCAUAUGCUUUAUGGACUGUUGCUUUACAUUUUUUAUGCAGAAAUUCAGAAGGAAAGGGAUGAAAAUCUUAAGCUGAAGUGCCAACCUGGCUUUCGAACCAAGUUGGUCGAAGAUUAUAUAUCUCGUAAUGAUAACGAUAUGGAACGAAGUAGCUUGUUGAAUGAAAUGGAAGGGGUUAGCAUACUCAUCUUAAUUUUGGUUUUCGAUAUAUGAACUAUCUUUUGUCGAGUUUGUACCUUUGUGUAAAUGAAUCCUGUUAUCAUGUUUAGGUUCAACGUUUUUAAUGGUUAUGAUUUGCCGAGUAGACUUUUAACAAUUCGGAUUAUAUCUGAUAUAGCCGAAAGAGAAUGUGGCUUGCCAAAAUCUUAUUGAACUCGAGAAAACUACAAGCGAGCAGAUUACUGCUCUAAAGAAAGAGUUGGAGGAAAAAUCAGAAGCGUUGAAAGAUAUGGAAAACCGAAACAGUUGUCUAACGGUGAAACAAGUCCUAACUAAUCAAGAGCUGCAAGAUGUUCGAAAAGAAUCCAUACGUGUAUUUUUCAUGUUUUCCUUUGCUUCCUCCUAUGUUUCCUCUUCGAAAUCGGGUUUAAACUUGAAAGUGUUAAACCCAAGACUUCUCUGGUUUUUGAUGUGCAGGGUUUGAACGAUUUUCUGAAUAACCAGACUAAUCUUAAGAGUGAAAAGAACGGGAGAGAUUGAUCAAAAAGCAUUCAAAGUUGCUUGCUCGUUGAAGUUCCAGGACGAAGAUUGGCGAGAACCGUGUGCUAAAACAUGUUCAUUAUGUUGUUCCAAUAGGGUCGGAAGCGUGUAAAUUAUUGUACUAAAAAAUCACAAAAAGUUCAAUUCCCAGGGAAGAGAGGUGGAUCACAUGGAUCUCUUAAAUACCAAGUCUUUUCUUAGACAGAAUAUCCCUUCUAUAGUAAUUUAAUAGCACAAUUAAAUACUACUAUUAUACCCUCAAAUAUUGAAAGAAAAAUAGGACAAGAAAGAACACAAGAGAUUUAACGAGGUUCGGUAAAUUAUACCUACGUCCUCGGGCACUAACACCAGAUGAUAACUUUACUAUCCCCAAAGUAUUACAAACAAAUAGAAUUCCUUAAGAAUUCUCAAAUGGGAGAAGAGAGAAAACUAAGAGAGAAAGAUUGGUUGGGAUGAAUUGAAAUGAGAAAUGAGAAGGCCUAUUUAUAGUUGAGGUUCAAGGACCAAACAAUAAAUAGCACAUUAUCUCAAGGACCAAAAAAAAAUUAUCCCUUGCCACUUUUCCAAAGUUGGUGGUUGUCAUUAUUGAUUGUCUCCCAUUAAUGUUAAUGGCAACCAUUAUUAAUUGUCUAUCAUUAAUGUUAACAAUCUCCACCUUGAAGAUUUGAUUAGGAUAAUCACAUCUUCACACACUUCCUUCAACUCCCUAAAUUCGAUAAAGCUAUCUUUUGUAGUGCCUACAAAUGCGCUCUCGAGCGCCAUACACCUGAAGGUGCUCAAAUUCUCAGGAUGUUAAUCAAGUUCAAACAAUGAUUAAACUUGAUUGUUGUUACCACCUUGGUCAUCAUAUCUGCGGGAUUAUCUGCUGUCGGAAUCUUCUAAAGUAGAAUUUUUCCUUUUUCAAAGACUUCUCGCACAAAGUGAUAUCUUACGUCAAUAUGCUUGGUUCUUGAAUGAUAGACUUGAUUUUUCGCUAAAUGAAUAGCGCUCUGACUGUCACAAUAUAAACUUAUGUGACUUUGAACAACUCCUAAGUCUUUCAACAAUCCAUUAAGCCAAAUAGCCUCCUUAACAGCUUCUGUAACUGCCAUAUAUUCUGCCUCUAUAGUAGAUACAGCUACUGUAGACUGUAAGGUAGACUUCCAACUCACUGGGGCUUUCGCAAGAGUAAACAAAUACCCCGUAGUUGAACGACGUUUAUCUAAAUCACCAGCAAAGUCGGAAUCAACAUAUCCAACUACAAACUGACCAAGUGCUUCAUCCUGUUCAAAAAUUAAACCAACAUCUACGAUUUUUCAAAGAUACCGUAGAAUCCAUUUCACAGCUUGCCAAUGUCCUUUUCUAGGAUCAUGCAUAUACCUGCUCACAACUCCAACAGCUUGUGAAAUGUCAGGCCUCGUACACACCAUCACAUACAUCAAACUCCCAACUGCAUUAGUAUAUGGGACUUUCGCCAUAUAUUCUCUUUCUUCUUCAGUUUUCAGAGAUAAUUGAGCACUAAGUUUCAAAUGAGAAGCAAGUGGGGUACUUACAUGUUUUGUGUUUUCAUUUACACCAAAACAUUGUAAUACCUUUUUCAGAUAUUGCUUCUGAUUCAAACAAAGCUUGCCUCUCUGUCUAUCUCUACUUAUCUCCAUGCCGAGAAUCUUCUUGGCCUCACUUAGAUCUUUCAUCUCGAACUCUUGAUUCAACUGAGCCUUCAGCUUAUCUAUCUCUUUUUGGCUCUUCGAAGCGAUUAACAUAUCAUCAACAUACAAGAGUAGAUAAAUGAAAGAUCCGUCAUGCAGCUUCUGCAAAUACACACAAUUGUCAUAUUUGCUUCUUGUGUAUUUCUGCCUUCUCAUAAAGCUAUCAAAUCGCUUGUACCACUGCCUCGGGGAUUGCUUCAAUCCAUAUAGCGAUUUGUUAAGCUUACAAACCCAAUUUCUACCACCAGCAUCUGUGUAUCCUUCUGGCUGAGUCAUAUAGAUCUCCUCUUCUAACUCACCAUGCAAGAAAGUCGUCUUAACAUCAAGUUGAGCUAGCUCUAAAUUCAACUGUGCUACCAAGGCCAACAAAAUUCUAAUGGAGGAAUGCUUCACAACAGGGGAAAAUACAUCAUUGUAGUCAAUUCCCUCCUUCUGAGCGUAGCCUUUAGCUACCAAUCUUACCUUGUAGCGAAUAUCCUUCUUGCUAGGAGAUCCAUCUUUCUUUGCGAAUACCCACUUGCAUCCGAUUUCCCUUUUACCUUUCGGUAAUUGCGCCAACUCCCAAGUAUUGUUCUUCCGGAGAGACUGCAUUUCUUCAUCCAUGGCGCUUUUCCAUUUAUCACUUUCUAAGCUUUGCAUUGCUUCUUGAUAAGUGAUAGGAAUAUCAUCAACAACGGGAAGGGCGUAGGCCACCAUAUCAGUAAAUCGAGCAGGUUUACGAAUUUCUCUCCAUGGCCUUGCAACUGCAACUGGUUCUGGUGUACUUAGUGGUUCUUGGGUCAGAACCUCUUCAACCUCUAAUUCCUCCAUUGUGGCUGGAGAAUUAGACUUAUUAACUGGGCAAAUCCCCAUCUGCUCAAACUCCACCUAUUUUGGAGUACACUCCACCUGCUGUGGAGUAUUGCUCGUCUGAAUAUCUUUAUCUGCUACCUUUUUCAAUGUGGCAGAUUCAUCAAAGGUAACAUCUCUGCUACAGAUCAUUUUCUUUGUGCUUAAGCACCAAAGACGAAAUCCCUUCACUCCAGAAGUGAUUCCCAUAAAGAGAGCUUUUUUUGCCCUCGGAUCUAACUUUGACUCCUUCACAUGGUAAUAUGCAGUGGUUCCAAACACAUGUAAGGAAUCAUAAUCUGUAGCCGGUUUUCCAGACCAUACCUCCAUAGGAGUUUUUCUUUCUAAUGCAGAUGAUGGCAAACGAUUAACAAGAUGGCCAGUGUAUGUCACAGCCUCAACCCAAAAUUGCUUGCCCAACCCAGCAUUGGACAACAUACAUCAAACUUUCUCCAGCAAUGUUCGAUUCAUACGCUCUGCCACUCCAUUCUGUUGUGGUGUAUCCCUAACUGUGAAGUGUUGAACAAUACCAUACUCUUGGCACACAUCGAAGAACGGAUCACUUUUAUAUUCCCCUCCAUUGUCCGUCCUAAGCCGCUUGAUUUUCUUGCCAGUCUGGUUUUCGAUCAUAGUUUUCCAUUUAAGAAAAACUCCAAGCACUUCAUCUUUAGUUUUCAUGGUAUACACCCAAACUCUUCUGGAAAAGUCAUCAACAAAAGUAACAAAGUAGUGUUUUCCUCCCAACGAAGGUGUUUUGGAAGGCCCCCACACAUCUGAGUGAAUAUAUUCCAAAAUACCUUUUGUAUUAUGGAUAGCAGUGCCGAAUUUCACUCUCUUUUGCUUUCCCAGAACACAGUGCUCACAAAAUUUUAAUUUGCAAGCCUUUGCACCUUUCAACAAUCCUUGUUUUGCCAGAAUUUGUAAGGAUUUUUCGCUGGCAUGUCCCAACUUCAUAUGCCACAACUGCAUUGAGUCCAAGUCUUUGUUACCGGAAGCUGCAGCGACUGCUCCAAUAACUGUACUACCUUGGUAGUAAUACAAGUUAUUUUUCCUGAUGCCCUUCAAUAUCACAAGUGCGCCAGAUGUCACUUUCAAAACCCCAUCUCUCAUAGUAACAACUGAACCAUUGGAUUCCAAGGCUCCCAAUGAGAUGAGAUUUUUCUUCAAACUGGGCACGUACUGAACAUCAGUCAGAACUCUGGUUGAUCCAUCUUUAUUCUUUAAUUGGAUUGAACCUAUCCCAACAAUUUUACAGGCAUUGUCAUUGCUCAUAUAAACAACUCCUCCAUUUAGUUCUACUAAAUCAGAGAACCACUCCCGGUUAGGGGACAUAUGAUAGGUACAACCCGAAUCCAAUAUCCACUCAUCUGAAUGGAACGACGAUGAUGAUGCAACCAGUGAUAGUUCAGAGUCACUAGUAUCAUGCUUAGCAACACAAGCAUCUACAGCAGCUUUUCCCUUAUUCUUCAGCUUUGGACAAUUUUUCUUCCAGUGGCCUUUCUCAUGACAAAAAGCACAUUCAUCUUUCCCGAGUCUGGACUUUGACUUUGAUAUCCCCUUUUGAGUUUUCUUCCGAGUGUAUGAACGACCUCGGACUACUAAAGCUUCUGUAUCUCUGAUUGAGUUUUUCUGUUUGUCCUUCUUUCUCUGUUCAUAACUGUAUAAGGCCGCACAGACUUCGCUCAGAGAUAUAUCACUCCUGCCAUGAAGUAGAGUAGUUUCUAGGAACUCAAACUCCUCAGGAAGUGACCCCAACAGCAUCAAAGCCAAAUCUUCAUCUUUGAAUGUCUCAUCCAUAUUCAGCAAAUCAGUGACUAACUGAUUAAAUUUGGUGAUGUGAUCAUUCAUUGUGGUACUUACGUAUGUGAAGCGAAACAGUCUUUUCUUCAAGUGGAGCUUAUUUUGACUGUUUUUCUUCAAAAAAAUUUCUUCAAGUGCCACCCACAACUUAUUUGCAGAAGUCUCCUUUGAAAAAGCAUACAUCUGCUCUCGAGAAAGGCAUGAUCGAAUUGUGCCACAUGCCAACCGAUUGAUCGCCUUCCAAUCUUUCUCCUGUACAUCAUCUGGUUUCUCUUCAUCAAUGGCAAUGUCUAGACCCUGCUGAAAAAGGGCAUCUAGAACCUCACUUUGCCACAUACCAAAAUGGCCCGUGCCAUCAAAGAUUUCCACGGCCAAUCUUGCAUUUGCAAUUGUCGGUCUUGUCCACAUGGACGAUGUUGAAGCUCCUACACCGACCGUUUUCUCCAUAAUCUUUCAAUAUAUCUAAGGAAAUCUUUUCUGAUGUGGAAGAUCAGUUUAAACUGCAACCACAGAGCAUACUACGAUUAACCUUCGGCUCUUGAUACCACUUGUUGUUCCAAUAGGGUCGGAAGCGUGUAAAUUAUUGUACUAAAAAAUCACACAAAGUUCAAUUCCCAGGGAAGAGAGGUGGAUCACAUGGAUCUCUUAAAUACCAAGUCUUUCCUUAGACAGAAUAUCCCUUCUAUAGUAAUUUAAUAGCACAAUUAAAUACUACUAUUAUACCCUCAAAUAUUGAAAGAAAAAUAGGACAAAAAAGAACACAAGAGAUUUAACGAGGUUCGGUAAAUUAUACCUACGUCCUCGGGCACUAACACCAGAUGAUAACUUUACUAUCUCCAAAGUAUUACAAACAAAUAGAAUUUCUUAAGAAUUCUCAAAUGGGAGAAGAGAGAAAACUAAGAGAGAAAGAUUGGUUGGGAUGAAUUGAAAUGAGAAAUGAGAAGGCCUAUUUAUAGUUGAGGUUCAAGGACCAAACAAUAAAUAGCCCAUUAUCUCAAGGACCAAAAAAAAUUAUCCCUUGCCACUUUUCCAAAGUUGGUGGUUGUCAUUAUUGAUUGUCUCCCAUUAAUGUUAAUGGCAACCAUUAUUAAUUGUCUUCCAUUAAUGUUAACACAUUAUGGCAACAUAAUGUGCAGGAUCCGAAUUGGCACCCGUAUAAGAUGAUCAACAUCCGAGGCAACUUGCAUACACCGAUUGCUCAGAAAACCGUACUGUUAUCAAACAUCUGUUGUUCUACGAAAUGCGAGCUGGUUCAUUACUCAAAACUUACAUAUUAAUGGGAUGCCUUCUCGGUAAUGCAGGAAAUAAUAGACAAGGAUGAUGAGAAGCUGAAGGAGUUGAGAAAUGAAUAUAGUGACACAGCGUACGAGGCUGUCAGCACCGCACUGAUGGAAAUGAACGAAUAUAAUGCCAGCGGAAGGUAUGCGAUCCCGGAAGUUUGGAACAGAAAGGAGGGAAGGAGCGCUACCAUGAAAGAAAUCGUUCAGUACGUCGAGCAACUGAAGAUUCACAAGCGUAAGCGAUUUUCUUAAUGCUGAGCUUAGCAGUCCAUUGCUUUCAUGGAAAAUAAGUAGAAUUAUACACAAUCCUUAGGUAGGUAUUAAAUUUUAGAAUUAUAUUUGACAUUAAAAAGAGCUAUUUGUUCAUUCCAGCAUGAGCUCCAAAAUUAGGCUCCAUAUUUACAAACCUAAAUUAAACUUACUCCAUAUUUACAAACAGAAAUUAAACCUACCUACGAUAGUUGCAUAAAAAAAUAUUAUCAAUUUAAAAAAAAAAGUAAUUAAGUUGUUGGUAUUUUUCAUUUAAUUAAAUACUUCACUUUUUAAAAUGUAUCAAAAACUUUCUUUAAAUUUUAAAAAAUAAUAAUUAAAUCUUUGUUUUUCUUUUACAUACUCAAUGGCUACUUCAACUAUCAAAAAAAAAAAAAAAAGAAAAGACUUUUUGACAAUUAAAAGUAACUGCUUUAAUUUUUUUAGUUAAAGUCAUUCAGCGUCACAACCAUACAGGCGUGAUGUGUAAUAAAAAAUUAUAAAAAAUAAAAAUUAAUAAAAUUAUUAAAUUCUAAUAAAAAAUAUAAAAAUAUUUAAAAUUUAUUUAAAAUGUCAUAAAUGUAUAAAUAAAAUAUAUUAAAAAUGUUAUUUAACCACUAACUUUAAUUGUUGACUAGUAAAGUCCAUAAUUUUUUUUUCAAUUAAAGCCAUCAUGUGUCGCAAUGCAAUGUGACCUGUGAUGAAAAAUUAUAAAAAUAAAAAUCAAUAAAAGUUACAGAAAAAUUAAAAAAUAUUUCUUUUGGUACAAUAAUUUUUAUAAUUUUUUUAUAAAUUUUAUAUUUUUAAAUUUUUAUAAUUUUCUUACUAUUUUAUAAAAUUUUAUAACUUUUGCAUUUUUUUAUAAUUUUAAAUAUUUUAUAAUUUUUAAAUUGUUUAUAAAUUUUAACUCUUUUUUAUUAAAAUUUAAUAAUUUUUUAACUUUGAUUUAUUUUUAUUUUUUUUAUAUUUUUUUACAUGUCACACUAUAAUUGUGACCUUUAGUGUUUUACCAAAAUAUUAGGAGUGGUUAAUUUUAACAUUCAACCGCUAAAAUUAACAAUCACAAGACUUUUAACAGUUCAAAUAUUCAAUUGGAUAAAAAAAUUUAUUAUUUAAUAAAAUAUAUUAAAAUAAGGGUUUCGACUCAAAUCAUGAUGAAUUGAGCCAUCGAACUUGAGAAAUUAAAAUGUGAACAGAAAUGGGCUCUUCAAAAACCCUUACCCGAGCCCAAGAAGAUCCCCCAAAAACCUUCAACUUAUAACCCUAAUUUGCCUCUCAACUACACUAUAAAUCCUAUCUUCAACAAGACUCAUUCAGCAUUUAUAUCUUCUAAAAAACCCUUCGUUCGUCUAAGGUUUCUCUUUAGAAAUUUUCUCUUCGCAGAGAGUAAUUUUUGCCUUCAUUUUUUUUUCUCUUUAUUUUCCCAUUUUCAAUCUGGGGUUUUUUCCAAAAUGAGUUAAAAAUCCAAUCUUUACACUAGAUGUGAACCCUAAUCACAUUUAUUUUAUCUGGGUUUUGAAUAAAAUCUACACUUGUUUGUAUACUUAUGAAAUAAAAGAACCAUUUUUAAUGCUUUGUUUCUUAACAAGAGUGCAGAAAUAAAAAGCUUGAUUUUUUGCUUCUUUUAAAACAAAGAAACCAAGGAUUAAGCAGCGGCCAGACAACCGUAGCGAUGAUAUCCACAGAUGAAGGGCUAAUUUCUUCUUUAAUCCCUUUUUUGUCUACUGAUUCCAUCUCACAUUUCGUUUUUUAAGUUUUUAGGGUUCAUCACUUUUGAAUUGAUUGAAAAAGCUCUAAUCAAAGUUGAAACUUGGUUAAAAAAUGGGUUUUUUUAUAUGAUUUUACCAUUUUCAAUGCUUUUUUUUUAUGUUUUUUCAAUUUGUAAAAUCAAAUGAGAAACAAUCUCAAAAAAGAAAAAACGACAUUAAUCUAUCAAUCAAUCAAACUGAUUUUGAUUUGAUCAGAUAAAAAAUCAUUAAAUAUCAUAUUCAUGGGAAUUGCAGAGGUUUACUGUUGUAAUUCUUACGAUAUUUUAUCAGAUAUAUUUUACAUCUUAAUAUAUCAUUAAUAUAAAGUCAAAUUUUUUUAACAGGUUAUAUUUUGAUAUUAGUCCCUAUAUUUUGUUGAAGUUAUGAAUUUAGUCUCUAUAUUUUUUAAAUUUUAAUAUUUUAGUCUUUAUUAAAUGAUAAUUGUUAAAAGUUAAAGUUUUGUUAUUUUUAAAAUCUAUUGCAUCAAACAUAUUAUCACAUGCUCAAUGUCAUGUCAACUUGUUAUUUUCAUGUAUUCUUUACUAAAAAUUUAAGGGUAAAUUAUCAAAAUAGUCACUUUUGUUUGACUCAGGUUACAUUUUAGUUACUUACGUUUGAAAUGUUACGUUUUAGUCACUUAUGUUAUCACGUUGUAACAUUUUAGUCACUGAGCCGUUAGUUUUUGUUAACGGUGCAACAGUAAACUGAUGUGGCACGUUAAAUCAUCAUUUCAAACAAAAAUUCUAGGUUAACUUAUACAAUCGGUCCUCAUAUUUUUUCGUUUUGAGCAAUUUAAUUUUUUUCUUUUAUGUUUUUUUUAACUUUCUUUCUUUUCCAUUCUCUUAUGCUUCUCUCUUUGUUUUCCUCCCUUCUCCAUUUCUUUCAACGUAGUUUUUCUAUGUUUUAUUUUUUUGAACAAUUUAAUUUUUUCGAGUGAGGCGAGCUUGUGGACUAGUUACAAAUGGAAAGCAUAGAAAAACUAUGUUAAAAGAAAUAAAGAAGGGAGGAAAAUAGAGGGAGAAGAAUAAGAGAAUGGGAAAAAAAGUUAGAAGAACAAAAAAGAAAAUUUUUAAAUUGUUGAAAAUGAAAAAAUAUAGGAACCAAUUGUAGAAUUUAACCUAAAAUUUUCGUUUGAAAUGAUGAUUUAAUGUGCCACAUCAACUUAUCGUCCAUUGUCGACAAUUAACGACUCAGUGACUAAAAUGUUACAACACGAUAACGUAAGUGACUAAAAUGUAACAUUUCAAACAUAAGUGACUAAAAUGUAACCUGAGUCAAACAAAAGUGACUAUUUUGGUAGUUUACCUAAAAUUUAAUUAAUAGAUUAACAACUGUUAUUUGAGUCGAAACUAAAAUAUAAAAAAUUACGACUUAAACUGAUCCAAUUAAAACAUAUGGACUAAAUCUACAACUGUGCUUACAAUACAUAAUUAGCAAUUGAAUUUAAACAAUUAGAUUUAACAAUAACUAUUUGUGUUAAAAGACUAAAAUUUAAAAAAGUACAGAGAGUAAAUUUGAAAUUUUGACCAAUUUGAAAAGUACAGAGACUAAAACUAACUAAAUUAAAGUACAAUGACUAAAUCCAUAAUUUUUAUAAAGUACAAGGAUUAAUAGAAAAUUGUAACCUUUUUAAUAAAGUAAUUUUGAUUUUUAUUAAUUUAUUUAUAUCUUUUGCUUUUGUAAAUAUAAUAUUUUUAAAUAUUAUUUUGAUUUUUUAUUAUUUUUCAAAAGUUUUUACUUUUAGAAUGAAUGGUCUAAUUUAACCUUCAGUCCAAUUCUUACAAAAUUGAUAAACACUAACAAUGCAUAAUUUAAUAAAACUUUUCAAGUAAUUUAUAAAAAAACACUCAAAUUAAGUAAAUUAAACACACAUUUCAUUUUAAAUUAAAAUUAUAAAUAUUUAUGUGUUAAAAAAUAAAAAUAAAGUAUCAUCGAAGCUGCGGGCUGCAAUCUUCCCAAGCAACUUCAGCCCCCAUUACUUCCCCACUCUUUUUUUUCUCUUUUUACCAACACUCAGAAAAUCAAAAUUUUACCACACUUUCCCUCAUUUUCCCGGAAAAUAAAAUAAAGAUAUUAAAACCAAACAAAAAUCCAAAAAAGGAACUCGGUGAAGAUUUAGAUUUAGACCCUGAAAUUUUUGCCAGUGAAAGUUUGACCAAAUUGCCAAUGAGAAGGGACAAUGUUCCACGAAGUAGAGGUCCGAUGGUCGCUGCCGGUGACCCUAGACGACAGAGAUUGGCCGACUAAAACGGCGUUGGAUUGCCAGUUUUGGCCUCAGUUUCGGCUCAUGCUCAUCCACUCCGUUUUCGACCCUUUAAUGCUUGCUUUCACGAUAUCGCCGGCGCCGGCCACGUUUGUGAUUAGGACCAAGUUGAAGUAUCGGAAACCGUUGAUUGUGAAUCUGAUUCCUCCUCGUUUCUGGCAUGGCACCCUGAAGAAUCAUACGAAAAAGGAAAUGAAGAUUGGGUCAAAUCUAUUGACACUAAUUGUUGAAGUUCGAAAAUCGGUCUAAUAUUUAAGAAGGUAAAAGCGUUUGAACGGGAUGAGAUCAUCUCAACAUAUUGGUUAGACCGCGAAUCGAUUAAAAUAUCGGAGAAAGUAACUUGAUCAAUUAACUCGAAACUAAUACAAAUCAAGAAAAUUACUAGACAAGUUAACUCGGGAUUUGAUACAUCUAAGUUUGAUUUUUAUUAUAUAUAAUUUUAAUUUCGGUUUUAAAAAUAAAAAGCUAAGGGAAUAUACCUUCUAAAAUAGAGAAUAAAAGGGGCGCAACUGGCUAAUCCUUUGUUCUAUUGGCUAUUGCUAAUGCCUUGGAAGUUGAAAGUGUACCUUACUUUGAUUAGUGAAUGGCCGAAUAUGCUUACAAGAAUAAAUUAAGAAAUUCAACGUGGCUUAACAUACAUUUGUAUUUACUGUCACAUGAAUUUGGAUAACAACGAUUGAGAUGGAGAGAAAAAUCAUAUCCAAUUAUGUUUAACACUAGCAUUACGUACAUAAGCUCACACCGACUGAAGAAAACUUUACAUAUACAAGUAGAAGAAAUUUCCGAAUGAACAAAGUCAGUCUUCGCAUCCUAGUUGUUGUUCCAUUCAAUCUCUGUAUGCCCAAAAGAAAAUGAGAGAAAACAAUUACUACGACUAAUGACAUUGUUGAUAACAGGAAAUAUCAUUGUCAGAGAAUUCAAGACUCAAGAGGGAGCAUAUAUAAUUAAUCUAUACUAUAUUACCAUACAUAUGCCCUCAAAUAUUUUUAAAAUUAAUCGUUCAAAUCUAAAUAUAUAUUUGAAAAGAGUAUACGAUAUUAUAAAGGAUCGUAAAAAUCGAAAUAAUAUUUAAUUCUAUAUCGUCUUCUAGAAAGAACAUGAGCUAUGGUGAUAAAAUAUUCGAAUUAUUCCUCUAAUCUCAUUUAUAUCAUAAUUUAAAUUUGAAGAACUUACGAGUAUCGAUGAGAAAACCCACAGGGUCUUUAAUGAGGGAGUUGUUUUAAUUUCUUGACUUAAAUUCAUUGAUUCUAAGGAAGCCUUUACAAACAGACAUAAUUAUUAAUUGAUCCAAUUUCAACAGCAUAAAGUAGGAUCAUAGGAUAAGGGCUUAGACAGAAACAACUUUAUUCUUUUUCUUUUAUGAGCGAAUCCAAAAAUUUUAUGUUGGGAGUUGUUUUUCCGCAAGUGGUGGGAACGGGCAUCAAUUAUUGCUUAAAAGUUAAGCUUGUAAUUUACAAUCAAGGCAUCCAUCAUUUUCUUCAUCCUGGUUAAUGAUAAUUCGAGAUAAAUGUUCCAUUUCCAGUUAAAAUAAAAAUUUUCUCAAGUUAAUUGUUUGAGGAGUAAAUUUAAAAAUAAUAAUAAGAUUGUUUUCUAAAUUAUAAAAAUAAAGAUACAUCAAAAUUAAAAUUUUAAAAAUAUAAAAAUUUUAAAAAUUAACAUAGAAUACACAUAGAUUGCUAUGUAGGUUGUCGUGUUUAAAAAUUUAACAUUUUAAUUAGUAUUCUAGUUUUUUUUUAAAAAAAACAUCAUUUCAGCUCUUUUUCAAAACUAAUAAAUAAGAUUAGAAAACUAAAAAUCGAAUAAAGAAUCGAAUUUAACUAGAUGUUGAGGCUUGUUUUACACAGUUUCCUUAACACAAAUUUGUCCGCUUCUACGGUACUUGGAGAAACAUUGGUCGACUGUCUCCCAUGAUACAAUAACACGAUGACUGAAAUAGCAUCACCUUUACAUGAAAUUGGCUGAUAUUAUGACGAUACUAGGUAGCAUAGAUAUCAUUAUGGGAGAAGUGGAUCGUUGAAAUGAUAAUUUAUACGACAGAAGUAGAAUAUAUCAAUUCCUUUUACACAUUGGAAUCUUUAAAAGAGGUCUAUGGGAUCAUAUGGAUGUUGGUCCCUAUUUUGACUCUUGUUUUGGGAAUCACAAUAGGUGUACUAGUAAUUGUAUGGUUAGAAAGAGAAAUAUCUGCAGCAAUACAACAACGUAUUGGGCCUGAAUACGCCGGUCCUUUGGGCAUUCUUCAAGCGCUAGCAGAUGGAACAAAACUGCUUUUCAAAGAAAAUAUUUUUCCAUCUAGAGGCAAUACUCGUUUAUUUAGUAUUGGACCGGCUAUAGCAGUCAUAAGAGACCAAUGAACAAACCUUGCAUUUUUCUGUCACCGGAACGUUGGAAAAUAUAGAGAGGAAAAGAGAAGAAUUUUCGAGAGCAAAAUAAACUUGGUUUUAGAGAGUCUUUUAGUGUAAAAAAUUUGAAGAAUUCUUAAGCAUUCAAGAUGGAGGAAUUUUGGAAAUAUCCAUAAUUAAAUAUAUAAAAUUUGUAUUAAAUGAGCAAUUAAAUCAUAAUAUAUGUCUUUUUUAAAUUAGAUUUUAUAUAUAUUUGCUGAGAAAAAUAAAUUUUGUGUUGGGCUUAAAAUAUCUAUCCCUUUUUGGGCCUGACCAGUUUAGACAUUUCACGUUGCCUACGUCGUGCGAGUGCGCUCCAACCCCGAUGGGUUUGGAUCUACACCCCUGCGCGUGAGACAAAGUUUCAAACUUAGUCAUUCAAUCAUCCUUCAAGUGGGUUCUCAUAUAUAGAGACAUCUCACACUUGGUAUUCAAUCAAUGUGAGAUCUAAGCUUUUCUUUUCCUCAACAAAUAUUCACAAGUAACUUACUUUGAGCAUUAAUUUCUCACUUAUCACUCAACCAUUUUGAGCAUACGAUAUACUGUUGUAAAGAUAUCAUUGAGUAGAAUAUAAAAUCAUAAUUUUAUGAUUCAAUUCUCCACCUUUACCAAUUGAGAAUAUGCUUUAAAGUUUCCAAAAAUUACAAUUUUUUCAACAUUUUAUACAUCUAUUUUAAAGGCAUAAUUGAGCCAAGUAGAGCCCGAAUAAUGACAAGUUGAACUUGACUCGAACAUCACUUUUUAAGGUCAAUCUUGAUUUAGAACAUAAUUGAGUUGAUUAAGCUCGUUUAUCAAUUUUUAUAAUCAAACCCAUUCAUAAUUAAGCUCUUUCUAUAUAUCAAGGAUAAAAAUGUAACUUCAUAAAUAAAAAUAUAUUUAAAUGGAAUGCUUAAUUAGGUUUGUGGCCUACUUGAAUCAAGUAUUACAAUAUUUAAAUUCGACUCAACCAAUAGCUCGAGCUCUACUCAAUAAUUUUCAAUAAAAUUUUGAGAUUUUUUGAAUCCAACUCGAAUUGCUUGCAAAUAUUAAUGUAUCACUUAUGCUUUUAAUUUUAAAUUUACAUUUUUAAUUCUUAAAAUAUUAUUAAAACCCAAUCAAUUGAAGGCUUUGUAGAAAGUGGUGGCAAAGUGCAUCCUUUACUUUAGGUCUCACUAUAUCUAAAAAGAAAUUAAUGCGAACCGUAGAAAGUGGUAGGAAUGUGCAUCAUUAUUGCUUUAAAAGAAUUUAAAUCUUUAAACGGAUAGAAUUAAAUUUUCAUAAUUUGGAGGAGUUAAAGUGUACUUCUUUUUACUAUUUUAAAAUUUUAAAAUUUUAAAAUUUUUUAAAGAGUUAAAAUAACAUUUUUUAUUUUAAGAGGGCCGAGCUCCCUGUCAACCUCUAGAUUUACCUCCGUAAAUUUCAAAAUUCAGUUAAAUUAUGUUAUUUUGAAUAAAACGUUAAUUGAUAAAGAAAUUCUUUUAGUUUCAAAAAUUCAAUUUUUCUGUUUUAAAAAAAUAUAUAUUAAAAUUUAAAAUUUAAAAUAUUAAAGUAAUAAAAUUUAAAUAUAUCAAUGUCUUUUUGAUACAUGCAUGAAUGGGGUGAAACUUAUUAGAUUCCAAUCAUCAAAACUGCCAAUUUUCAGGCUCGGAAAAUCAGCAGACUUGCGGCGACUGGAUCCUGGUAUUUUUGGGUUGAGAUGUCUCAUGGCGUUUAAAGAUCUAUCUCUUAGCUUUGAAACGCAUUUUGAAUAACUCGAUUUUGAGUUCGGGAGCUCAAGUUAUGACCGUUUUAGUGAAGACUACGCGAGAAGAAUUUCUGAACGGGAUUAUGACGGGAAUUACAAAUUUCGGGCUUUUAAUUCGAGUUUAAAUCAUAUUGGAUUCGGGUUUUAGACUUAAUUUUUAUUAUAUAUGAGCCCAAUAUUAUAUUUGUCAGAUCUUAUUAUUUUAUUAUUAUUUUAUUCUAAUUUUUUUUAUAAUUAUUAAGUAUUUUAAGUUAUUAGAGUUCUAGUAUUUUAAGCUAUAAAGGCCAGAAAAAUGUAUUCUUGGGGGUGAUUUUUGAAGGUAAAAAAGCAACAGAAAAUCAAUACAAAAUAAUCAAAAAUUUCAAACAAAAAAAGAGAGAUUUAGAAGGUAGUUUUUUUUUCUCUGUUUUUGUUUGUUUUAUUUAUUAUUUUUUCUUUCUUUUUCUAAACAGAAACACAGAAAAUAAAACGGGACCGAAAACUCACCUUUUUAGAGGGAGGGCUGAGAGAGAGUUGAGCAAGAAGAGAAGGAUUUUUUUUUUAAAAAAAUGAGGUUACCAAUGAUUUUUUAAAGUUUUUUUAAAUUAUAUAAACACCCCAAAACGACGUCGUUUUGAGUUUGGCUUCUGACACUUAAAACGGCGUCGUUUCACCCUUGACCCGCGUGCGACCUGACUCGCUCCAUGGGGAUCCUCGUGUUUUCAAUUUUUAGGCUAUUUACGCCUCUGGUCAUCCCGCGUUUUCCGGUUGUUUUAAUUUAGUCCCUUUUUUACUUUUUUUCUCUUUAUAUAUUUGGCCAUUGAUUUUGUGGCGUGUUUUAAUUUAGUCUCUGGCUCGCUAAAAAGGACGCGUGUCAAGGAGAUCGGGUUAUUUUCCCAUUUGGUUCUCGUUUGUUUUCGGGCCUUUCGAAUUAGUCCUUUGUUCUUUUUUUAUCUUAAUUUAUCCUGCUAAUUUAAUUUGAGUAGCAAUCGGGUCCUUUAUUCAUUUAUUUUUGUGUAUCUUUAUUGUGUAUCUUUAUUUAUUUUGCUUUAUUAUUUUUACUUUAUUACUCCUUUUUAUAUAUUUGUUUAAAAUUGGAUUGUGUAUAUGUUUAUUAGUUUUUUUUUUCUUUUGGUUAUCAUUCUUUUACUUUUUAAAUAUUUAAAUCUAAUAUUAUGAACAUUUACUUUAUCUAUUUACUUAUUUAUUUAUUAUUCUUUUACUUUUCAAACGCUUAAAUUUAAUAUUAUUUACAUUUGUUUUAUCUAUUAUUCACUUAUUUUUUCUUUUACUUCUAAAGAAAUUUUAAAUUCGAUAUUAUUCGUAUUUGUUUUAUUAAUUUAUUUUUUAUAUUUCAAUUUAAUGAUAUUUGUUUUAUCUAUCCAUCAAUUUAUUAUAUAUAUAUAUAAUUAGAUACCACUUAUAUUCAUUAAGCAACUUUCAUUUUCAUUUAUAUUUUGAAUUAUUUUAUUUAUUGUGUUGUGGUGUUAUAAAUUGAUUUUUUUAUUAUUGCUAUAUUCACUGUUAUUGCCAUAGUAUUUGGUCAUUUAGUUGUCAUUUAGUAUCCUAAUAUAAAUCGUACUCAUAGUCAUAUCACAUUAUUUCAUUACCAUUGUAUUAUACACUAGGUUCACACAUAUUUAUCCAUUUUUUUAUAGACGAUGCCCGAAUUAAACAUGUAUGCCUUGUAAGUGUUACAUUAAUAUUUUAUUCGGUGCACAAAAAGAAAAUUAUUUUAAAUAAGUAAUAUUUCGUAUUUUAGAAUUCGUAAAUUCGUUCCUUAACUUACGGAGUUUCGAUCUUCUCGAUAAAUCUAAAUAAAUGAACCUUUUUUAAAAACAUAAGUUUUUAAAUAAUCUCAGGAAUUAAGAAGAGAUCGUGUUCUAACUUAAUGGAUAUGGUUUCAUUCUAAAACUGAGAUAAUCGAAUAUCUUUUAAAAUAAAUAAAUUUUCGGUGUUUAUUCUCGUUUCGAGGAUUUAAGGUAUUGCGUCCUAACUUACGGGAAGUAAUCCUUUUUCUCGAUUAACGUAAAAUAUUUUUUUGUAAAAAUUCAAUUAAGCGAUAUUGUAACAAAGGAUGGUAUUUUAAAUCUCUUUAAAGUUUUUAAUUUUCGACAUUAAAACAUUAAUUCAUCAAUUAGGUACCAAUUUUUGGCGAGACGAGUGUGCUAAUCUUUCUUCGCACAUAACCGACUCCCGAACCCGUUUUUCUUAAAUUUCAUAGACCAAAAUCAUUAUUUAAGUAAAAUCGAAACGUUUUAUUAAAAUGAUUAAAUUACAAGGUGAUCCGAUCACAUCUCGAAAAAAUAUCGGUGGCAACUCCAGUUUUUUCAUUUUCAUUUUUAAAAUAAAAGUAGACCCCUUUUGUUUCAAAAAUGGAGAAAGUGUGUUCCUAUCUUUUGUCAGCUUUACCAAAAGGGAAAAUAAUUGGCGAUAGAAUGUUGCUUUCUUUUGUCAACUUUUUAGCUGUAUCCACUAAAUGAUAAGAACUGCAUUCUCAAGUAUUUGUGUUUCUUUAGGAUUCUAUUGUUUACAUCUCAAUUUUUUUUUUACAUUGAGUUGCACUUUGUCAAAUUACUUCUCGCAUUACUCUGUUAAGAAAAUUAUCUUUUCGCUCGUUCGUAACUACGAGAACUAAUCGCUGAAUCCUUCUCUUAUUCGUUGGAAAGGUACGCCAUCUGCUUUCAUUUUGGUUGAUUUGGUCUUACUUCUUGGUUUACAGAAGCUUUACUUUUUGCUCAUUUGAUUUGUAACUUUUUCUUCUGAUUUUGUUUUAAUCUUUGUUGUCGCUGUGGUUAUUCAGUUUACUUCUUGUUUGACCUCUCAAUGGAGUCUGUUACUACCCUAGUUGGCUCUAUUGUCACUAAAGCUGUAGAGUAUACGAUCUCUCCUAUCAAAAACCAUGUCAAAUACCUUUCCAAUCAUCAGCAAUAUGUUGAGACCCUCAAGGACCGAGCUGAGAGGCUGAAAGAUGCAAGGGACAGAGUGCAGCAUUCUGUUGAUGCAGCUCAACGAAACGGUGAAGAGAUCGAAGGGGAUGUUGGCAAAUGGUUGUCUGCAGUCGACAAAAAGAUUCUUGAACAAGCAGAGAAAGUGAUGCAAGAUGAAGAAAAAGCAAAGAAAAAGUGUUUCAUUGGUUUGUGUCCUAAUUUCAGGACUCGUUACAAGCUUAGCCUGAAAGCCGAAGAGGAGGCAAAGGCUGUUGCCGAGCUACUUGAACAUGGCAAGUUUGAAAGGGUUUCCUAUCGUGCAGCUCCGCAAGGUAUCGUGGUUGCACCAGUUAAAGGUUAUGAGGAAUUCGAGUCAAGAACGUCCAUUUUCAAUGGAAUAAUGGAGGCACUAAAAGAUGAUAGCGUCAGCGUUGUUGGGGUGCAUGGUAUAGGUGGGAUUGGAAAAACAACGCUGGUCAAAGAAAUUGCUAGAAAGGUCAAGGACAAGUUGUUUGAUUCGGUUGUCAUAGCAACCGUAACUCAAGCCAUCGAUAUUGAGAAGAUUCAGAACCAAAUUGCAGACUUCUUGGGCUUGAAAUUUGAGGAACAGAGUAUGGUUGGAAAGGCAUUUCGACUACGAGAAAGAUUGAAGAAAGAGGAGAGGAUUCUGGUUGUCUUGGAUGACAUUUGGGGAAAGGUUGAUAUUGAGGAAGUAGGGAUUCCUUUGGGAGAUGAACACAAGGGCUGCAAAUUACUAUUAACUUCUAGAGAGCUCAAUGUUUUAUCAAAUGGGACGGAUGCUCAGAAAAAUUUUCCCAUUGGGUUUUUAAAUGAAAAGGAAGCCUGGGACCUGUUCAAGAAGAAGGCUGGCGACUGUGAUGAAAGUUGCGAUUUGAAGCCUAUAGCUAUGGGGGUAGCCAAAAAAUGUGCAGGACUGCCGAUAGCUAUUGCGACAGUUGCAGGGGCUUUGAGAAACAAAAGAUUGUUUGAAUGGAAGAAUGCUUUACGAGAACUGGAGAGGCCUUCGUCAAGCAACUUCACGGGGAUAACUGCGGCAUAUUCAGCUAUAGAGUGGAGUUUUAAUUAUUUAGAAAGCGAGGAAGUUAAGCGGACUUUCUUGCUUUGCAGUGUAAUAGGCCAUAAUGGUCUCGUUGAGGACUUGGUAAGAUACACUCUAGGUUUGGGUUUAUUUGAUGGUGUCAACACUAUGGAAGAAGCUAGAAAUAAAGUAUUGACGGUUGCGGCUAAUCUCAAAGCGUCUGCCUUGUUGCUUGAUAGUUAUAAUGAUAAGCGCUUUGAUAUCCAUGAUGUUGUUUGGGAUGCUGCUAUAGCUAUUGCAUUGAAGGACUACCGUAUGCUUGUUUUGAGAGAUCAUGCUCCAAAGGAGUGGUCCGAUAAGGAGAAAAUGAAGACGUGGAGUGUGAUCAGCUUACGUUGUCCUCAGAUUAUAGCUAACCUUCCUAAGGAGAUGGAGUGCUCAGGACUUUCCUUUUUCCACAUGGCCUAUAAUGGCGCGGUUAAAAUUCCUCUCAAUUUCUUCAAACAAACCGUAGGCCUGAAAGCCUUAGAUUUGGUCGGAAUGCAGUUUCCAUCCCUCCCUGAAUCAAUUAUUCACCUUGCAGAGCUUCACAUGUUGUGUCUAAAAGGAUAUGCAGUUGAUGACAUAACCAUCCUUGGAGAGCUCAAGAGUUUAGAAGUACCCAACCUUUCUCGCUUAGGUAUCAAAGAACUACCUAAGGAGAUGGCACAAUCGACUCAAUUAAGGUUGUUAGAUUUGCGUGGGUGUAGAGAACUCAAAAUCAUCCCACCGAAUGUCUUAUCAGGUUUGUCUAAAUUAGAAGAAUUAUAUAUGAGUAGGAGCUUUGUUGAAUGGGAAAAGGGAGGAGUAGUUGAAAAUGAGAGGAAAAAUGCAAGCCUUGAUGAAUUAAACAAUUUGCCUUGUCUAACUACUUUAUAUGUUGAUAUUCUUGAUGUCCAAAUGAUACCAAAACACCGGUUUGUAGAAACAUUGGACAGAUUCAGGAUUUUCGUAGGUAAUUAUGGAGGAUAUAAUUGUUGCCAGAAUUAUGAAUCUCCGAAAGCAUUGAAGCUCAAGUUAUAUACAAACAUUGAUUUGGACAAUGGGAUGAAAAUGUUGUUGAUAAAGACAGAAGAUUUGUGCCUAGAGGGACUUGAAGGCGUCAAGAAUGUACUUGUGGAGUUAAAUAAUGGGAAAGAUCUUUCAAAUUUAAAGAGAUUUCAUGUCAAAAAUGGUAGGCACGUCCAACAUAUCAAAAUGAACAAAAUUGGAUUUUCUGAAUUAUGCUUCGUUAAACUUGAAAAUCUACCGCAACUCGUUAGCUUUUGCUCUCCAGACGAAAGGUGUUCCACUAAGCCCUUAUUACUUUUCAAUAAACAGGUAUUUGUUUGGCUUUACUUAUAUUUUCUUAUACUACUUUUAUUUAUAUGCCCAUUAAUACUUCUAAUAGUAGAAAUAAAUAAUAUUGUGUAAUGGUUUCUCCGGAGCUCAAAAAUAAAUUUCAAAUCCAAAACAAAUUAAAAUUUAAUUUUUAAUCCAAACCGAUUCAAAAUCAAUUCAAUAAUCUAAAUUUAAAUCCAACAAUUUUUUUUAAUUCUGAGAAUAAAAUUUGAGCCCACAAAUCGAACUAAAAUUAUCUUUAAAAUAAAAAAUCAUAUUUUCAAAUUAUGUUACAUACUAUCUUUCCCUAUGGAAAAAGAAUUGUGUAAAUAUGUGCAAUUUAUUUUCCCUCACUUGGAAAGCUUGUAAUUGUGUUCCAUUAACACGAAAAGAAUAUGGCACAACCAGACAUGUCAUUGGGUUACGAAUUUGAGGAGCUUGAUCAUCAAAGGAUGCGGCAAGUUGGAGCAUCUGUUAUCACCCUCUCUCGCUAGAAGUCUGGUGCAGCUCCAAUGCUUUGAGAUAGAGGAUUGCAAUUGCUUAAGGGACAUAAUACUUACAGAGGAAAUUGAAGAAGCAAGGAAAGAUGUGAUUUGUUUCCCUCGAUUAAACUCCCUGCAUAUAGAUCGUCUUCCAAACCUCAUCUUCUUCAACUCAGGAAACCACAAUAUUGAGUUCCCAUUGUUGAAAGUGCUAAAGAUUCAGCGUUGCCCCAAGUUAAUAGAAUUCAUUAGUCAGAAUAGUAAUCAGUCCGGCAUGCACGCUCUCUUCAGUGAGAAGGUGAUUUAUUUCAUUAGUCUUACAUUCUUGCAUAAAUCUGUUGAUUUGUCCUUGUUUUUUUUUCUGCCUUCAUUAUUUGAGCUAACCUUAUCAUGGGCAUGGAUUAUAUAUAUAUAUAUAUAUGAAUAUAUAUGAAUAGGUUGCAGUUCCUAGCUUGGAAGACAUCAAUAUCUGGGACUUGAGUAAUGUGAAGAUGAUAUUUUAUAAUGACCUAGCACCAGGUUCCUUUAAAAAUAUACGAAAAAUAAAUGUUUGGGGAUGUGGGAGUUUGAAAAAUCUAUUUCCAGUAUCAAUAGCCAAAGAUCUUCCACAACUUGAACAUUUAAGCAUCACUGAUUGUGGAGUUGAGGAGAUUGUAUCGAAAGGGGAUGGAGUGGAGGAGCAGCCUGUGAGGUUUGAGUUUCCGCAAGUAUCUUUCCUUGAGGUUACAUGGGUAGAAAAGCUCAAAUGUUUCUAUGAAGGGCAACAUACAAUAGUCUGGCCGAUGUUGAAAAAAUUGAGAACAGAUAGUUCUGCUUUGCUAAAGAUAGUGGCAUCGGAACAUCUUAGAUUAAUCCAAGGAAAUAAGCAGCCAGUUUUGUUGGGUGAAGAGGUAUGUAUAUCAUUACAACUAUAUUUCAUUUUAUGAUUUAAACCACUGCCACAAGCAUCUCAAGUUGAAAUAUGCCACGAUAAUGCAUUUCUAAUUUUUAUAUUUUGUUUUAUUUGGAUUUUUUUUUCGUAUUUUUGAAUUUUCAAUAUAUAUUUUAAAUUUUUUGUUACAUUUAUAAUUAUUUUUUCAUUUUUUUUAAAAACAAGACUGAAUAAACAUAAUAAGUAAAUAUUGAGUGAAUGCAAUUCAAUUUAAUAAAAUGUAUAAAUAUUGAGAGUUAAAUUUAUUAUUAUGUAAAAAAAAAGCUUAAAAAAAUGAAAAUAUUUUAUUUGUUUUUAAGUAUCCAAAAUGAAAAUAUUUUAACACUAAGUGACUGUAUAUGUAAUUUACCCUGCAUUUAAGUAGUGGGUCAAAACUAAAUAGAACGUUUAAUUUGCUAAAAACAAUUGCCACUCAAUAAAAAAUCAAAACUUUAAAAGUUAAUUACACUAGACAUCUCAAACUAUGACCUUCAUUUUAAAUUAGUCUUAAAAUUUAAAAUAUUCUAAUUACAUUCUUAAACUAUUGAGGUUAUAUCAAUUACGUCUUUCUCUUAUUAAAUUCGUUAAUUUAACCAUCAAAUUAAAUCAAUGUAAUAUUUUAAAACCUUGGUGUUUUAUCUCCACUAUUCUGCUUAUAUUUUUUGUCAUAGAAAAAUAUAUAUAUAUAACAAUGGUUGUUUAUCUAUUUUAAUCUAGAUUUGCUACUCUUCUUUCGGCUUUCAUGUUCUGUAAUUUUUAUCAGUUUUUAUUCUCAAGGUAUUGUGUUUUCUUAAAACAAAAAAUUCAUCUACUCUGGAUUCAUUUGAUUUAAUAUUGAUUUUGUUGGGAUUUAAUCAUCAAAAUCAAACACUAAAAUUGUAAAUCUCUUUUUUUUGUUUGUUUGUUUUUUUAAAGCAUAUACAUCAACAUUGAGCCUAACUUGUAUAUGUUUAAUUGGUUUCCAAGGUCAUUCCCAAAUUAGAGGAACUUGAGUUACGAAAUUUUGGUGAUAUGGACCAAUUUCCACCAGACUUGUUUCAACAUAUUAAAGUUUUUGCACUGAGUGGUGGCUCUCCAUUUUCUUUGUUUCCUUUCGUCCGAAGAUUCUACAAUCUGAAAAGACUUGAGGUUUCUAAUUUUGAUUUCAAACAUGUAGUCCCUUGUAAAGGAGACGUCGGGACUCUCCCAUCAAUUAGAAAUCUGAAAUUGGUUUCUGCCAGAAAUCUUAAGCGUAUUUGGAGGAAAGAUUCGGAGCUUGACCAUAUUCUUUCUGAUCUUCAAACACUCACAAUUCACAAUUGUGAUGAUUGGAUAAACAUUAGAGUCUUCUCAUCAUCUUUACAAAAUCUCACAAUUUUGAAUGUGUCACUUUGUAAAAUGAUGACAAACUUAGUUACACCCUCAGUACUUCAGAAUCUUGUGCAAUUAACGACAAUGAUCGUAAGAGGGUGCACUAAAAUGACAGAAAUAGUGGGAAACGAGGGAGACUGUCAUCAGACAAUAGUUGUUAGUAAAUUGAAAUGUUUACAACUAUGCAAUUUGAAGAGCCUCACAAGCUUUUGUCCAUGGUAUUACAACUUCGAGUUUCCUUGUUUGGAAGAAUUAGUUGUGGAACAUUGUCCUUGGUUAAAGAUCUUUUCUGAGGGAGUUUUAAGCACCCCACAAUUACAGAGAAUAAAACAGUCGCAUUACGGUGAGAAAUGGAGUUGCAAGUGAGAGUGGUGAUGCAAGUGAAAGCGUGGUUGGCGAAGGGGGCAUCUAUGAUAACACUGCAACUUUUUUCAGCAAUAAGGUAAGUUUGGUAUUCAAUAUUUAUCUGCACAACUUAUUUCACAUUUUCUUUUGAUUUGAUCAACAUGAGUGUGUCUGGUCUAUAUAUACAUACUAGUGCUACACCUUGUCAAAAUUGAAUAUAAUAAAAUCCAUAAAAAUAUUAAUAAAUAAGACAAUAUUUAAAAGAAAAACUGGAGUUUAAAAGUAUAAAUAAAUAUAUAAAAUAAGAAUUGAAGGAAAAACUUAAAGUGAAAUACUAAAAAACAAUAAGAAUUUAAGAGAAGUUUAAAAUUAAAUAGUAAUAGACAAUAAAUAAUAAAAUAACAAUAGAAAAAAGAAAACUAAUCUUCCUUUAUUUUAAUUUGUGGGUGUAUAAGAAGGAGAUAAUUGUGGAAGACCUUCACAAAGGUCAUUUGAGAUCAAAGGAGAAGAAGCAUGAAAACAAAAGGUGAGGAGUUUGAAGAAGAAAGAACCAAAUAUAUGGGUUUGAUUUAAAGAUUUAAUGUUUUUUUUUUAAUUUCAUAUAUAGAAAAAAUCAUUGAAAGAAAAAAAAAGUUCAAUAUAAUUACUUAAAUUUACCUGUCGGUUUUUAUAAAAGUAACUUAAAUUUUUGAUUAAUUAUGAAAAUGACUCAAUUUAAAAAUUAUGUACAUAAAUUAUUCGAUUUCUAUAGUGUUUGUCGGUGCCCCCAGACACAAUGGCGAUAUCAGACUGAAGUGUGAUUAUAUAAAAUGAUUGUAUUUAUGUACAUAAUUUUUAGUAGUGUUGUUGGAAAAAUUGGCGAUAUCAGACUGAAGUGUGAUUAUAUAAAAUGUUCAUGGACUUAACGAAGUAAUUACCCUUUUUUAAUUAGCGGAAAAAGGGGUCUUCCGGUGAAUAUGGGGCACCAAAUUAAAUGAUUUUCAUCUUUUGGUCUAUUUGCAUGUUUCCCUUUUUGAAAUUAAAUUUAGAUAACCCUUAAGAAAUAUAAGAAUAACAAAAAGAAAUCAUUCUCAUUUAUUUUAUUUUAUUUUUAAAAAAUAAACUUAAAAAAUUAUAUAAAAUGCUUAUUUAAAUUACCCAAAUAUAUCCCUCACACAACUUCCUCAAGUUUAUCUAAAUUCAAGCAUUUUCAAUUCAUUCCCUAGAAUAUUUAAAUUUAGAUAAACUUAAGGAAAUUUUUUGAGGAAUAUAUUUGGGUAAUUUGAAUAAGAAUUUUAUAUAAUUUUUUAAGUAUUUUUUUUCAAAAAAAAUGAAAAUGUUAUAGUUUUGUUAUUAUUAUAUUUUUAAGUGCUAUUUAAAUCUAACUUCAAAAGAGGACAAACGUAACAUGCAAAUAGGUCAAAUGUUGAAAAACAUUUAAUUUGGUUCAGAUACCAACGACACCCCUUUUUCAACCAAUCUAAAACCGUUAACCGCUUCAAAAGAUCCCUGCACGUUUUAUAUAAUCACAUUCAGUCUGGUGCCGUCAAUUUAUUAGGCAAAACCACUACAAUCUUUUUUAAAAAGCAAUCAUUGGCUGAUGAUGGAGGUCAAUGCAAUAAGCACGAUAGAUAUCAAGUCAUUUACGUAUAUGAUUUUUAAGUUGGAUCAUUUUCGUAAUUAACCAAAAAAUUUUGGUUACUUUUAACUGCCUAGUUGAUAUGUGAAUAUUAACCUUUAGAUCAGUUUAUAAAUCUUCAUACUCAUCUACUCAUUUUGAUUGUCUUUCAAAGUACAGAAGGAAGACUGAUACUAUCUUAUAAUAAUAUUUAUGUCAACAGGUUGUCGUUCCUCGUUUGGAGCGUCUGGAUUUGUCCUCGAUCAACAUUCAUAAGAUAUGGCACCACUCAUCCUCCCCAUCUAUCGGAUACCUAAAUUUCUUGCGGGUGAAGAGGUGUCACAAUUUGAAAUACCUGUUCCCGUUUUUCUUAGCAAAAGAUCUUGAGCAACUCCGAUUCCUUGGAAUUUUGGACUGUAAUAUGAUGGAACAAGUAAUAUUCACGGAUGGAUUGGUUGAGGAACAUCAAGGGAGGAAUCAGAUGUUUUUCUUUAAUCUACAUUCGCUGUGGCUAAACGACCUUCCCAAAACUCACAAGUUUGUGCUUUGAAAAUUACUUUGAAUUUCACUGUUUAGCAGAUUUAACACUAAGAAAUUGUCCAUUGCUAAAAACAUUCAUCUCUAAAUGUGUACCCGGAGAUGAACCUCAAAUUGGCCAACAUGUACAGGCAAGUAACUUGGAGGUUCAUAACUCAUCUCUCCUCAAUGAAAAGGUAAUUUCUUCAAGGAUCCUCCUUUUAAUUUAUGUUACUUCGAUUGAUUUUAUUCAUUUGAAGUUCUUUCUUUUUCAUACAUAUUUCAGUUAUUAGCCUAAUGAAAUGAUUUAUUAGAUUGUUUUCUCUAGUUUGAAGUACUUGUCGAUUCAGAAUUGUGAUUCGUUAGAAGAAAUUAUUGAGCUGGAAGGACUCAUUGCUGAUGAGUCACAGUCAACAUCAGCUGCUCAAUCUACUGUGGCUGAAACAGUGACGACCAAGUUUGUAUUUCCCAAACUAAUAAACCUUGGAUUGGAUAAGGUGCCAAGAUUGAAAAGUUUCUACUCUAGGAUGCAUACCACCCAGUGGCCUUCAUUGAAACGAAUGAGCAUUAUUGAAUGCCCCAAAGUACAGAUAUUUACUCGACAAUGUCCUGUGAGUCAGGUUGGAAUCUCAAACCAACAACCCUUGUUUUGCGUCAAUAAGGUAAGCUCACGAACAGUUUCAUAUUCCAUGAUCAUUACUUGAGAUUACCUAUAAAAUGCUUUUUGAAAAAACUAAUAUUCUCUCCUCUUUUAAUUUUAUGAGAGUCUAGUUCUUACUAAUUUAAAACUCUUUCAUCGAUGUCUAAUAUAUUCGUUGCCAUCCAGGACACUUUCCCUGUAUUAGAAGAACUAACACUGAAGACGAAUGAUAUGGGGAAGGGGAUAUGUGAUGGACAACUCUCAUUGCAGUGUUUCCAAAACCUUAAGCAUCUUAACCUCCAAUUCUUUCCUGAGACAUCCACUACUCUUCCGUAUUCCUUCAUUCGGUCACUACCAAUGCUUCAUAAGCUUGUUAUAGACAAUGCUUCCAUUUGUCAAAUAGUACAAUCUGAAGGACUCAGCGACCAGG
rnacentral:lncRNA from 1 species